rnacentral:lncRNA from 1 species
CAUCCAGGUCAAUUCGGAAGCGUGAACCUCCUUGAGUAUUGACCGCUGGAAAGCCAGAAACAUCACCAAAUGUAACUGCACGCUUAAAGAUAUCAAAUGUGGUCGGAUCCUUGGAAAAAUCCGUGAAGAAAUCAUCAGAAGUUACUUCUAGAUCAAGUUUGCAGGAGAAACCAUUAAUGGAGAUGGGGGCAUUCAAAUCUGCAACAGAUGUCUUGUAUCACUUGCAUGGGAAGGGAAAGGGAGAAUCAAUUACACUAUUAGGCCGUGUAGCAGCCCAAAGAGUGACACUGGUGAAGAAGAAAUCAUGGCUGGCUGUCGUUAAGAUCUAAUUAAAUUGCACAAUGGCUGUACGUCUCUUUGUGUUGGAGGAUUGAAUGGAAGAUGAUGGAUCUAUUUUCACACUCUUGGAGUCUCAAAGCGUGAUUAACAUUACUUUGAAUUCAAUUGUAAAUUGUAAGAUCAGUAUCUUUAUCUCAUUUGAAGGUAUACUAUCUCAUUUGAAGAAGCAUUAUCUCAUUUGAAUAGUCUUUUGAAACUCUUUUUUAUUGAUGUGUCUCUUCAAAUAAGUAGUAAAAUCUCAUUUAAGAAGCCUUUUGGUAAUGCCCUUAGAUCUCUGAUAACAGGUGCUUUACAAAGUCAAAAAUUCAAUAUUGAAGAGAGAGAAGCACUAUCUCAUUUGAAAAAUCUUAUUUGAAGAGUCUUUUAAAGUCUUUAAUUAAGUAUUAUAUUAUUUUUUAUCUCAUAAUUCAUGAAGAGGGAACUGUUAUAAUCGCUAUUACUUUUAUAGAUAAAAAUGUUUGAUAAAAAUUAUAUAUACUUAUUUUUAUUUGAAGAGUCUUAUCGGAGAUGAUUUCUUUUUUACUCUUCUACUGCCAUAUAGGUAAGCAAAUACGUAUUUAAAAGUUAAAUUAGAAAAGUCUAUUAGUGAUCCUAUUUGAUAUGGUGAUAAAAAAAAAAAUUAAAUGGUGGACAUGGUAGAAGUAUGUACUUGGUCAAGCGUGGGGAUGGCAAAAAAGUUGGGGCUGGCUUGGUCCAUUCUCACAGGCUUUGGCCCAAGCCUUCAUACGAAGGGCCUGGACAAGGGCUUACUAAGUCCAAGCUCUUUAUUUAAAAAAAUUAUAAAUUAGAAUAAUAAAUUAAAAUUAAAAAAUUAAUAAUGAAAAAAUAAAAACUGCUGUACCGUACAUCCGCCUUGGCCGUACAGCAGAAUCACCUGANNNNNNNNNNNNNNNNNNNNNNNNNNNNNNNNNNNNNNNNNNNNNAAAAAUAAUAAUGAAAAAAUAAAAAAAAUUAUAAUAUUAAAAUCUCUUUUAAAUGUUAAUUAAUUAAGAGGGUGCUUGAAUUAGAGAAUCUAAUAUUAAAAAAUUAAAUAUCUAAACUUUUAUUUGCUUCAUUUUUCUUUGUUUAUUAUUUAUUGUGAAUUUUUUUUAAUUUGUUGUUGAUUAUAUCAACUUGUGAUUAUUAACUCAUUUUAAGUUUACAACAAUUAAAAAAAUUAAAAAAAUAAGUGAAAGCUCAAGCCCAACCUAAAGCCUAGCGCAGGUCCACAAUGGGCCCUUAUACUUUCCCUCUAAUAGGCUUGGGUCUAGGCUUGAAAAAUCCCGUGUCAAGCCCCCAUUUUGCCAUCCUUAGUCAAGCGAGAGUGCGAAGUUAUUUCUUAUUGUUUUGGCUACCUGACUCUGGAAUAUAAACUAUAGCUUUGAUAUGUAGCUACUAGAAAAGGUUUGAAAUUUGUUGGAUACACUUUACAUAAGUACUAGGUCAAGAUAAUGAACUGUUUCUUCUUGUUUAAUUAAUUCUUAGAGUUGACCUUUGAGACUAAUGAUAGGUGCAUAUUAAGCAUACAAUUAAUAGAGAUCCAAAAAUAUACUUUUUGAUUCUCGAAUACGGAAGUAGAUCGCAACGAUAUUAUAUUAUUGUCAAUUUUAUUAGAGACAGAGGAUAUAAUAACAAGGAAAAUCCUCAUGCUAUUGCAUGCUUAUGAUCGAAGGAUAAUCAGAUAAUAGAAAAUUCUCUCAUAUCACAUUGUAAGAGCCCACUAAUAUGUUCGACGUAUUUUUCAGAAGCUCACGAGAGAGUGAUAAAAGUCGAUCAAAAGAUUUAUAACGCUUAGAGUCCAAUUAGACUUACAUCAAUCAUUUGGAACCCCAUCUAGAAGUAGCUUCUACAUUGUUCUUUAUGUUGGGCACGUCAUUAUGGACACCAAUUCCUACGUAAACAUACAAUUCAACAUAUUAAAGGGAGUUGAAGUAGUCUAUUAUUCUCCUAUAUGAGGUGAUUUCAAAGACAUUGAAAAAUGAAUUUGUAAACAUCUACCUAGUAGGUGCUAGGUAGUUUGUCGAUGACGAUUAAUUAUCCAAUCUAUCAACUCUGAGAGAACAUUUAUGACUUGUUAAAUAAGAUAUCUCAGUUAGUCCUAUCGUUAAAGUCAAGUGAUAAAUCCAUAAACUGCAGAAUCUACUCAAUUUUUAAACUGAUUUUUGGUACAAAAUAUUUUACCGGAGUCAUCUAUUCUAUUUCUCUAGAGUUGACAUUCGUAAAUAAAAACACGAUAAGACUUUUUUUAAUUUAUUUUUAUUAAGACAUGCAAACUAAUGAGACUCGAACCCAAGUCUUGAGUCUUAGCAAUACCGUUUCUUACUCUAAAACUAGACCUUGGCCUCAAUAACAUGAAAGAUUAAACGAACUUGACUUCAAACGGCCUAAUCUUUGCACUGAAACAUAGUUUACAACCAGGUCUGGAAUCUUCAAUGAGGUUUCAAUACCUGUAAUUUCAAGGUCGUGGAAAUUUGAAUCUGAUUGCAGCUGGUAGCUUAUUGAGAUUUUAUCAUUGGACUUAUCCAAUUCAUGACGAUCGAUUAAUUAUCCAAUUCCUUAAUUGGAUCUUCAGGAACUAAUGAGCAACGUAACUCAUCGUAUUUGUCUUUGGGAUGGUGCCGACUCAUUCCUAGAGCCAAAGGUUAUUGGUUGGCUAGCAGCCAUUAGCCAUCUCCGAUAACUGAAAGCUUCAGUAAAUAAUAUUUAAUUUCAUUCAUUCCAUGCCCUGGUGCACCAAGUUUUCAUUAAAAGAGAACGAAUAAGAGACCCGGUGCUUUUAGAGCAUAACAAGAGAUUUCUAAUUUUACUCUGUACAUGCCUAUUUCUUUACUUACAUGGUAAGCUAAAGAGUGAAAAAAUAAUAUUUUUUUUCAAAAGAUUCUUCAAAUAGAAAUAAAUUUAUAUUAUUUUAAUCAAAUUAUUCUCUCACUAUAUUAAACUAACUUCCAUUUUUUCAACCAUAUAUUUAUAGUACUCCUCUCGCUUCAGUAAUAAUGAUAUAAAAAUUAUUGCAAUUAAUAUAUCUAAAGAGGGAGAAGUUACUGUUUAAAAAGAGAGAGGGGCCCAUUUAAAGAGCUCUAUGGACAAUUCAAUUUAGAGUGCUCAUUGAAACUCUUGUUACUAAUAUAACUAUUUAAAUAAGAUGUAAAUAUCUCAUUUAAAGAGUCUUUUAAUGGUGCUCUUAUAUUGGAAAACUAGUGGAAUAACUGACUUAUAACAGCCAAUAAGUUGAGUUACUCAUUAGCACGCCUUUCUUUUCUUUUUAUUAUUCUAAAACUAGUAGAAUAAUUGACUUAAACAGCCAAUAAAUUGAGUUACUCAUUAGCACGCCUUUUCUUUUGUUUUUAUUAUUCUUUCCAACUAGCUCCCUUUUUUUUUUGGUUUUGGGGGGGUACCGUAAAAAACGACUAUUACAAAUGCAGUUGGAAAAUUGCUUCAAUGGGUAAAAAUGUUUUCUAACAUAUAUAAACAAUAUGAAGGGCAAAUUGAUAUUUUGGACAUAGAUUAUUAACAGAUUUUAGCGAAUUCACCAAAAAGUGAUUAAUUGAUAAAAAUUACAAAUCAGAGAUAGUUUAGUUUUAAUAAUUAGUGGUUACAUUCAUGUAUUUUAUACAUCUUAUUGAAUAAGUAUGUAUGAUGGUGUCAAGAGUAUCAUGUUGUAAUUAAUUUAAUUCGAUCAAAUUGUUCCUAAUACUAACUCACAUAUUCAUGAUCUAACAUAUAUUUUGAAUAAAAAGAAAUUUAGAAAAAAGAAGAAGUAUAUAAUAAUACACGAUUUGAGGUACAUUUAGCAUGCAAAUAGCCACCACUAUUUCUUUAUUAUAUAAUUAUGGGUUGUCUCAGCAUUAAUCUUUAUUUAAUAAUUAGUACACACACCAAAUCUCAUCCGUUAGUUGUGAGACAUAAAGGAUGUCGAUCGACCAUCGAGGAUGUUAAUCCAGCUUGAUUGAGCUCGGGCUGCUCUGAUGGUAUUGAUCACAUCAUCACCCACUCGAAAAGAUUUGGUCAACACUUCAUUGGGAACGGGAGGCGUUGUGUCAAAUAGAGUACCGAUUGAAUCCGAAACGCCAGGAUUUUGAGCAUUGAAAAUAGGUAUAAAGGUGGCCGGCUCGUUUCCAACAUUUAGUUGGAAGUGAACCAGUGCUCUAGGAAUUAAGAACACCUUCCCGGGAGUCAAGACCUUUGAGAAAAAGGUAUUAUUAGUUGUUACUAAACCUACGAGCACCGUUCCUCUGGUAACAAUACCAGCCUCAGUUCCACGAGGAUGUGUAUGAGGCGGGUUUAUUCCGCCGACAUCCAAGUCAAUUCGGAAGAGUGCAACUCCUUGAGUAUUGACCGCCGGAAAGCCAAAAACAUCACCAAAUGUGACUGCACGCUUAAAGACGUCAAAUGUGGUCGGAUCUUUAGAAAAGUCCGUGAAGAAAUCAUCGGAAGUUACGUUCGAAGCAGGUUUGCAGGGGAAACCAUUGAUAGAGAUGGUGGCAUUCAAAUCCGCAAUACAGACGUCUUGUAAAGGGUCAGGGUCACUUGCACGGGAAGGGAAAGGGCGCAUCAGUAAUACUAUCAGGCCGCAUAGCAGCCCAAAGAGUGACAUUGAGGAAGAAGAUAUCAUGGCUGUGGUUAAAAUCUGAAAUUACACAAUUGUUAGCUGCAGGCUUUUUAGUUGUGGGAUUUAAAGGAGAGACUAUGGAUCUAUUUAUACUACUCCGAAUCUCAAAUAGUGAUUAACAUUAAUCUGAAUUUAGUAAAAUACUAAUGCCACUUAGAAUUGGCGAUCGAUGAGGUUAAUCGUUGACUUUCUGAAUUUUGGAUAGCGUGUACAGAUUAUUUAAAGCGGUACGUGAUAUCGCAAGCAAUUGCAACCGGGAAAGAAAUUGAACCAAAACGAAUGUCUCAUUGUUUUGGCUUACUGACAGAGGGACAGCUAAUGUCCAUGGUUAAGUAGUUUAAUUUUCAUUACUUCGAAAAACCAAAAAAAAAAUAAAUUUUAAAGGUAGAAUAGAGUACUUUGUCAGUAUAAUUAUGAACAGGAAUCGUUCAUUGUUGGUUAAAGAGUUUUGAUUUGCUUCAGUAAUGAGAUGUGAAGUAGUCGAUGAAUAUCAGGUAAUUUCAAGGUCAUCAAGAAUUGACGCUAAACCUUCUGGGCGCGUACACUCAAUGACCACGUCCACCAAUUGUCAACAGCAGGGUAGUUUGAUAGCCAAUUCCAUUAAGUGUCAGCAGACUAUCUUAAUACUGAGUUAUCUUAAUUAACUAUGAAAUGGCCAUUGAUGUGGAGAUGGAGCUAUUCAUCCCCCCCAGACGGGUACCCUUUCCUUAAUUCCUUCUGAUUACGUGUAUAUCCUCAUACAAUUUUAAAACACAUUCCAGAAUCAUAACAAUGUUAAUUUAAUGCUUGCGUACGUACUUAACAUAGUCAUUGACGGCAUAACCGGAUGCACCAAUCAUUAAUCAUUUAGUAAUUCAGAAAAGUAACAAACAAACGAUCUUACCGCGAAACAAGUGGAAUUAUUCAGACGUGCAAGCAAUAUUUUGCGGUACAAAAUAAUUUGCGAUCAACUCCAAUUUUCCACCUUCACCAUAACAUCAAUUUCUUGAAGCUAUUCCAAAAUGCAUACAUAUUCGGUAGCACAAACCUUGCUUGUUAAACAUUAAACAGUGGAUGUGUAAUGUAAUCCUAUUGACAACUUAUUGGCCAAGCGUUCGAACUUUGAAAUGUCUUAAUGAUUCUGUUUGCAAGAAUAUAUGUUUGGUUUUUAAAUUCAGUGUCAAGGUUGCAUCCUCUGUAGUUAAUUUUUGAGUUAAUUAAUUUAGAUGAGAAGAAGAUGGAAUCCUUUUUAUUAAAGUAGAAAAACAAGAUGGAGUAAUCAUCAAAACUCAUCUACAGAACUAAUUACGAUAGACACUAAGGGACAUUUUGAAAUUUCUAGUGCUUGUAAUAUAAUUUGCUUCUAUUGAGCUGAUAAAUUUGAGGUAUGCGGUGCAUGCUCAAUAGCCUGAUCGAGUGGUCUUAAAGUAAUUUUAUUUAAUUAGCCACUCGUGUUCAAAUUUUAAGAGAGGUAUGAAUCUAAAAAAUAAAUUUGAGUUUUAAGCAUACCCUUAUCAGUUCCUUUAUUAUUAUUAUUAUUUUAUAAAAAUAGUUAGAUGUUGAGCAGAACUAUUGGUUUUGGAUUGAUACCCCUCCAAAACCCUUUGAUAACCUGUUCUAUUUAUUUACAGAUUUAACCUCCAUUGAAAUUACAUUGAAAGACAAAAAUAUAUAUCUAAUUAAACUUACAUUUAACACGCCACUAUUUUAAAUUUUUGGAAAAUUAAAUAGUUAGAUGUUGAGCAGAACGAUUGGUUUUGGAUUGAUACCCCUCCAAAACCCUUUGAUAACCUCUUCUAUUUAUUUACAGAUUUAACCUCCAUUGAAAUUACAUUGAAAGACAAAAAUAUAUAUCUAAUUAAACUUACAUUUAACACGCCACUAUUUUAAAUUUUUGGAAAAUUAUUUACACCCACAUAUCACAUGUGUUAUAUGCUAUUUAGCAACUUUUAUUUUUUCCUCUCUUGAUCAGUGUAUAUAUAUGUAUGUGUAUAUAAAUUUUUAAACCACCAUAAAAAAAAAUCGAUAGCCCCAUUAUUCUUAUUCCAUAUCAAAUUUAUAAUAGAGGCUAUGGCGUAUAUGUGCAAUCAUCAAUGUAAUUAUGCUAAGAAAGACCAAUGGCAUAUUAAACAAACAGUUUUUUGAAUGAUCUGCUUAUGCGCUGAAAAUGAUUGGAAACUAAAAUUCAUUAAUAGAAAAUUUUAAGUAAAACAUUUUGGCAACAGAAAUUUUUUUUUUCUAAUCUCAUUAAUGACCCAUCUAUUUCCUUUCUACUGUUUAGGGAUGGCAAUGGGGAGGGGAGGUGACCGACAUCCCUAUAAUCAUACCCGAUAUUUUGUAUAUGUCUCCAUCCCUUCCCCGUCUCUGUCAAAAUUGCUUGAAUGAGGGGAUGAGGAUCCCCAAAUCAUAACAGGGGAUCUUGGAGAAUCUUCGAUCCUCAAAUAAUUGAUACGUUUUUAGUUUCCGAGUUCGAUUUAAUCAUAUUAAAAUACGUAACGUAAAUAAAAUUUGGUAAUAUAUCUUACAUUAACAUUAAUCCAUUACAAAAGUCACACUCCAAAAUACAAAUCAUCAAAAUCAUUAUCUUCGUCAAUCUUUAUAAUCCUAUAACAAAAAAAAAAAAAAAAGUUACUUCUAUAUCAAUAAUGAAGUAAAUGAAAAGGAUAUAGGUGUUUAAAUUAAUGAGAUGACGAUGCGACAUGUUACUAGGCUAUAAUGAGAUAAGGAGUAGUUAGCUGCUGGCUGAGGCAUGAAAAUUUUGGAAAGAAUGAGUGAGACCGUGAGAGAGUGGCUCACAAUUUGAUUUUUGAAUUGUGGGCUUGUGGGAUUGUCAAAUUUGUGCUAUGUUUAAUUCUAAAUUAUAGCAAAAUAUUUUAAAUUAUUAACUAAUAAUUAUAUUAUUUGUAUAAAUAUUUUUAUAUUUGUUAUUUACAAGAUCUGAUUAAAAAAUCACAAUGUCAUUUUUUUGUUCUUGAAUUGAAUGAGCUUCCACCUAAACUGCUCAAGAAAAGCCCAAAACCAAUCCCAGGAAACAAUGAAGCUUUAUCGAAUUUUUUAAUUUAAUCUAUUACCAAAUAGAUUCUUUUCUCCCAUUCUAGUUAUAUUCUAUGUGACCAAAUCACUUGCACUAUAAUAUUGCUCAAAUUGAAAUGAAUCGAAAUUGGCACGGAGUUGCUUAAUGAUGCUUAAGCAUGGAGUUGUUUUGAGUGCCUACUUAUUUUCGAUUGGUAUCUAUGUCUUGAUUACUAGCUAAAAUAUGGUUUGGGCCCUGAUAUGUCUUGCAUCCAUUAGUUUGUAAGGGAUUCAAUGCAGACUUUGAUGCGGAUCAAAUGGCUGUUCGUGUACCCUUAUCUUUGGAGGCUCAAGAACCAAAGUUGGUUGGUGUGAGUGGUUCGGCACUCUCACUCCUUAAGAGAGGUCAGGGGUUCAAGCCCCGCUCUCGUAUGGAGUCACCACUUUGGCAAGCACUUUACCCCUUAUGGGCCGACCCGGUGCGAGCGGGGAUUAUUCUGGGUUGUGGUACGGGCUUAAAGGUGCCUCCCACAGUUGGGGCCCACUCAGGACCACCUCGUGGUUCAGACCAAAAAAAAAAUCUUUGGAGGCUCAAGCAUCUGCUCAUUUACUUACAUUUUCUCACGGAAUCAUGCACCCUUUUCCCUUUGGUCCUAGUUAUAACGAAGAAAAGUGCACCUAGUUUGGAAAGUGCACCUAGUUGGGUCCAGCUAUUCUUGAAAUGAAAAUGUUUAGAAUUUUACAAUUUAAAUUUUAUUAUUUAUUAAUUAAUAAUUCUAAAAAAAUUAAAAUUAAAAGGUAAAAUGGGGAAACGGGGAAAUGGGGAGGGGAUGAGAUUCUACCUCAUCCCCGUUCCUUCUCCAAAUAAUAAAUUAGGUAAAAAAAUCAUCUAUGUCCCUUCUUCAAAUAAAAAAUUGGGUAUAAGGUCGUCCUCCUACCCUUCUCAAAUGGGGAAAAUCCUCAGGGCUCUGUCCCCAUGAGAAUUUUUGUCAUCCUUGCUACUGUCUUCUUUUAAAAUGUAAUCUCUUACAUUCUUUCAAAAGCUGCUUCCAAAUGAAAGCUGCUGCCGAAUAAGGAAAAAAAAUUUUAAAAAUUUAUCAAACACUAUUUGCUAUUCUUAUAGUGUUUUGACCACAGCAUGUGCCUGUCAAAGGUUCUGUUUGCUAUUGCUAUUGUUGUAAAGUAAAGGCUCCAGUUAUGAGAUAAAAAAUUGACAAUAUAUGAUAAAUAUGACUUUUUAAUAAUUAUCCUGAGAAAAGUAAAAAAACAUAUUAAAAAUUUUUCAUCAAAUACAUUGAGGUGAAAUCACAUUAACUUUCAAACCAUAAAUAUAAAUCUUUACCAAACAUCAAAAGCCACAGCUGCCCAACAAUGGUUCCAAACGAAGCCUAAGGCAGCUGGGCAAAUGGAAAUGGGAUAUAAGAGUAUCUGAAUCAAGUGGUUGAGCUCUGCAUGUGCGGCAUGUAUAAGAAGAUGCAGCCUAGCAGCGCUAAAUUAUGUCCAGUAUAACAAUCUGGAUAACGGAAUUCAUCCUUAUCCGACGGCCAUCUUACACCUUAGGAAAAAGUACUUAUUAUCAAAGGUAUAUUUUGUCGGUGAUAUAACUGUUUGUUGUAGUAGAUUGAACGAACUUGACUUCAAACGGCCUAAUCUUUGCACUGAAAGCGCAGUUUACAACCAGGUCUGGAUUCUUCAAUGAGGUUUCAGUACCUGUAAUUUCAAGGUCGUGGAAAUUGAAAUCUGAUUGCAGCUAGUAGCUUACUGAGAUUUUAUCAUCGGACUUAUCCAAUUCACGACGAUCGAUUGAUUACCCAAUUAAUUAAUUGGAUCUUCAGGAACUUAUGAUCAGCGUAACACAUCUUAUUUGUCUUUCGGGAAGGUGCGGACUCAUUCCUGGAGCUAAAGGUUAUUGGCUGGCUAGCAGCCAUGAGCCAUUUCCGAUAACUGAAAGCUUCAAGUUUUCAUUCAUUCCAUGCCCUGGUGCACCCAGUUUUCAUUAACAGAGAACGAAUAAGAGACCCAAUGCUUGUAGGGCAUCACAAAAGCCUUCUAAUUUUACUCUCUUGAUGCCUAUUUCUUAAGUUACGUGGUAAGUUAAAGAGUAAAAAAAAAAAAAUUUCUCAAAAGACUCUUCAAAUAGAAACAAAUUUAUAUUAUUUUAGUCAAAUUAUUCUCUAACUAUAUUAAACUAGCUUCCAUUUUUCAACCAUAUAGUUAUAGUACUGCUCUCACUUUAGUAAUGAUGAUAUAAAAAUUAGUAUAAUAUAUUUGAAGAGGAGAAGUCACUCUUUAAUACUGAAAAGAGAAAGGGGCAAUUUUAUUAGAGAGCUCUUUGAAACUCUUAUUACUAAUGUAACUCUUUAAAUAAGAUGUAAAUAUCUCAUUUAAAGCAUUAAUGAUGCUCUUAUAUUCUAAAACUAGUAGAAUAAUUGAUUUAUAAUUGAUGUAAAUAUAUCAUUUAAUGCCUUUUCUUUUCCUUUUAUUAUUUUUUCCAGCUAGCUCUAUUUUCUUUUUGUNNNNNNNNNNNNNNNNNNNNNNNNNNNNNNNNNNNNNNNNNNNNNNNNNNNNNNNNNNNNNNNNNNNNNNNNNNNNNNNNNNNNNNNNNNNNNNNNNNNNNNNNNNNNNCAGCAGGGCGUAAACAACUAUGUUUUAAAUGCAGUUGGAAAAUUGCUUCAAUGGGUAGAAAUGUUUUUUUACAUAUAUAAACAACAUCAAGGGCAAAUUGAUAUUUAACAAAGAUUUAUUAACAGAUUUUAUUUGAAUUCACCAAAAAGUGAUUGAUUGAUAAAAGUUACAAAAAAAAGAUAGUUUAGUUUUAACAGUUAGUGGUUACAUGUAUGUAUUUUAUACAUCUUAUUGAAUAAGUGUGCCUGAUGGUGUCAAGAGUAACAUAUUGUAAUUAAUUUAAUUCGAUCAAAUUGUUCCUAAUAUUAACUCACACAUUCAUGAUCUAACAUAUAUUUUGAAUAAAAAGAAAUUUAGAAAAAAAAACAGUAGAUCAUUUCUUUAUUCUAUAAUUAUUGGUUGUCUCAGCUUUAUUCUUUAUUUAAUAAUUAGUACACACAACAGAUCUCUUCCAUUCGUUGUGAGACAUAAAGGAUAUCGAUCGAACAUCGAGGAUGUUAAUCUAGCUUGAUUGAGCUCGGGCUGCUCUGAUGGCAUUGAUCACAUCAUCACCCACUCGGAAAGAUUUGGUCAACACUUCAUUGGGAACGGGAGGCGUUGCGUCAAAUAUAGUACUGAUUGAAUCCGAAACGCCAGGAUUUUGAGUAUUGAAAAUAGGUAUAAAGGUGGCCGGCUCGUUUCCAACAUUUAGUUGGAAGUGAACCAGUGCUCUAGGAAUUAAGAACACCAUCCCGGGAGUCAAGACCUUUGAGAAAAAGGUAUUAUUAGUUGUUACUAAACCUACGAGCAACGUUCCUCUGGUAACAAUACCAGCCUCAGUUCCACGAGGAUGCGUAUGAGGCGGGUUUAUUCCGCCGACAUCCAAGUCAAGUCGGAAGAGUGAAACUCCUUGAGUAUUGACCGCCGGAAAGCCAAAAACAUCACCAAAUGUGACUGCACGCUUAAAGACGUCAAAUGUGGUCGGAUCUUUAGAAAAAUCCGUGAAGAAAUCAUCAGAAGUUACGUUCGAAGCAGGUUUGCAGGGGAAACCAUUGAUAGAGAUGGGGGCAUUCAAAUCCGCAAUACAGACGUCUUGUAAAGGGUCAGGGUCACUUGCACGGGAAGGGAAAGGGAGCAUCAGUAGUACUAUCAGGCCGCAUAGCAGCCCAAAGAGUGACAUUGAGGAAGAAGAUAUCAUGGCUGUGGUUAAAAUCUGAAAUUACACAAUUUUUGGCUGCAGGUUGUCUUUUGUUGUGGAAUUUAAAGGAAAGAUUAUGGAUCUAUUUAUACCACUCCUUGGAAUCUCAAAUAGUGAUUAACGUUAAUCUGAAUUUAGUAAAAUAUUAAUGCCAAUUAGAAUUGGCAAUCGAUGAGGUUAGUCGUUGACUUUCUAAAUUUUGGAUAGCGUGUACAAAUUAUUUAAAGCGGUACGUGAUAUCACAAGCAAUUGCAACCGGGAAAAAAAUUGAACCAAAACGAAUGUCUCAUUGUUUUGGCUUUCUGACAGAGGGACAGCUAAUGUCGAUGGUUAAGUAAUUUAAUAUUCAUUACUUUGAAAAACCAAAAAAAAAAAAAAAAGAUUAAAGCUAGAAUAAUGUACUUUGUCAGUAUAAUUAUGAACAGGAAUCGUUCAUUGUUGGUUAAAGAGUUUUGAUUUGCUUCCUAAUGAAUCAUAAGCAAGUUAAAGCUUAAUGUGCAAUCUUCAGUAAUGAGAUGUGAAGUAGUCGAUGAAUAUCAGGUAAUUUCAAGGUCAUCAAGAAUUGAUUCUAAACCUUCUGGGCGAACUCAAUGACCAAGUCCAGCAAUUGUCAACGGGAGGGUAGUUUGAUAGCCAAUUCCAUUAAGUGUCAGCAGAUUAUCUUAAUACCCAGUUAUCUUAAUUAACUUUGAAAUGGCCGUUGAUGGAGCUAUUCAGCCGCCGCCCAGACGACCAUUUCCUUAAUUCCUUCCUUAAUUCCUUUUGAUUACGUGUAUAUUAUCAUAUAAUUUUAAAACGAGGGAUUGCCACUUUCCCCUUUACAGUAAUCAACAUACACCACUUAUCUCCCUACUGUUUUUAUAAUGGCCAAAAACCCCUCUGACAGCAUAAGUUUACAAUAUUACCCAUAUUUUCAACUACUCUUUUAUUUACAUUUAUUAUAAAUUAAAUAAAUCAUAUGAAUAGAAACUAAAUAAAAAAAUUAAGUAUUAAAAACAAGAAAUAAAUGUUUUGAUGUGAGUAAAAAAGUAAUAAUAAAUUCUUUUUCUUGUAAUUAUUUAUUUUGUGAACAUUUUCUUAUAAUAAAUAUUUUGUAAUAUUUUAAAAUUAAAUGUAAAAAUUAUAGGCAAAAUAUUUAAUUAUUUAUCUUAUAAUAAAUUUUUAUUUGUCAUUCAAGUUUUCUUAUAAUAAUUUUUUUAUCAUUUUAUAAUAAUUUUCUUAUAUUUUUAUUAGAAGAAAAUUUUCACAAAAUAAAUAAGUACAAGAAAAAAAAUUUAUUAUUAAUUUUUUUACUCACAUCAAAACUUAUAUUUCUUGUUUUUAAUACUUAAUUUUUUUAUUUAGUAAAAGAUUAGUUGAAAAUAAGGGUAAUAUUGUAAACUUAUGCUAUCAGGGGAGUUUUUGGCCAUUAUAAAAACAACAAGAGGAGAAAUGGUAUAUGUUAAUUAUUGUAGAGGGGAAAAUGGCAAUCUCCCAUUUUAAAACACAUUCCAGAGUCACUAACAAUGUUAAUUUAAUGCUUGCAUACGUACUUAACAUAGUCAUUAACGGCAUAACCGGAUGCACCAAAUUAUUAAUCAUUUAAUAAUUAAGAAAAGUAACAAACAAACGAUCUUACCGCGAAACAAGUGGUAUUAUUGAGACUUGCAAGCAAUAUUUUGCGAUACAAAAAUAAUUUGCGAUCAGUUACUCCAAUUUUCCACCAUUAUCAUAACAUCAAUUUCUUUUAACAGAAUAUACUAAUAUCUUGAAGCUAUUCCAAAAUGCAUACAUACUCGGUAGCACAAGCCUUGCUUGUCGAACAUUCAACAGUGGGUGAUGUAAUCCUUUUAACAGCUUCUUGGCCAAGCGUUUGAACUUUGAAAUGUCUUAAUGAUUCUGUUUGCAGACAGUUACAUAUGUUUGGUUUUUAAAUUCAGUGUCAAGGUUGCAUCCUGUGUAGUUAAUUUGUUGAGUUAAUUAAUUUAGAUGAGAAGAAGAUGGAAUCCUUCAAGUAGAAAAACAAGAUGGAGUAAUCGUCAAAACUCAUCUACAAAACUAAUUACGACAGACACUAAGGGCCAUUUUGAAAUUUCUAGUGCUUGUAAUUUUUUUUUUUUUGAGUGAUGAUAAAGACACAAACUCUUGUACAAACUUAUUUUAUACAAACUGGUGUGACAUUAAUUCAUUGAUUGAAUGAAAAUACAAAAUAAUGAAAAUAAAUCAUGUGGGCCAAAAGAUAUUUAAUUCGACCAAUUUUAUCAUGUCAUAUCAGUUUGUACAAGAUAAGUUUGUAUAAGAAUUUGUGACUAUAUCGUUACUUUUUUUUUUUUUUUGAAAGGCAGUGCUUGUAAUAUAAUUUGCUUCUAUUGAGUUGAUAAGUAGUUAGGUUUGCGGUGGAUGCUCCCUGGCCUCAUCCAUGGGUUUUAAAGUAGUUUUAUUUAGUUCGCCAUUUAAGUUCAAAUUUUUGGAGAGGUAAGGGUCUAAAAAAUGAAUUUAAGUUUUACGAAUUCCCUUACCAUUUUUUUGAUAAAAAUAAUUAGAUAUUGAGCAGAACUAUUGGUUUUGGAUUGAUACCCCUCCAAAACCCUUUGAUAACCUCUUCUAGUUAUUUACAUAUUUAACCUCCAUAGAAAUUACAUUAAAAGACAAAAUAUAUAUUUAAUUAAACUUAUUUUUUUUCUUUUAAAAAGGUAAGGGGUGAGCCAAAACCAAAUAAUUUUUUUUUUUCCCUUACCUCCCCCAAGGCUCGAACUCGGGUAAUCAGUUGCUACAAACAUCAUGCUGGUUGACCACGCCGAAGAAAAAAAAAAGGACUAUUUUUUAUUUUUAGAAAAUUAUUUGCCCCCACGUGUCGCAUCUGUUAUAUGUUAUUUAACAACUUCUAUAUUUUUUUUCUCUCUUGAAUUAAACACACACACAUAUAUAAACUUUUAAACCACCUAAAAAAAUUCGAAAACCUCAUUAUUCAUUUUCCAUAUCAAAUAUGGAAGAGAGGCUAUGGCCUAUAUGAGCAAUCAUCAAUGUAAUUAUGCUAAGAAUGACCAAUGGCAAAUUAAACAAACAAGUUUUUCAACGAUUUGCUUAUGUGCUGAAAAUAAUUGGAAACUAAAAAUCAUAAAUAGAAAAUUUAAAAGGCUUUUCAGCUAAAACAUGUUAGCAAGAGGGAAAAAAAAUUAAAAGGCUUUUUAGCUAAAACAUGUUAGCUAAAUCAUGGGUUAGUCUUAAAAGCAGCUCAACCCAAACCACAUAUCCAUGCUCAUGAUUAUUAAUUAAACACACAUUAACACUACAUGGAACUCGAACCCAAAAUUAAAAUCUUGAGAAAACUAACAUAUGAAUGUAAUUCUUAAUCUCGUGUUCAAUCUUAUUACUAUGAAACAUGAUUUAUAUUUGUAUUUGACCAUCAAUUGAUAGAUUAUAGUUAUAAAAUAUUUAAUGUUAUUAAUUUAGUAUAAUAAUUAUGCAUGUCAAGUGUAGUUGUAGUUAAUUAUCCCUUCCCUCGAUAAUUUGAUUUAAAAUUAAGGUCAUUUUCUUCAAUUACAAAAGUUUGAUUGAUCUUACAAACUAGUGAACUACAAAAGGGUGAUUUGUAAAGAAUUUCAGUAUAUCAUAGGGGUGUCGGUAGCAUCACUCUUAUUUGAAAUUCUCAUCAUAGUACUUAUAUUUUUUAAAUUGUCCUAAUCAACAGUAAUUUUUCAGAUGAAAAAUGCAUCUAUAAUUUUUUAUACAAAUUGACGUGACAUAAUAUAAAUGGUAGAAUAAAAAUACUACAUGGCUUAAUAAUAUAAUACCAUAAUAAUUUGUAUUAAAAUAAUUCAUACAAGAGUUUGUAGUAUUAUUAUUCAAUCUUCUAUUGAGUUGAUAAGUAGUUAGGUUUGCGGUGGAUGCUCCCUGGCCUCAUCCAUGGGUUUUAAAGUAGUUUUAUUUAGUUCGCCAUUUAAGUUCAAAUUUUUGGAGAGGUAAGGGUCUAAAAAAUGAAUUUAAGUUUUACGAAUUCCCUUACCAUUUUUUUGAUAAAAAUAAUUAGAUAUUGAGCAGAACUAUUGGUUUUGGAUUGAUACCCCUCCAAAACCCUUUGAUAACCUCUUCUAGUUAUUUACAUAUUUAACCUCCAUAGAAAUUACAUUAAAAGACAAAAUAUAUAUUUAAUUAAACUUAUUUUUUUUCUUUUAAAAAGGUAAGGGGUGAGCCAAAACCAAAUAAUUUUUUUUUUUCCCUUACCUCCCCCAAGGCUCGAACUCGGGUAAUCAGUUGCUACAAACAUCAUGCUGGUUGACCACGCCGAAGAAAAAAAAAAGGACUAUUUUUUAUUUUUAGAAAAUUAUUUGCCCCCACGUGUCGCAUCUGUUAUAUGUUAUUUAACAACUUCUAUAUUUUUUUUCUCUCUUGAAUUAAACACACACACAUAUAUAAACUUUUAAACCACCUAAAAAAAUUCGAAAACCUCAUUAUUCAUUUUCCAUAUCAAAUAUGGAAGAGAGGCUAUGGCCUAUAUGAGCAAUCAUCAAUGUAAUUAUGCUAAGAAUGACCAAUGGCAAAUUAAACAAACAAGUUUUUCAACGAUUUGCUUAUGUGCUGAAAAUAAUUGGAAACUAAAAAUCAUAAAUAGAAAAUUUAAAAGGCUUUUCAGCUAAAACAUGUUAGCAAGAGGGAAAAAAAAUUAAAAGGCUUUUUAGCUAAAACAUGUUAGCUAAAUCAUGGGUUAGUCUUAAAAGCAGCUCAACCCAAACCACAUAUCCAUGCUCAUGAUUAUUAAUUAAACACACAUUAACACUACAUGGAACUCGAACCCAAAAUUAAAAUCUUGAGAAAACUAACAUAUGAAUGUAAUUCUUAAUCUCGUGUUCAAUCUUAUUACUAUGAAACAUGAUUUAUAUUUGUAUUUGACCAUCAAUUGAUAGAUUAUAGUUAUAAAAUAUUUAAUGUUAUUAAUUUAGUAUAAUAAUUAUGCAUGUCAAGUGUAGUUGUAGUUAAUUAUCCCUUCCCUCGAUAAUUUGAUUUAAAAUUAAGGUCAUUUUCUUCAAUUACAAAAGUUUGAUUGAUCUUACAAACUAGUGAACUACAAAAGGGUGAUUUGUAAAGAAUUUCAGUAUAUCAUAGGGGUGUCGGUAGCAUCACUCUUAUUUGAAAUUCUCAUCAUAGUACUUAUAUUUUUUAAAUUGUCCUAAUCAACAGUAAUUUUUCAGAUGAAAAAUGCAUCUAUAAUUUUUUAUACAAAUUGACGUGACAUAAUAUAAAUGGUAGAAUAAAAAUACUACAUGGCUUAAUAAUAUAAUACCAUAAUAAUUUGUAUUAAAAUAAUUCAUACAAGAGUUUGUAGUAUUAUUAUUCAAUUUUUCAAAGACAUGAAAGCAUGUCUUUAAUUGAUGUGCCUAACUUAAUGUCUAUCGUUAAUGCCUAACUUAUCAAUAAUCAUGUCACUAUAUGAAUAAUAAAGAACAAAAAUUACCGUUUUCGAUAUUCUUUUAAUGAGAUUUGAACUCGAGUUUAUUUUGUAGUUAUUACUUCACGAAAAUUGUCAGGAGUAAAUCAUAUCAAUUUGGGCAUCACCAUCAUAGAAUAAUAACUUAUUAUGUCACAAAAAUUAUUUUCUGAGUGUACUGAUUUCGUUACUUGAAUUUACAUGCAACUGCUUUUAAUUUAUCUUGAUUAAUGUUUCUUUAAAUAUAUAUAUAUAUUAGCUGCAAAUUAACCUGAGAUUAUGUCAUUUAAGGUGUCUGUUGAGUGACCCAAAAAAAAAAAAAAAAAAAACUUCAGAUGACAGAUUCGUAGACUAUCUCUUAUGGUAAUGAUAGGGGUUUAGCAGCAUCUUUUUAUUUAUUUAUCAUUAUCAUUAUUUUGAAAUAGAAUUUGCCUCAUAUUAUUGUCAAUUUUUCAGUUAAUUUUAUUCUUAGAGAUAGUACAAUUGGUUAGACCUCUUGAUUUAUCCAUCUGAAAAUAAAUUAAGGGAAAUUAUCAUUCGUAUACCCUAUAUUUGCUUUGUUAUAAAAAAUACUACAACACUUUGAGGGUGUAUCAAUCGUCCACCCUAAGUUGACGAAAUGUAUCAACCGACCACCAAACUGUUAAUUGCCAUUUGAAAGUUAAUGGAAUUAUAGUGAAUUGGCGAUUUUACCCUUGAAAAUUAUCACUUGUAUACCCUUAAGUUCUCUUUUUAUCACUUGUAUACCCUUAAAUUAUCACUUGUAUCAUAUGAAAAGACUAAAUUACCCUUCUGACGUUAUCAUAUUUAAACGGCAACUAACGAUUUGGUGGUCGGCUGAUACAUUUUGUCAACUUAGGGUGGACGAUUGAUACACCCUCAAAGUGUUGUAAUAUUUUUGAUAAUGAAAUAAACUAAGGGUAUAUAAAUGAUAAUUUUUCAUAAAUUAAUUACUUCAUAUUUGUGUGUAGCAGAAUAAGGUGAGGUGAGACGAGGCGCCUACUUAUGGGUCCCCUUUUGUCAGAUAAUCUAUUUGAAGGUUAUUUCGAAUUGUUCACCAAAAACACCCUCUAUUAAGCUUUUGUAAGAUCCAUUAAUGAUUUACCCCAGCUUGAUAGUAAAAAAAUGCUAGAAUUGAAAGACAUGUCGAGGUAGGUGGACGAUUUUCUCAUUGUUCUGGCUUUCUGCCCUCUAAGACUAAGGGAUAGCGUAGGUGAUAACUAAUCUUUAAUUUAAUGCAGGAAGAUUUUAAUUGUGGCCGCCUAGAAGACUAACUGAUUUGAUAAGAUAAUAAACAACAACUUAAUAUAUUAAAGGGAUCUGAUUUCCUACCUAAUCUUUAAUUUAGUCCUGGAAGUAACGUUGCAAUUUGCAACUUGGGCACAAUCUUCAAUGAGAUGAUUCAUUGAGGAAUACAAAUACCCAAAAAAAUUACAAAUAGGAUAAAAUAAAGGACGAAAUGAAGAAUAGUUUAAGCAAUUAAUCCAUCAAAUAUCGUUUCUGGAGUUUCGACUGCAAAUGAAAUUUCAAAUAUGCAAAUGGAUCAGAUAAUAGAUAAAAUCUUCCUUAAGAAGUUGACAGAUUAGCUACUUUUAACAAAAAAUUGGUUCACAUAAUUUUGACAAGUAUAUUAAAAAGAACAAAUUGCCUUUUUGUUUAUUUCCCAUUGUCAUAAAGGGUAAUAAAGUGAAUUCAAUGUUCUUUUUCUUUUUCACGCGAAUAUGAAAAACCAAAAAUACAUCUUAAGUUAACUAAUCAAUUUGCAGUUGAGUCCCAAUUUGUAAUCAAAUGGGGGAUAUAUAUAUAUAUUUUAACACAAGGAUCAUGAUUAUUUGAUUUUUUUUUUUAAUAAAGGGAUAAUGGAGAAAGUAAAUUUUAUACAUAUAUUAUCACUGAAAAAUACAUGAUAUAAAAUCUUAAUUUAUACACUUAUUAUCACCGAAAGACGCAUGAUAUGAAAUCUUUAAAAACUCAUGGGAGUUCAGAUCAUGAAGAAAUCAUCCUAAUUCUUUACAUAUUUUGUCAAAAUAGCAUUACUCAUUAGAUUAAAGAAAAAAGCUUUUAUUUGCAAUUACAAAGCCAAGGCCAUGCACGACAGCUAUUUUUCACUUACUGUAUUUACUAAUUUUAUUUAUACCUUUUUGGGUUUAUUCAUCAAUAUCACUUACUGUAAGCCAUCAAAUUUAGGUGUUAACCAAUUACCUCCUAUGCAUUGAUUUACCAUCCAGGUCACAGCAAAUGAUACAUCAUUACAAUAUUUUUGUUGUAUCGGAAUGCCGGUAAGGAGAAAUUAACUGUAGGAGAAAAUGAUUUAACAAAAAGAGACACAAACAAGUUGAACUUGAUUCAAAAAUUUGCCUCCGUCCACGAGAGUGGCGCAACAGCUUUCCCGGUCUACUUAGAGAAUCUACAAGAGCAUUCAGAACUCUCUCACUCUAAUUAACCAAAGGCCCAAAACACACAACACAUUGGUCAGAUCAGCUCACAGCUAAUUAAGAAGCCAAACGCUUCCUGUUUAGAAGCUCCCUUUUGUUUUGCUCCUUGGGAUGGUACAUACCUUGCAACAGCAAUACAACAAUGGGAUAGCUUAAGGACACAUGUACUGUAUGGUUUAGGCGCUCCACUGAUCUUUUAGUGCUCUUUAAUUAAUGAUGCUCUCCACUACUUCAAGUUAAUUGAGUGCUCCCAAGGAUGCUCCAUAAUUAAGCCAUCUUUAAUUUGGUGACUGGAUCACCGCGUGCACGUAUAUUUAUUGCCCCAGACUAUUUAAUUUAAUUUACCAAUAUACUCGUAACAGGUAUUUGGGCUUUUUCCGUUUGUGUUCGCUCAUUUGCUAACUAGUUCUAAAACCAUACAUGGUUGAUUCAAUCAGCUUGCUGUGAAGGAGAAAAAAAAAAAAUUCCAGAAAAUAAAAUAUUAUAACACUUUUGUACGAUAGUUAUAUAUUGCCUCAGCUGUAAUUUUAUUUAACAAUUGCUAGAUAAAAUAAAUCUAACAAUUUUGAGACAAUAAAAGAUAUCGAUCAAGCAUGGAGAAUGCUAAUAGCUAGACCGGGUGUUGAAUUGAUGGCCAGACUUAUUUGACGUUCGAGCCGAUCUGAUGGCAUUGAUCACAUCAUCACUUACUAGGAAAGAUUUGGUCAACACACUAUUGGGAACUGAGGGAUUAGUAUCAAACAGAGUACCGACUGAAUCCGAAACGCCGGGAUUUUGACUGUUGAAAAUGGGCACGAAAGUAGCCUUUCCUUUUCCAACGUUUAAUUGGAAAUGGACAUGUGCUCUAGGAAUUAAGAACACCAUCCCGGGAGUCAAAACCUUUGAGAAAAAGGUAUUAUUAGUUGUUACAAAUCCCACAAGCACCCUCCCUUUAAGAACAAUACCAGCCUCAGUUGCGCGAGGAUGCGUGUGAGGCGGAUUUAUUCCGCCGACACCCAGGUCAAUUCGGAAGAGUGAAACUCCUUGAGUGUUGACCGCUGGAAAGCCAAACACAUCACCAAAUGUAACUGCACGCUUAAAGACAUCGAAUGUCGUCGGAUCCUUGGAAAAAUCCGUGAAGAAAUCAUCAGAAGUCACUUCCGAAGCAGGCUUGCACGGGAAACCAUUGAUCGAGAUGGGGGCAUCCAAAUCCGCAACACAGAUGUCUUGUAAGGGAUCAGGGUCACUUGCGUGGGAAGGGAAGGGUAGAAUCACUAACACUAGUAGCAGCCCGAAGAGUGACAUUGAUGAAGAAGCCAUAGCCGUAUGGCUGUGAUGUUUAAAAUCUAGUAUUUAGGAGCUGGCAGGAUAUAUAUGUUGAUGGAUUGAAUCGGAAGAUCAUACAUCUAUUUAUAGAACACCUUACUCGUUGUGAUCUGAAACCUUUGCUUGGCAUGGAUAUUAUACUAAAAAUAUUGUCCAAGAGUUGACGGCCGACUCUAAAGUACUAGGGGACUAAGGUAAAUUUUUUUUAUUGAGGCCCCAGCAACUUUAAUAUCAAAUAUAUAAAAGAGCUUAAAGUUUAAUCAUCUUUAAUUAUAUUUUGAACUUCGACAAUGAAUAAUUAAUAAGAUCUUAAGAAAUUUCAAAAAAAAAAAUAGUUAAGAAAAUAUCUUUUGAACUAUUAUUUUAAAUUUAAUAAUUUUCUUUGUAGGGAAGAGUGCAAAAUUUUUUUAAUGUUAAAUAAUUAAGUUUUUUUAAUAGACUAUAAGUAAAAAAAGAAUUUAAUUUUCUUCUUAAAAGAAUAAUAAUGAAUGAAUUAACUAUUAGAUAAUAUUAUUAAUUAUAGUGCUUUAACAAUCAAAUAUAGAAUUUGUAUAAAAAAAACUUAAUUAUAGAAUAAUUAUUAUUAAUUAGAAAGAGGUCUAAAAAAUCGAUUUUCCUAUUAUAUCUAACUUAAAAAAAAAAAGAUCUUCUUAAAAUAUAGAGUCUUAGAAAUUUGCUUAAUUCACUUAUGCAUAAAGCCGCCCAUUUGAUGUUAGGUGAGGUUUGUUUACCUACUAAGGGUGCGUUUGUGAUUGAGGUGCUGUAGCUUUUAAGCUACAGCUGCUGUGAAAAAAAAGCUGUAAUUAUGAAAUAAAAGUUAAUAAUAUAUAGUAAAUAUAAAUUUUAAAUAAUAAUUUUAUCAAAAUUAUUAAAGAUAUAAUAAAUUUUAUAUUAUACAAGUGAAAAAUUAUAUCAAUAUAGCUUAAAAGCUACAGCAGCUAGUGUUUACCAAACACUUUAGUGCUGUAGCUUUUAAGCUACAGCUGCCCAACCUCAAUCCCAAACGCACCCUAAGUCACAUAUUCUUGUCGUCUAAAUUUAAAAUGGUUAAGUUUGUCGUUUUGAUGCCGGUAGAAAAUAUUUAAAACCGGCCAAGAAAGUCAGGAAUAGCUACGUUGUAACUAAAGUAGCCUUGAACGGUGCUAGAAAAUGAAUCAGUACAUAAUAAACAACGAUUUAAUAGAUUAAAUUAUAUGAUCCUCAUAGUAAGUGGACCUUAUCGUGGAAGAAUAUUGUUUUUUUAUUGCUUUGAUAGUGGAAGAAUACUUACUCUGCUGACGACUACAGGACUUGAUCAUGUAUACAAGUUCUAUGUUAAGCUCCCAAGUUGUAAUAAAUUGCAUUAAAGAUUAGGUAGGAAAGCUACUCUUUCUAUAUAUAUAUAUUGUCUCAUUAUUAGACAAUUGAAUCCUUUUCUUAAGUGUAUAUCCAAUUGAAGAAUCUUUUGAAUAAAUUCCGAAUAAGAAAUCUUUCUAUACUUAGCUAAUUUAACUUUCACCUUUCAAGUGGCUCCCAAGGGACAAAGGUUGUGUUAGAGUGGUACUAUUAUCAUCAUUAUUAUUAUUAUAAUUACUAUUAUUACAUUCGAAGUUUAGGAGUGAUUGUUUAAAUGUGUCAUUUUUAUUUCUAUGAAACAAAUCCUGAAAAUAAUAAUAAUAAUAAUAAUAAAAAAGAAGCUAGUCAAUAACAGAACGAGUUACCCCUAUCAUUUUCUGACGCCAUCGAACGCUGUCACUAAAGGCUCUGCAACCGCAAUGUUGUAGAAGUAGAACUCACAUAAAGCACAUUUUCUUGUAAUGUUCCCCAGUUUUAACUUCCUAGGUUUCGUUCAAUGUAAAGUACACGGAGCCUCAGGCUAGACGUCAUAAAAAUUAUAAAGAGGAAAAAAAAAUAAAAAUAAACUAAUAAGUGCUUCAUCCAUCAAAAUUUAGAAGUUUAACAGCAAAGAAGUAAGAAUUGAAAUUUUUACCCCAUUAAAAAAUUCAGACUCGGGGUUUUUUGGCCUUUUUUUUUAAAAUUUUGAUGGCGUUUCUACACAUCAUUUUUUAUUUUACUUUUUUUUGUCAAUUUAUUAGAUUCAAUUAAUUUAUAUGAUUAUAAAUAAAUUAGAGAAAACUUGUGUUUGAGAAACAUUAUAUUAAAAAACAAAUUUAAAUACUUUCAAGAAGUACUUAAUUAUGUAAUUUCAAUUAUACUUAUAAAUUUAGUGUGUAUCUAUCAUUUUCAUUUAUAUAAAUAAUGCAAAUGAUCUCAAUAUUUGAGCUCUAACUUAAGUCAUAAUACUAAAUGUUACUCAUCCAUUGGAUGCCAAAGUUCCCGUAGGAUGGGGGGUCGAGUAUCAUAUCUAAUUUUACCCUGUUUUAUUAAAAAAAAAGGGGUAUGGACAUAACUUUUUAUACCCUGAUGUUAAAUACUAUUACGCAUAUUUUCUCACUAUACUUAUUUGACUAUUCAUUAUUUGUUUUUAUAAAUUUUUUAAAAAGUUAAAAUUAACAGCUAAAUCAAAUAAAUGAUAAAGUAAAAAAAAAUUAAAACUCUAAAUCGAAAACAUUAGCACUUAGCACUUAAUAAACUAAUCGAAAUGACCAUUCAGUAUGAUGUUAUCCUAGAUAUUUACUUGAAGAUUUUAGUUGUUUAAUGAACUAGACAUUUACUUGACCUUCAAAAAUCUUAACCUAGUAGGAAACAAAUGACGAUAGAACAAUAUUUAAGAUCAGUUUAAAGUAGCAAAGGAUGGUCAAAGAAAUGCUCAAGUGGAGGCUUUUAUUGUCAUCUAAAUAAUACUAAUAUAUUGAUUAAAAUUAAACUUAAAAAUUAUCAAUUUAUAAAUAAUAUUUACCUAAAAUUGAAAAUGAUUUUAUAAAAAUAUUUUAAAUAAAUUCCUGCACGUUUAUUUAAAAUUAAAUAGUUAAGGUAUGGUUUUUUCCCUUUUUAAAUAUAUGCAGGAUUUUGAGAUAUAAAAGGAGAUAUAGAGGACAUAGAAAGGGAAUGAGUAUCUAUAUUUGAUAAUGAAGAAUCCUCGAUGCGUACCCAUUCAAACCCACAAUGAGGAUGUGCUCUACUGAAUAGGUAUGCAUAUUGGCAUCUCUGCAAGACACCAGACUCAUUUCCAUUUUCUAAUUGGACUUAAAUUUGGAUUAUAAAAAAUAUUGAAAAAAAAAGAUAAGGGGGUGGUCUCAUAUUUUAGUCCCUUUCCUCCUCCAAGAUUUGAACCGGAGUAGUAAACUAAAUAAAGCUGUUUGAAAUUACUUGGUCACGCCCUUGAAGACAACUUAGAUUGAGAUCUAAAUGUUGGAUCCGUAACGUUACUCUUCUUGAACAUGUUCACUCCUUUAUUUAUUCUUAAUCAUACAAUCGCACCAAUCCCACAGAUGGGGAAACCGUCUAAAUUUUAUCAAUAUUUCAAAAGAAAAAUGACCAAGAAUUAUAGAAGUCAAUAGAUCAUCACCAAUUUCACGUACCAAUUCUUCAAAUUCCAGUAGUUAUUAAAUUUUUUUUGUUAAGAACUUGAAAUUUUGAGGUUUGAAUCAGGCACUGCUAGAGUUAGACUCUGAGUUCUGCCCUUGGUGCCAACUAACUAAUUUAGUAAAAUUUUGAGUGGAAACAAGAGAUCAAGGUUCAAUCAUGCACAAAUGAAUAAAGAGAAUAUUUAAUUACCGAUACGAUAUGCCAAAAAAAAAAAAAAACCUUAAAUUACAUCUAUAUAGUUAGUUAAAUUGGUUGUAUCAGAAGAAAAGGUACCUGUAUACAAGAACGUCAAGGGGCAUGCAUGAAUAUUCCUUUUGGAGUAAGAGAAAUGAUUCCUUCAUUGCAUGAAUUAGCGGAGAAUAUGCAAGAUCCCAAAAGUCGAGAUAGAUUUAUCCGCUGGAAAGCCAAAAACAUCUCCGGCGUAACUCCAAGAUAAUGAAUUAUGGUUAACUGCAGCAGUUUCUUGUUGUAAUCUUAUGGUUAAGUUCAUGAUGAACCACAAUUUUACAAGAUUGAAGAGAGUUGAUAUCCUACAGAAUAGAUUACUAUUUUUAAUUUAUUAAAAAAACAAAAUCAGUACGUUUUGAUGGAAGAAAAUUAUGGGGAAAGCAAAGAUAUUUCGAAGUAUAUCUAGAGGAAGGAGCUCCAUGAAGAAUUUGCGACCAAGUCCGGUUGUCGCAAGCAGAGGAAUUUGACCUUUGACGAGUUCUUUUAUGGUUUAAUCCUUAACUUAUUAGAUUCAUUUAAUUUAUCUAAAUUAUAAAUAAAUUCAAUAAAACUGUGCUUAAGAAUGAUUGCAUUAAAUAAAGAAAAUAUAUACUACUUUACUACUAUAACUAUAAUUUGGGCAAGUUAAAGUUACAUUAUCAUGUAACAAAUAUUAUACGAAUGAGGGUCGUUGGAUUUAAAUAGUAAAAUCGGACGAAUGGAAAUGAAAUGAGCAAUCGUUCCUGUCUCUUACCAACUUUAGCAAACCGUACCUUUGAGAUGCUGGUUUAGGAAGGGAAAAUCCAAAACCCUUAAAAAAUAUAUAUAUAUUGUACGUGGUUGUUGUCAGAGAAGUGAAUUUCUGGCCUUUCUUUUUUUUUUUUUGUUUACUCCCGAUCAAUAUUGACUAACCGGACCUGUCUAUGGUACAGAUUCUGUAACAAACAUCUCCCGUCAUCCCACCAUCCGAUUUUCUAUUGUUUAGUUUCUCACUCCAUAUCCAACCACAUCCAAUGGCUGAUGCUGCAGUCUGUACCUUACAGAUUCUGUAAGCUAGUCCAGUCCUUGACUAACUAUACUUAGGUGAAAUAUUUUACGUUGCAUAAAAAAUUAUUUCAAAAUGGGUUAGGACAAUUUAAAUUAAGUUAAAAUAAUUCCACCGGUAGAUAUGUUACAUUCGAAAGUUUAUUGAAAAUCUAGAUAAAACUCAAAAAAAUUAUUAGGAGUAGUUUGGAAAUUCCACUAGCCACUGCUUCUUGCCUUCUUCUGCUUCUUAUUUAUUUAUUUUUUCUUUCCUUUAUCACAUACUUUUAUUUUGUUAGUGCGAUGGUCAUAGAUGAGGUGAUCGGAUUGGCCAUCAUUUUUUUAAUAAUUUAUUACGAAAAUUCAUGUUUAUGAGUAUGACGAAUGACUUUUUUUUUUUUUUUUUCUACCUGAAAAAAUAAAUAAAUCAUUAGACAUAACAGUAUAGAAUUUCGAAAACCUAAAAAAAAUUAGUCUUGCCCAAAUUCUUCUUAAUUUUGUCUCUUUUUCUUUUCUUUCUUUAAGUUUAUUACCAAAUUAAAAUUUGUAAUUAAGGAAGCAAAGGAAAAAACAAAAAAAUUACAAGAGAAGGUGACGACUACUUGGGGGAAAAGGCAUUAAAAGAAAGAGAAGAAAUAAAGUUAACUUCUAUUUGGCCAGUUUCAUAAUAUUAAGUUGCUCAUUUCAUUUUCAUCCAUCCGAUUUUAUUCUUCGAACUUAACGACCCUUAUUAGCAUAAUGUUUGGUACGUGAUAAUGUAACUUAACCUUGGCCCUAUAAUUUUCAUAAUAUUCUCUAAUUCAUAAUUUCAUUUUCAAUACAUUCAAUAUUAAGAUGAUCAGUAUCAAAACGCCGUAACCUGGUUUUGAAAAAAGUGCAGGUAGUAAAUAGGCAAAAACAUAUUCUCCUUAAGAAAGAAAGUUGGUGUUAAUCGCAAGCAGCCAAACCCCACUAAGGGUGUUUGUGGAUUGAAUUUUACGGAUUGGACAUCAAUUCAUAUGCGAUUCAUAAUUUUGUGGAUUAUAAAUUUUUAAUCCAAUGUAAUCCACGAAUUGGUGAAAUUCAAUUCAAAUCCAAUCUAUUCGUUUUCGAAUCAAAUGCAGAUUUGACCUAAUCCUAAUCCAUAUCCAAUCCACCAUUUUACGGACUGGUUUGCGGACUAAAAAUUUUUAAUUAUAUUCUAUCCACAAACUAACUAAAUAAAAAAUUUAAUAUAAAACUGAUUUUACUAUCGAUUAAAUUCAAAAUUAAAUAAGAUUUAAAUAAAUUAAUUGUUUAAAUAAAGGUAGAAAAUACAGUCAAAGUUUUUAAAUAUAACACAAAAAAAAAAAACUCAUUUGCUUAUAUCAGUGCAUGAAAAUUAACUAUUUAGGAAGCUAUAUUUUUUUAUUUAAUUAUUUUUUAUUUUAUAUUAUUAUCAUAUAAGAUAUAAUAUGGUGUUAAUGUAACUAUAUUUUAACUUAUUUAUUUAUUAAUAAGUAUAAUACCAUAUUUACAAGUUUAAUUUUUUUAUUUUUUUGCAGAUUCGUGGAUUUUUGGGGAUUUUUUGCGGAUUUAUAGAAGUAAAUUCAUAUCUAAUCCACCGACUACGGAUUUUCAAAUUUUCAAUCAAAUCCAAUCCAAUCCAAUCCACUAAUCCACGGAUCAAAUUUUUGCAGAUUAAAUUUCUACGAAUUAGACAGAUUGAACGGAUCAUAUUGGAUUCUGAAUACCCCUAAGCACUACCCCAAGCGUGGGUAUGUUGCGUAGCGGCAUAUCAGAAAAUUAUUUGAUGUCUCCACUUCAUGAUACCUAAAUUAGGUAUAACGUACGAACCCAUCAGACUGAACCAUCAAUCAAUCACUAGUUAAAAAAUAAAGAGAGAAUGAUUUUCUUAUCUUUGAGAGAUCAGAGAAGUGAAUUUAUUGAGAAGUACAAAUAUAUUCCGAACAUUUUUGUAAAUUUAAAACAAUUUGGCAUCAAUUCAUCGUUUUGCAAUCAUCAAUGUAACAUCUCAAAACGUGUAAAUUCCAUUUAACAAAAUAUAAAUAUCAGGAAUCCAUUCUUAAAUGCCAAAGUUUAUGAUCAGUAGAUACUCGGGUCAGCCAUGGCCUAUCAACAAUGGCAUAUCGAAGCCUUCAUUCUAUAUUUCCAUUCCUUCAAUACCAAAAGCCUUGCACGUCAAGCAUUUAACAAUCCAUGUAAUCCUCUUGACAGCUCAAAGGCCAAGCAGUUUGAAAUGUCUUGAUGAUUGUUGACGUUGAAUAAAGCAUUUACAUUUGGUUGAAAUCCAGCAUCAAAAUUGCAUCCUGUAGUUUGUUUAAUUAGUUAUUUGAGAUGAAAAUGGAAUCAUUCUUAACAAAGUAGAAGACAAGAAAAAAUAGUUUAGAAGAAGAAAAUAGAAUUAAAACUCACAUACAGAACAAAUUAGGAGAAUCGCUAAGCGCACCUGUCUAAGGCAGCGGCACUAAUGGGAAUUACACCAGACGGGGAUACAAGAGCAUCAACUGGCAUGUCCUUUGGAGUAGCUGAUAUGAUUCCUUCAUCCAUGAUCUGCAAAGAAUAUGACAGAGCGACUGCAAAACCAAGGUGAAAAUAGAGAAAUGACCAAAUCUGCUUCUUUAAAUCAAAUUAAGAAACAAUAUAAUCAGUUUAUAAGAACCUAGAGCUUCCUAUUCAUAUUGCACAGAGGAAAAGUGAAACAGAAGUUAUCCAUACCAAAGAGGGGUUGCCUCCAAUUUCUUUCCUUUGCAAGCUCUUGGUACUUCUUCAGGAAUGUAUCAUAAUAACUUCAGAGUUUUUUCAUCACAUACAUUAACAAAAAGUUACACCAAGAUACAAGAAUCCACAUAAAUUUAAGAAUUUAAAAUGAAAGCUACAGAAGAAACAGGGGAAAGUGAAAUAAAAGUGUUUCUUGGGCAUUAAACCAACGAGACAGAACAAGAAAGCUAUAAUCGUUACCACUAACCUAGUAGUACUAGUAUUUUGAGGGGUAAAAGAAUAAAAAAUCAAGAAUUGUAGUGACGAGAGCUUUCAUAUUUCAAAAUUGAGCAAUCUAGUCCUAAGAAUCCUUAGCUUGGCCCUAUUGUUGGAAUUCUGGGAACAAGCAGCUACAAAAGGGUCAGAUGGAAUCCAGCUUGUGGACAAAAGCUUGAGUUAAAGGUUCAUAAAAAAAAAAAUGUGCUUGCUUCCAUGGAUAUUCUUGAUUUGUGAGUGCAUGUGUGGUUUUUCCAUAACUCAAAUUGCAGUACCACAGAGAUUAAAUAACUUUCACCAGGCCAAGAGAAGCACGAGCCUUACCCUCCACCACGGCCCAAGCGUCUCCCAGACCUGUCAAAUGCAAGUCCUGGCAAAAAGUAUCUGAUGAAUACAAUGGACUUUUCAUUUCUAUACUCUACAUGAGAAAUUAAAAAGAGGAAAAUUGACAAGUAUACCAGGUAGGAGAAAUAAAUCCACUGGCUCAUUUGCCUGCAUUACUGCAACAAGAGAGAUAUUUAAAAUUCACAACAAUUUAAAGCCAAAGAGAGAAAAAUGUGUUUGCCUGCUAGUAUAUAUUACAAUAGCUUAAGUAUAUUUUUCUUGAGAGAGCUUCAACACAAAGUUGUGGAAGUUUCACAAAAAUGGUCCCUUAUCAUGGAAUUGUAAGUUUUUCAUUGCAGAAAUAAUAUGUUGAUAUCCUAUAUAUGCCAAAUCCAUUUCCUUUUCGACUUCUGUUGUGUGUGUUUGUAUAAUACAAAAUAAGCACAAAUUCAUAACAUAAUGACCAACAAUAUACCAUCUUCUCGUUCAUUUCCAUCAGCAUCUACUGGAGCUGGUUCUAAAAUAUUCAUCGAGUUUGCAAUUAGAUCAUCAAUACUUGAGAUGUGGAACAUGCGCAUGUGACUAUUCUUGUCCUCCACACGUGGCACAUAGAGCUUCUUCCUUGUCUUUGUAUCACCAUCUAAAUACAGAUACAGCAAUAUUAUAAUUUAUAAGAAUCACCAGACAGAAAACAUACAAAUUGGUUACGGCCGCCCCAUUUCAUCAAUCAUCACCACAUAGGAUCUCAAAGACAAAUACCCAAUACAGGAUACAGAACGCACCUGCGUUUGGAAUUUGCAGAAUUUGAGACAACAACUUUGAUGUAUCAACUUCUCUCAAAGCAGAGCAACUUAUAUAGGCACAUAGUCUCUGACUAGAUUUAAACCACGGGGCUUCUAAAACAAUUUUCUGAAUUGCAUUGUCUGGAACCAAAAUAAAAUUACAAAAAGUGCAGUAUGUCUUCAACUAACAUCAAAUAUAAGAAUAUAAUAAUAAGAUGAGAUCGAAGUGAAAGAAGGUGCUGACCUUCAUGGGAUCUUAGCGAGGGGUCCAUGGACUUGAGGGUCUUUCGGACUUGGGAUCGAAGGAUCCGUUUUUGCUGGAAAAUGGACUCCAGAUCAUGUUCUUUUUCUUCAGGGUUGCUGCUGUCGUUGCUCUGGCUCAUCGUGCCCACAAAAUAGCAACCAGCAAGGUAGGUGGAGAGGAGUGACUUUGUUGGUUUUGUGUGCGCAUUAUUGCCCUUUGGGUCGUCAGCAAAAGCCAACCUCUCUCCUCUGGUUGUCUUAGCCCACUCUUUUUUUUUUUUCCUAUUUCUUUAAUUAUUUUUUCAUUAAUGCAUUUGCAUCCCUGAAGACUUUGGUUUUGUGUUCGCCACCCAAAGCAAAGAAAAAAAAUAAAAUAAAAUGAAGGGUUAUGUUUAUUUCCUAAAAAAGGGUUUAUUGAAGCAUAUUAAAGAUUGUAUUAUUUUUCCUUAAAAAAAAAUGAUAUCAUUGAUGGCAUCACUGUAUAUAUGAUUUAUAAAUAAAUAAUUAUUUAUAAUUUAAAUCUCCUUUAUUUUAAUUACAUAAUAUUUUUUUUAUUUCAUUAAUAUUUGAGGAGAGAUUUUUUUUCACCUUAUUCUUGAGGUUUAGAAUACUGUUCGAGCAUCUCCUGCAUGUGUGUGAACAUAUUUCCUUUCUUUAUGUUAUUGUUACACUAUAAUGUAAAAAUAUGUAGCAACAAAAAUAUUCAUAAUAAAACCCCGAGGUACGUAAUAUUUAAAGAUAAAAGAUGGGAAAAAGUCCAUAUUCCAUUAUGGCCAUAUUUAUGAAUUUAUAAAAGUAUGAGAAAUAAUCACAAAUAGAUAACAUUGCAGGGACCAUACUUUAAAAUCUUGCUUCUGAAUUCCUGAUAACAAAAUAAUAAUGCUCAGCUGCAAACCAACAACAGCAUUACAACUGAGUUCGAGGGCCAAGGCAAAUCCACUCCCUUGUAUCUCUCUUCAAACCCUAACCCUAAUCGCAAAUCUACAAUGACCUGAACCUUCAUCCAGCCCUCAUUGUCCGUGCUCACGCUUCACUGUCCGAUCACAAAAUCAUAUCUAAAGGCGUCGAACGAAAUCUCAAACGAUGCCGUCGCAGGCCGAUCUGGACCGUCAGAUCGAGCAUUUGAUGCAGUGCAAGCCGUUGCCGGAACAGGAGGUAAAUAUUUUGUGCGAGCAAGCAAGAGCUAUUCUUGUGGAGGAAUGGAACGUGCAACCCGUCAAAUGCCCGGUCACCGUCUGCGGCGACAUUCACGGACAGUUUCACGAUCUCGUCGAGCUUUUUCGCAUAGGUGGCAACGCUCCUGAUACCAAUUAUCUCUUCAUGGGCGACUAUGUUGGUCAGUUCCUGUGGUGAAUUUAUUUGUCUAUAGUUAAUGGGUUUUUUACUUUCCAAUUUUUCAGUUUUUGUCAAGGUUUUCUUAUCAUGUUGUGAUAUUAUGGAGAUAUUUGCAAUGUCUAGAUAUGAUAAUGAAUUUUAUUAUGAUUUUCCCCCAAUACAAAUUUGAUUGAUGAGUAGUUUAGAGGGUAUAUUUAUUGCAUUGCCUCGAUUACUUUAUCUAAAUUAAAGUUACAGGAUAUGCAUAUAUUUUAUAUGAAGUUAACUUAACCUGUUUUGAACGAAGCUAAGCUUUAAGCCAGUAUUUUGUCAUCAGGGAAGUGCAUUGGGGUGUAAACAUUAGUUGGAGCUGCUGGUUUCAAUGAGUAUGUGUGACUAACAGAAAUGGAGUGGUGCUUUUCAUGGAUCGAUAUGCAACUUGAUUUGACAAUAAAUAAACUAUGUACUAGAGGGAGGAUACUUUCUCUAGCAACUAGCAUGUUUUUCUAAGAAUUGCUUUAUCAAGAUAACCAUGGAUAGAACACUGAUAGUGUAGAUAUAUAGCGAUUUAAUUGAAAAAACAAUUUCAAGUAACUUAGGACUUGUAACAGGCUUAUAUAAGCUACGCAUCUUUCAAAUGUAAUAUGCAUUUGUUAAACAUAUUAUAGUAUUCCUACACCUGAAAGAUAUAGUUUCCACAUUUGUUAUUGGAUUAGCAGUUUCAGCCUUGAUCCAUAUUCCAAUGAAUUCUGCAGCACAUUCUGUUUCUCUUGUUAAGAUAUAUUAACUUUUAGACUUUCUAUCCAAGUGGUGACUCCGUUUCUUGCUGAACCUUUGACUUUUAGAAGUUGAUGUGCAACGAUGCUGAGGAUCAAAGCACUGGUGAUGUAAGCAAAAGAAGAAAGUACUGGUAUUUGGAUGAUUUUGAUAAGUUAGCUCAAAAAGUGAAGGAAGUGGAUAUGAAAGCCAAUUUACUAUAGGAUGAAAGUGAUUUUAAGUUGGAGGUAGAGUUAAUUGUUGUUGGAGAUGAUAUCUAAAUAAAAUCAACUACGACAUCAAUGAUAUAAUUAAUCUCAUGCUUGAAAGUUGUAACCAAGGUUUCCUAGUGUAUCUGAUUAAGGUUGUCAGUGGCUUUCCUUUUUAUUUCUUUCAACUUUAGCUACAGACUUUGUCCAUACAUCUUCUUUUAUCAGAUUGUCAUUGAUUGUUGUGUUGUGAUAUUAUGCAGAUCGUGGAUACUACUCAGUAGAGACCGUCACUCUUUUAGUUGCUCUGAAAGUACGUUAUAGAGAUAGAAUAACAAUUCUGAGGGGAAAUCAUGAGAGUCGUCAGAUAACUCAAGUGUAAGAAUAUAGUUGUUCAAAUUCAAUCCAUUGAAAAGUAGCAAUCACUGUUUCAUUGAUCAUCAACAAAAAGAUGUCUCUGCACUUUUGAUGUCCAGCAUGUACUCCUGUUCAUAUUUCAUUUAGUUUAAACAUAAAGGGGUGCUAGCCGAAUUGUUCUCUUAUUUUGUUAAGCAAUUCUAGUCAAAUUAGUGCGAGUUUAGUGAAGAGAUACAGAGAAUUUCCCUGUGUUCAAAAGUGGUUAUUUAAUUAAAUUACUUUAAAAAAUUGUGGAUAAUUUGGGUGUUGGGUGUUCUAUGUUUGGUCAUUUUGGUCCAGCAGUCUAGGCUUAUGUCAAAAUAACUUGAUGGUUUCAUUUUUCAGGUACGGAUUUUAUGAUGAAUGUUUGAGAAAAUAUGGAAAUGCUAAUGUCUGGAAGCAUUUCACUGACCUUUUUGAUUAUCUGCCACUUACAGCUCUAAUUGAGAGUCAGGUUUGAAUUUUAUUAAACAGAAUUUCUCUGUUUAAAUCCUUGUAUUGUGGCUGACAAAUGUCAUCUGUAAAUCUUUUUGCAGGUUUUCUGCUUGCAUGGAGGACUUUCCCCAUCUUUGGAUACAUUAGAUAAUAUACGUGCUCUGGACCGUAUACAGGAGGUAGUCCACCAUUUUACCUUGAUUGGUUGCAAAUUUAUCCCUUCCUAUUUCCCUGACAGCCCGUUACAUUCAUUCCAUUUGGUUCCCGCAUUUUCCAAUGUUAACUAGAAACUCAAGCACUUCUUGUCACAUGAAUCAUUACUGUCAUGAUUUACAUUUCAUCUCAAUCAAAAUGCUUUUCCAACCUCCUCAAUUCUUGUUGAUAUUUUUUUCGUUACAUGAAAGUAGGUUCCUCAUGAGGGCCCAAUGUGUGAUCUCUUAUGGUCUGAUCCCGAUGAUCGAUGUGGAUGGGGAAUAUCUCCUCGGGGUGCUGGGUACACAUUUGGGCAGGAUAUAGCUUCACAGUUCAACCAUACUAAUGGGCUGACUCUUAUUUCUAGAGCUCACCAGCUCGUAAUGGAAGGAUACAAUUGGUGCCAAGUAUGACAAUUAUUAAUGAAAGUAGAAUUAGUUUUGAUUUGUUAUUUCUAGAGAUUUUAUUCAUUUGUUUGCUUACCAUAAUUCGUGUAGGACAAGAACGUGGUGACAGUGUUCAGUGCACCAAAUUAUUGCUACCGGUGUGGAAAUAUGGCUGCAAUUCUUGAGAUUGGGGAGAAUAUGGAGCAGAAUUUUCUUCAAUUUGACCCGGCGCCUCGUCAAAUUGAGCCUGACACCACACGCAGGACUCCAGACUAUUUUUUGUGAUUGCCAUGGAUUCCACUGGUGAAUUUUAUUCUUUAAUGUUGUGUUUUUGUAGAUGUCUCUUACAAAAACUGAGUUAUUGUUUUUAGUCAAAGGAGAGACAAGACGAAGCCAUUGUUCUUGUCAUUCUUUUGAUUGAAGUUUUUAUGGUGUUGGGUUCAUGUGAGUUUAUAGGUCCGAUCUGUAGUAGCUUCUUUUGUAUUCUAAAAUGGGAAGAAAAUGGAAAUGUCAUGCUGUGUUGACGUGUGAAUUUUACAUCCUUAGGUGAAACAUUCGCCCAUUCCAAUAACCAAUUCAGAUGCAUAAACCUUUAUGCAGCUCUGCUAGUUGCGGCCGGCUUACGCUUGAGUUCUGGACGUGACAGAAUUUGGUUUCUCAUAAAUAGAGUCUUAGAAUAUUUUUGAAAUUAUUACAAUUCGCAAAUGCAAUUUGGAUUUAACGUGGACGCACGAGGAGGUGAUCAAACGUUAAUUAAGAAAUCAACUCCACUACUACUUGGGAAGAUAUCUAUCCCAAAAUCCCAUUUCAAAAUUUUAAUAUAAGGAAUGAAAUCAGGCCCCAAGGCGAACCUCAGACUAUUUCGAGGGCGUGAGCACCUAUGGCAGUGCCAGACCUAUGAAGUAGUAGGGCACAUUAAUUUACUUAAAAGAAUUUGGACUUUGUUUAAAUAAAAUUUCAUUUAAUUUUGUAUCUAAUCCACUCAUUUAAAGAAACUUUGAUGAUGAAAAAGUUUAUUUAAACUACAAAAUAUUUUAAAAAUUAUAUCACUGAACUACAAUCCUAGCGACAAUAAAAUAGAAUCAAGACACUUGAAGGAGGUUGGACAGACGUUUAACACUUUAUAUUUAUAAAGGGAGCUUGCUGUGUUACAGACUCUGAAUGUAACGCAGCAAAUGGGGUGCUUCCACGCGUUGCAGGAGAGAGGAAAAGCAACCCAAACUCAGCUGAUGCAAGGCCAAUGUGGACUCAGCUGUUACAUACAGAAUCUGCAACUUAGUUGAGUCCUUUUAUAAAGUUAAAAUUCCACUUUCGAUUGCACAAACUAACUUGUAAAGAAAAGGGUUAAGCCACGUGAAUCAUUGACUACUUGUGAAAGAAGGAGACAUCUUUGAGACACAAAUAAAUUAGAAAGGGAUGGGACACGUGUCUUUAUCUUCCAACUCAACCCAACCACUUCUGGAAGAAGGAGCCGCUCUCUAUCUCUAGUGGAAUUGAAAGCAGAAAUAUCUUGACACAUCAUCAACUGCUCCUUGCUAUUAACGAUCAUUAACAUCCCAUCGUUGUCUAACGGCUCUCCCGUCAAAUCAAAAUUCAAAUUUCUCAUGCGGUUACAUCUCUCUGGUCCAGAACCAGACAUCGACCUAGUGUGUAUAAUUAUAAAUAAAUGAUAACCCUCACAUCUCUCGUCUCCCAGCAAGUGUUUUCCCAUGGAAACACACAGAUAGCUAAGCUUAGCCAGGCAUCUAGCACUUUAAAUCAGGAAUGGGCUAUCUUCUGAGUUUCAGAUUCCAUCCAGCAGGUGAAGAAAUCAUCAAUCUUCUGAACGAGAAGGGACUUGACCCUGAUUUCUCUGUCCAAACAAUUUACAAGGUUGAUAAAUACUACUUCGACCCUCGACAAUUAUUCUGUAAGUACCAUCAUUUAGCCAUCACUCUUCAACAAUUUACAGAGUUCAUGGUCUUUUUGCGAGCAUGGUCACGCUUCUAAGGUUGAAUGGGUCAUGCUUGAGUUUCAUUCUGAGUACAACGGUCCUUUUCCCAUUUAUUGUUUAUUUUUCUCGAUUUUGGCAUUCACCUUGUGAUUAAUUUUUUAAAAUUGUUGUACAUUUUCCUUUCUGUAAACUCUAGGAAGUUGCAGGCUUUGUUUCCACCUGUUAUGUUCGUCAAUCAAGUAGCCAUUUGACUUCAAAUUUAGAAAUCAUGCUGAGGAGAACAAGUUUUUAACAAUUCAGUUUUAUACAUGAUUGAUUUCUUUUCCUUUGAAAAUAUGCUAUUAUUAAUUGUGAAGGUCCGAAAUUCCUCAUCCUUCAUAGGUAUAAAAAAACCUAACGGCCCUAGCUUAGACUCUGAAAUCCCAUGACACAGCUUGCUCUAUGUUCCCAAACUUGUGUUUUGGCUUGACUAAUAAGAGUGGACAUUUGAUUCUAGCAGACGGUGUCAAAAACAUGUUUUGAGUAAAGGGUUCUUUUUUCUGUGGAUUUAACUUCAGGUACAAACUCAGCAACUACCAAUUCAUCAUAUGACUUAUAACUUCAGAAAUCAUGUUGCAGAAAAUAGCUUUUCGAGGGUGAGAAAGCUCAUGCCUUAGCGGCAGUUUCAAUAUCAAGUUAUCCAUGUUGAGUAUGACACUUUUGCUAAAAAAUUAAUACUCUUGGCAUUUUAUUUUAGGUAGAACCUCAACAACUACCAAAUCACAAUUUGCCUUUUGAUUGUGGAAAUCAUGUUGCAGAAAAUACUGUUCAAGGGGUGAGAAAAGACGCAUCUUAUACUCCAUUAUCAAUGUCAUCAAUUCCUAAAUGUUGUAUAUAAGGAAUAAAUCCAAGAUUAAUGCUUCUUAUUUGCGGAUCUUUACUUCAGGUAGCACAUGAACAAGUAGCAGGUCAUAAUAUGACUUUCAAUUAUAGAAAUCAUGAUGUAAAAAAUAUUUUUGCAACGGUGAGAAAGAACAUGCCUUAUGGACAGCUUUUUUACAUCAACUUGUGCAUGCAAUGCAGGAGAGACGUACUCAGAACCAAUGCUGUCUAUUGGUUGUUAUUUCAGGAAGAAUUGCGACAAUUACCGGGUCACCAUUUGGCAUCUGAUUCUGGAAAUCAUGCUGCAGAAAAUAUUUUUCCAGGGGUGAGAAAAAUGAUGACUUACUGACACUUUUUUAUUUCAACUUACAUAUGUAUUGUAUGAUAAACAUAUCCUGAGUUAAUAAUGCAUUGUCCAUGGUCUUUGCUUAAGGUUGCAUGGUCUUUUCUACCAAAAUCACUUCUGAUAUCAUGUAGCAGAAAAUAUUCUUCUGAGGGUGACAAAGAACAUGACUUGUGUGUGUUUAUCAAUUAUCUAGUUGCAAAUGUAGUGCAUGAGAAACAUGUUUGGGACUAAUGCUACUUUGACUAUGGCUAAUUGGCUAUAAUUUCAGGACUGAAUUACAACUCUUUCUCCGCACUUUAGUUGCUUAGUUGCCAAUUAAUCCAGAGCAAAGAUCGGCCCCCUAUUCUGAUGGCUUCAGCAAUGACUGAUGUACGGAAUUUUCAAUGUAAAUGUGACCAGCAAACAGAUGUGGACUCACAAUGGCCUGUCCAUGACGAACACCCUCUUUACUCGAAUCUGGACUAGCAAAUGGAGAAUAUUACCUCAUUAAUAUUUGUAACCAACAAUUAAAAUUGUGAAGGGGAAUGUUGAAACUGUAAUUUUGUGAUAACGCUGCACGCACGUCAGAUGCAUUCCUAGCUCUGUUAUGCAAGAAAAUAGUUAUUUCUAUAUGUGAUUGGCCUCGUUCAAGUGGGGCUACGCAAAUUGAUCCUCUUCCCUUCAUGAAUAGUCAUGAGUUCGUUUUGUGAUCUUUGAACCAUAUCACCAUCAACUCAACUGCUUAUGUGCAUAUAUUCUUCAGAUCAUUUGACUAGAGCUAGGCCGUGAAGAGUUUACACACUCAUACAUUCUUCAUAUAUUGUGUAUAUUCUUCAUAUAUUCUUCAGAUCAUAGUAAACUCUCACUCACUCAAGAUCAAACAUUAACGUAGAAGGCAAGAAAUGCAUACUUUUGUCAAUAUUCGUAAUUUGGAAAGAUUUCACUUUUUUCAUACGGUAACUAUCAGAAGCUUUAAAGAAAGAUACUGGAAUCACACCUUUUAGUCUUGAGACUAUCCAAUCCAAGCCAAUUGAUUUUCCACGACCGAUCAAAGAAGGAGAUACUUUACACUGUUGCAAUAAUGACGUUUUCUGAGGUACUUUCAUGGAAUAAUCACUUGGGGACAUUGGCUCAAUGACAAUUUAAAUUAAAAUUAUAAUCUACUAGUAUAAAAUUCAAAACUAAUAAGGUAAUCGUGACUUUGGAAAUGAAAAAAAUAAAAUAAAAUGGAAUGAUGUGUGGGUAGACAAGAAAAACACACAACUCAUCACAUAUAAAAUUGGACAAUAGCUCGUUGGCUAAUAGUGGACUUGUUAUCUCAACAAAGUUGAGAGUGCAAGACAAAGAGAUUCAAAGUAGCAUAACAUUCUAGACUUCCCUUAGUCAGGUAACCUCACACUAGAAGUUGUUUCACAUUUUCAAUUCCAUGUGAAGGCAGCUGACUGGUGACAGAAAGGAAAAGGAGACACUUAUAUUGUAAUAUAAAGAGGAUGAUGCUGCUGAAACAAUAAGAGGUGAUCGUGGGGUCAAAAAAUUCUCAAACGACUUGGGUAACAAGCAGACACCUUUUUAACUUUUUCCAUAUUAUUUUUAUCACUUUGUUAAUUGAUCGACCUUCAAGUCUAUGAUUCUGUAGUCUGUAGUCACUCACUCAAACAAAAGUGGUCUGGCCCACUGUAGCACAACGCGUCGCGAGAAAGCGGUGUUAACGCUUUCACUUUCUGGGUGUAUAAAAGAAGUGACAUGAUCACACAAUCGCUCUUACUCACAGAGCAAAUUCUUCCUAUCAAACCAGAGAGAAAUAUCACUGUAGCUGUAACUGUAUUGAAUCAGAAUUCUUAUUAAUGGAGAGUCAUGGAGGUUUCAGAUCCCUUCCUACCAUUGAAGAAGUAGUUACAACUCUCAUUCUCCUUUGUGCUGCCUUAUAUUCUCAAUUAAAAUCUGAAAUGGAGAGUCUCAUGGGGUUCAGAUUCCAGCCAUCCAAUGAACAAAUCAUCUGUCUUCUCGAGAAGAAGAGGCUUAACCCCCGUUUCUUGCAUCACACUAUCAAGGAUAUUGAUGAUAUCUGCAGCCUUGAGCCUUGGGACUUGGCAGGUACGUAAUGGUAUUUUUAUUUUUCUUACCCUCACUCUAACUCUUGAGCCACUAAAGUUAGAAUGGUUUUACCAGCUAAACUAAACUAACUGGCAGGCACCAUGUAUUGCUUUUGUGACGCAGGGGCAUCAAAAACUGAGUCCGAGGAUCAAGUCUGUUACUUUUUCUAUAAACCUUAUUACAAAUACAAGGAGAGUACACGUGCCCACAGAAGAACAAAUGCAGGGUACUGGAAAGUUACUGGUAGAGGUUCCAAGAUCAAAACCAGAAACGGCCUUUCUGGUAUCAAAAAGAUUUUGACUUUCUACUAUCAUGGUCCUGCUUCUAAGAAAGCUAAGACUGGCUGGGUUAUGCAUGAGUACCACGUGAACGACGAUCCCAGUUACAAGGUAUGAGCUCUGUUCUUGUCGCUCACAUCAACUUUGACCAUUUCUUUUAUGAAUUGUUGAAUGUUUGGGAUGUGACCUCGAACUGCAUGUUUUGUCAAUCUUACAACAACUGUAGUUUAAUCUAUAUGGUGCUCCUCUUGAUGAUUGAAGUGAUUGUUUGGUGAAGCAUGCUAGAAUAUUGAUUGGAUUAGUAUUAAAACUGCUACUUCUUUUUUGUGGUCUAUAUGACGUGGACAUGAACACGAUAUGCAUUAAGGUUAUGUGUCUCUGUUACCUGUUAUUUUAAUUGGUAGGAUCUUCUGGUGGAUCAAAUCUCAAUGAAACUAAGGGUAGGGUGGUGUUAAUGUAAGAAAUUGCGACUUUCUUAAACAAGCAUUUACAUGACUUGAUGAAUGAAUCUGUUGUUUUGUUUCUCCUAGAAGCUUGGUGACUUGUAAUCUGGGUAUGCUAAUGAAAAUCUGAAGAUUAAUUGAUAAUGCAGCUUACCUUAUUUGUGUGUGCCUUUAAUUCAUGCAGAAAGAAUUCGUAUUGUGUCGCAUAGAAAGAAAAUGCGAGAACAAGCAUGGUAUUUCUACUUCUGAUGAAGGUGAAUCAAGACAACAAUUGGCUUCUCCAAUUCAGCUAUCACCGCGAGACCCUAGAAAUCUUAGUGAAGAAAAUACUUCCACUAACUCUCAGCAACUACCAAAUCACAAUUUGAUUUCUUGUCCAGGAAAUCAUAUUGAACAAAAUACUCCCACAUUCCCUCAGGUAAUACCAAAUGCCAGUUGGAUUUCUCCAACUGAUCUACUAUCUAGUGAUCAUUUGAAUUCUAAUAGGAACCAUAUUCACACAAAUCAGCAGCUACAGCCAAAUCACUAUUUGAUUUCUCCUUUUGGAAAUCAAAUUGAACCAGAUAGCAAUUCUAAUUCCUUUCCUAGAAAUCUUAUUGGACAAUACACUCUCGAAUACCCUCAGUUACAACCAAACCACGGUUCGGUUCCUCCAACUGAACUAUUACCAAGCGACCAUUUGAUUUCUAACCGAAAUCAUAUUGAAGGAAAUAUUAUCACAAACCAGCAGCUGCAGCCACAUCAAAAUUUGAUUUAUCAUUUUGGAAAUCAAAUUGAACAAAUUAGUCCCACAAACCCCUGGCUACCACCAAAUAGCAAUUUGAUUUCUUUUCCUGGAAAUCUUAUUGAACAAUUACCAAGUGACCAUUUGAUUUCUAAGCAAAAUCUUAGUGAAGAAAAUAGUCUCAAAAACCUGCGUCUACAGCAAAAUCACAAUUCGAUGUCUAAUUUUGGAAAUCAAAUUAAAGAAAAUAGUCCCACAAACCCCCAGCUACCAUUAAACGGCAAUUUAGAUUCACAGCUACUUCUAAAUCAGCCUAUGGUACUGAAUUCUAGCUGUUCUUUUGUUAAUUAUGAUAUUUCUGAUUAUCAAAUUAACAGUGAUCAGGUAAAUGACCUGAUCAAUUCCCAAAGGGCUUUCCAGGGUGAAAAUUCUCGCAAAGACACUGGACAAACCCUUUCCCCUGACUUAAACUCAUCAAAGUCAGAUGGAGGAACUUCAACUUAUGCAGAGGAUAGCAGUGACCCAAAUAACACUGCUUACAUUGAUGCAUGGUUAGAUGAGCCACUUGAGGAUGGAGGGGCUUCAACUCUUGCAGAGGAUAGCAGUGACACAAAUAACACUGAUUACAUGGAUGGAUGGAUAAAUGGACUAUUGCUUAAGUAGCAAAUUUAAACAGCAAUCAAAUCCUCUAGAGGUAUUAUUAUUAAUUUACUACUAUCAAUAUUGUGAUAAUGCUCCACUCACGUUUUACUGUAUUAGAACUCUGUAAUCUUAAGUAGCAUAUGUAAACAACUAUGAAAUCCUCUAGGAGGAAAAUAUUAUUAUUAUUAUUGAUAAUUUGAUAUUAGUUGCUAGUAAUCUUUGAGACUUUGUUACGUACUAAUGGAAAUGAUGUUUGUAGUAAUUGGAUACUCCACUUGGUCUGUAUCUGGUAUCUAUGUGUAGCAUUUGGCCAAGUUCUGGAAAACUUCAGUUUUUUAAACGGAAUGGUUGUUCAAAAAAAUACUAGCUGAAUACGUACGAAUGGUACAAGGAGAGGGAGGGGCGGUUUAUUCGUUGUGAGAUCAUGGCAAUGUGUGGAACUAAAUGUAAGCCUGGGUAGCCAAGCUGAAACAAUAAUUCAGAUAAAAAAAAGGGGAUUUAAUUAAAAUUUUACCAAUUUUAUGUUUGGCCUACACUUUUACAGGGUGCUUAAGUUUAUGGUUUCUUUAUUAUAUUAUCGUCUUUGGCCCCCUUCGUUUUACUAUUUUAUGUUACCAUCCAUUUAAUCUUAUAGUUCUUUUAUAAUAGCCCUCAUUUAACCAAAAUACUGGUUUCGCCACUUGUCAUAAGUACCUCAGAUCAAAUUAUCUUGAACUAAUUUGCGAAAAAAAUCUAUAAUUUGAAGAACUUGCAAGGCUUGAUAUCAACCACAUCAAAGGAAGAUGUUCUUGAAAGAAUCCAGUUAACAAGAAGAAUAUGGAGGCUAAGCUCUUUCUUUCUUUUCUUUUCUUUUUUUCCUCUUUUGAGAGCGGGCUAAGUUUUUGAAAAAAUACCUAUACAAGGAUUAUUGUUUCUCCAAGUUUCAAAAUCUUUUCUAAAACAAAAAAAAUGAUCUUUAUAGAAGUUAUCAAUAUUAUCGUCAAAUUUAUCGAUUGUAAAUUCAAUCAUAGUUAUAAACUAUAUGAAGUUCAUUGUUGUAACUACUCAUACAAAAUAUAUUUAUGAGUAAAAGACAAAAGCGGUGCUUUGAUAAUAAAUAAAAGAAAAGAGCUGGAGUUGGAUGAAAUUUGUUGUGCUUGUACAAUUCUAAAACUCGUCUCAACCAAGAUAUCUAUUAUAGAAUUUUUUUAAAAAAGAAUAGUUCAACUGACAAUUCUACUUGUUAACAUUUAGAGUGAGUUUGGAGCAGUUGCACUGCUUAUUUUAUUAAUAUUAUUGUUGGAUCUUACUUAUCAAUUGAACCUUUGCAACAAAAGAUAUGGGUGUGAAUAGGUCAAGCUCAUGACAUCUUCGACUAAGGAAUUAUUAAGGUUUCUUCGAUCGUCAUCUCAAUUGUAUUUGAAUGUGUACUUGAGAUCAAUGGUCAUUAAAAUAAAGUUUUUUCAUUACAGGAUUAGCUUUUGAAAGUUUAUCAUAGUUUGAUAUAUGGAAUACUGGAAUCUUUGAAAUAUCCAAUCUGAGCAAAUUACACCUCGGAAAAGAGAACACGUUGAUUAUUUUACUAGAUAUUGCAUUUCAAAUACGGGGUAGAAAUUUUUCGUACAUCAAUGUACUACAACAACCAUUUAAUGCUAUUUCCAUUUCAUUUCAAGGUAACAACACACUUGUUUUUUGGGAUUUUCUCAUAAAUAUACACGUGCGUGAACAUGAUUGGAUUGUUAUAUAGGAAUUUCAAAUAAUGAAAUAAUGAAUUAACUCAUUUAGGAUAGAGGCAUUAGAAAAAGUUAUUUUAAUAUUUACCAUGGUAUUUUUUUUAAAUAAUUAAGAAAUUCUUCCAUAUAUGUAAAGGUAUUAUAUCAUCUAUACAUUCAUUAAUGUGUAUGUAGGUUGAAAAAAUGAUAAAUGAUCAGUUAUUUUAAAACAAAAAUUCAUGUGCCACAUUCUCACCUAAUAAUUGUAUGACCUCAAUUAUAAUAUGCUUGUAAUAAAUCAUAUAAACCUUGUUGCAAACUUUUGUAAAGGGAGCUCAUGAAAAGCGGAGACGGAGAUAGUUAAGGGCAAGCGGGACAAAUGGUCUUACCUGAACUAAAAAACUCUCUUAAUCUCGAUGAACGUAUAAUUAAGCUUUUGUAUUCAUGAUUCAUAAACACUAUAUAUCUUGAUCAGUUAAAGCCUUUGCUCUGUACUUCUUUCAAAAAAAAAAAAAUUAAAAAGAAUUUUAUAGUUUCUACUUCCCAGUAACUUUUAUUUUCAUUUCUUUGAUACGAAACACUUACCGGUAAUUUAUUUCAUAUUCCCUAAAACCACAUUUAGAAAAAAGUAAAAAAAAUGAAUAUGUUAAGUUGUUCAAAUUUGCCAACUCUAAAUAAAAUUUUUGGCUCCCUCCGGAUGAAAAGAUAAGAGGUUAUAAAAGUUGGAAAAUGUUAUGAAUGAAAUAGAAAAUUAAUUAUUACAUGGAGGGUCGGCUCUAGGGUACUAAGAGCCUUAGGCCAUUUUUUUUUUUAUACAUAUAAUGCUUCCUUACAUCCAUUAGCUUCAAUUUUUUAAAAAUAAAAGAACUUAAAAUUCAAUCAAGUUUUAACUAUAUUUUGAAUAUCAAUAAUCAACAAGUAGUAAAGAUUUCAAAAAGAAAAGUAGUUAAGAAGAUAUCUUUUUUACUUGCUUUGGAAUUAUUAUUUCAAGAAAAGUAUCUUUUAAAAAAAAUUCAAAAGUGAGCCAACAAAUGUAAUAAUUUUCUUCACACAGUGGAGAGCAAGAAAAUUUAUAAUAAUAAUUUUUUUUUAACAAUACAGAUAUUUUUUUUAGAAAAAUUAAUAAUGAAUUAACAAUUAGACAAUAUUAUUAAUCGUAGUUCUUUAACAUUAAGGUUAUUAAAUAUAGAAUUUGUAUAAAAAUUCUUCAUUAGGAUAAUUAUUAGUUAAAUAGAGAUCUUAAAAUUAUAAGUAAUUUAACAAAUCUAUUAAUUUAAUUAUAUCAAGGAAAUAUAAAACGAAAAAGAAAAUCUUCCUAAUAUAUUGUGUCUAUAUGACCACAAUGAGAUCUUCUUAAUAUAUGACACGUUAGAUGACUGUCUAUUUUAGCUAUGUUUAAAGUCACUUCCAUUUGGGAAUUCGUUCGUGAAAAUGUAAUAAGAAGUAUAAUCAAAGAACCAGAAGAUUCUAGACUCUAGAUUUCUUGUAGCAAGAUUGUGUGGGAGAGUGACAGAGCAGGAUAGCGGAAGUAGAAUUGAUAGGAUAAAUGAACAUUAGACAUCAUUCUAGUAUCAGACCAAGCCAACUUAUUUAGGUUACACUCUUAUCGAAGUGUGAUUAUAUCUAGUUUUAAUCCAAAUAACUCAAAUGAGAUUUUUAAUAACCCUUAAACGAGAUUAUAUAAUACUCUAAUCCAAAUAACUCUACAACAAAGAUUUUGAUAGAUAAUCCCAAAUAUUUUUUAUUGAAUACUUAAAGUUAUAAAAAUAAUAACAUGACCUCUCUAUUUAUAAUAAAGUAAAUCUACUUCCCAAGCUAAUUUAAAAGGAAAACUAAAUUACAAUUAUAAUGGUCUAAUUCAAGAUCAAUGUCAUCAAUUCCUAAAUGUUGUAUAUAAGGAAUAAAUCCAAGAUUAAUGCUUCUUAUUUGCGGAUCUUUACUUCAGGGAGAACAUGAACAAGUAUCAGGUCAUAAUAUGACUUUUAAUUAUAGAAAUCAUGUUGUAAAAAUUAUUUUUGCAACGGUGAGAAAGAACUGUUGGAAAAUUUUCAAAAUAAAUGGUGUCUUAUAGUAAAGACAUGUCCUAUUAAUUGUGCCUUAUAGAAAAUGUGUCUUUCACUAAAGACAUGUUUAAUUAAAUGAUGUCUUGUUGUAAGGACAUGUCCAUUUAAUUGUGUCUUAUAGAAAAUAUAUUUUUUUACUAAAUGAUAUAACUUUUCAUGGCAACAUUUCACUUAGAGAUGCAUCAUUUCAUGGUGACAUUUCAUUUGAAAUGAUGAUGGUUCAAUUUGGACCAUUGAUUAAAAUUAAAUAUAAAUUCAAUGGCCAUGAAUGAAGGGGUAUCAUGAAAGUUGACAACCCAAAUGAGGGGGCACAAGUAUAUCUAUAAAUAGGGGUAAUGUUUAAGCCAUUUAGAUAUGAAAUUAAUGAUCCUACACCACUCUUUUCUUAGCCUUCCUUUCUAGAACGAAUUUCAACACAAAACAUCCAUUUAUUUUGUGCAUUAAAAAUCCAAUAUAUUGUUUUCUGCAUGAACAAUAUAUUGUUUCUUGGCAGGCUUGUAACAUUCAAGAGUAUUCUGGUUUGCUUUCGUCGAUGCACAACGCAAGCAAACUAACAAGUGCUUCAUUAUAUCCUGGAGGCGUAUUUGCUUAACCCAUGUGCAUCACUCAAUUAACCCAUGUGCAUCACUCAAUUGGUGGGGGCAAAUAACGUCAUAAGGAAAGCGAUAUUUGUAACGUGCCUUGAAGUUCACAAAUUUUUCUGUAGUUUACUUAUUACUAUUAUUUUUCUUCUUACAUACAGAGGUAGUUGUAAAUAUAUUACUUUACACAAUAAAGUUCCACUAUUAUUGUUGUAUUUCUCUACAUUUGCCAUUCCCCACAAUUUCAACCACCAACAAGAACAUGCCUUAUGGACAGCUUUUUUAUAUCAACUUGUGCAUGCAAUGCAGGAGAGACGUACUCAGAACCAAUGCUGUCUAUUGGUCGUUAUUUCGGGAAGAAUUGCGACAAUUACCGGGUCACCAUUUGGCAUUUGAUUCUGGAAAUCAUGCUGCAGAAAAUAUUUUUCCAGGGGUGAGAAAAAUGAUGACUUACUGACACUUUUUGAUUUCAACUUACAUAUGUAUUGUAUGACAAACAUAUCCUGAGUUAAAAAUGCAUUGUCCAUGGUCUUUGCUUAAGGUUGCAUGGUCUUUUCUACCAAAAUCACUUCUGAUAACAGAAAUCAUGUAGCAGAAAAUAUUCUUCUGAGGGUGACAAAGAACAUGACGUGUGUGUUUAUCAAUUAUCUAGUUGCAAAUGUAGUGCAUAAGAAACAUAUUUGGGACUAAUGCUACUUUGACUAUGGCUAAUCGGCUAUAAUUUCAGGAAGAACCGCGACUACUACCAAAUCACGAUUUGUCUCAGCACUCUAGAAAUCAUGUUGCAGAAAAUAUUUUUCCAUCGGUAAGAAAAAGCGUGCAUAAUAUCUUUCAUGCACUAUAAAUAUAUCUCUAACUAAUGCUUGUUUCUGUUAUUCUUAUUUCAGGUAGAAUCUUAACAAUUACCAAGUCAUUAUUUGAUUUCUAAAAUCAGAGAUCAAGUUGCAGAACAAAAUUUUUCAGGGGUGAGAGCAAUCAUGCUUUAUAAACAUUCCAGAUAUUUAGUUUUACAUCAUGCAUGAUAAACAUUUAUAGAACUGACAGUUAUUCCUAUGUCGUUCUCAGGGGAAGCCUCUGGUGUUUGCACAAUUUGAUGCUCUCUACUACUGUAGUGGACUGAAUUACAACUCUUUCUCCGCACUUUAGUUGCUUAGUUGCCAAUUAAUCCAGAACAAUGAUCGGCAUCUUAUUCUGAUGACUUCAGCAAUGACUGAUGUACUGAAUUUUCAAUGCAAACGUGAGCAGCAAAAUGAUGUGAACUCACAAUGGCCUGUCCAUGACGAACACCCUCUUUACUCGAAUCUGGACUAGCAAAUGGAGAAUAUUACCUCAUUAGUAUUUGUAACCAACAAUUAAAAUUGUGUAGGGGAAUGUUGAAAUUGUAAUUUUGUGAUAACGCUUCACGCACGUCAGAAGCAUUCCUAGCUCUGUUGUGGAAGAAAAUAGUUAUUUCUACAUGUGAUUGGCCUUGUUCACGUGGGGCUACGCAAAUGGAUCCUCUUCCCUUCAUGAAUAGUGAUGGGUUCAUUUUGUGAUCUUUGAACCAUAUCACCAUCAACUCAACCGUUUAUGUGCAUAUAUUUUUCAGAUCAUUUGACUUGAGCAGGGCCGUGAAGAGUUUACUAUUCGCACAGUAACCACUAACUCACUCAAGAUCAAACACUAACGUAGACGGCAAGAAAUGCAUACUUUCUUCACUAUUCGUAAUUCGGAAAGAUUUCAUACUUUUUGAGAAGCUUUAAAGAUACUAGAAUCGCACCUUUAGUCUUGAGACUAUCCAAUCCAAGCCAGUUGAUUUUCCACGAUUGAUCAAAGAAGGAGAUACUUUAUACUCUUGCAAUAAUGACGUUUACUGAGGUACUUUCAUGGAAUAAUCACUUUAGGACAUUGGCUCAAUGACAAUUUAAAAUAGAAUUACAAUAUACUUAUAUAAAAUUCAAGAAAAACAGAUAUAAUUAGACACUAGCUCAUUGGCUAAUAGCGGACUUGUUAUCUUAACAAAGUUGAGAGUACAAGAGAGAGAUUCAAAGCAGCAGAAGAUUCUAGACUUCCCUCAGUCGGGUAACCUCACACUAGAAGUUGUUUCACAUUUUCAAUUCCAUGACACUAGCUCGUUGGCUAAUAGUGGACUUGUUAUCUCAACAAAGUUGAGAGUGCAAGACAAAGAGAUUCAAAGUAGCAGAACAUUCUAGACUUCCCUUAGUCAGGUAACCUCACACUAGAAGUUGUUUCACAUUUUCAAUUCCAUGUGAAGGCAGUUGACUGGCGACAGAAAAGAAAAGGGCACAUGCAUAAUGUAAUAUAAAGAGGAUGCUGCUGCUGAACCAAUGAGAGGGUGACCGUGGGGUCCCAAAAUUCUCAAACUUGGGUAACGAGCACAUACCUUUUUAACUUUUCCAUAUUAUUUUUGUCACUUUGUUAAUUCAUCGACCUUCAAAUAUAUGACUCUGUAGACUGUAGUCGCUCACUCAAUAAUCAAUAAUCUAACGGCGUUGGAGAAAAAGCGGUCUGGCUCAGUGUAGCACAACGCGUCGUGAGAGAAGGGUGUUAACGCUUUCACUUUCUUGGUGUAUAAAGGAAGUGACAUGAUCACACAAUCGCUCUCUCACCGAGCAAAUUCUUCCCAUCAAACCAGAGAGAAAUACCACUGUAGCGUAGCUGUAUUGAAUCAGAAUUCUUAGUAAUGGAGAGUCAUGGGGGUUUCAGAUCCCUUCCUACCGUUGAAGAAGUAGUUACUACUCUCAUUCUCCUUUGUGCUGCCUUAUAUUCUCAACUAAAAUCUGAAAUGGAGAGUCUCAUGGGGUUCAGAUUCCAGCCAUCCAAUGAACAAAUCUUCUGUCUUCUCGAGAAGAAGAGGCUUAACCCCCAUUUCUCGCAUCACACUAUCAAGGAUAUUGAUGAUAUCUGCGGCCUUGAGCCUUGGGACUUGGCAGGUACGUAAUGGUAUUUUUAUUCUUCUUACCCUCACUCGAACUCUAGAGCCACUAAAGUUAGAAUGGUUUUGCCAGCUAAACUAAACUAACUGGCAGGCACCAUGUAUUACUUUUGUAACGCAGGGGCAUCAAAAACUGAGUCCGAGGAUCGAGUUUGUUACUUUUUCUGUAAACCUUGUUACAAAUACAAGAAGAGUACACGUGCCCACAGAAGAACAAAUGCAGGGUACUGGAAAGUUACUGGUAGAGGUUCCAAGAUCAAAACCAGAAACGGCCUUUCUGGUACCAAAAAGAUUUUGACUUUCCAAUAUCAUGGUCCUGCUUCUAAGAAAGCUAAGAUUGGCUGGGUUAUGCACGAGUACCAUGUGAACGACGAUCCCAGUUAUAAGGUAUGAGCUCUGUUCUUGUCGCUCACAUCAACUUUGACCAUUUCUUUUAUGAAUUGUUGAAUAUUUGAGAUGUGACCUCGAACUGCAUGUUUUGUCAAUCUUACAACAACUGUAGUUUAAUCUAUAUGGUGCUCCUCUUGAUGAUUGAAGUGAUUGUUUGGUGAAGCGUGCUAGAAUAUUGAUUGGAUUAGUAUUAAAACUGCUGCUUCUUUUUUGUGGCCUAUAUUACGUGGACAUGAACACGAUAUGCAUUAAGGAUAUGUGUCUCUGUUACCUAUUAUUUUAAUUGGUAGGAUCUUCUGGUGGCUCAAAUCUCAAUGAAACUCAGGGCAGGGUGGUGUUAAUGUAAGAAAUUGUGACUUUCUUAAACAAGCCUUAACAUGACUUGACGAAAGAAUCUGUAGUUUUGUUUCUCCUAGAAGUUUGGUGACUAGUAAACUGGCUAUGCUAAUGAAAAUCUGAAGAUUAAUUGAUAAUGUAGCUUGCCUUAUUUUGUUUGUGCCUUCAAUUCAUGCCGAAAGAAUUCGUAUUGUGUCGCAUAGAAAGAAAAUGCGAUAACAAGCAUGGUAUUUCUACUUCUGAUGGAGGUGAAUCGAGACAACAAUUGGUUUCUCCAAUUCAGCUAUCACCGCGAGACCCUAGAAAUCUUAGUGAAGAAAACACUCCCACUAACUCUCAGCAGCAACUACCAAAUCACAAUUUGAUUUCUUGUCCAGGAAAUCAUAUUGAACAAAAUACUCCCACAUUCCCUCGGGUAAUACCAAAUGCCAAUUUGAUUUCUCCAACUGAUCUACUAUCAAGUGAUCAUUUGAAUUCUAAUAGAAACCAUAGUGAAGGAAAUAUUCUCACAAACCAGCAGCAACAGCCAAAUCACAAUUUGAUUUCUCCUUUUGGAAAUCUAAUUGAAGAAAACAGUCCCACAAACCCCCAGCAACCACCAGACAGCAAUUCUAAUUCCUUUCCUAGAAAUCUUAUUGGACAAUAUACUCUCAAAUACCCUCAGUUACUACCAAACCACGGUUUGGUUUCUCCGACUGAACUAUUACCAAGUGACCAUUUGAUUUCUAAGCGAAGUCAUAUUGAAGAAAAUAUUAUCACAAACCGGCAGCUACACCCACAUCACAAUUUGAUUUAUCAUUUUGGAAAUCAAAUUGAACAAAAUAGUCCCACAAACCCCUGGCUACCACCAAAUAGCAAUUUGAUUUCUUUUCCUGGAAAUCUUAUUGAACAACUACCAAGUGACCAUUUGAUUUCUAAGCAAAAUCUUAGUGAAGAAAAUAGUCUCAAAAACCUGCAUCUACAGCCAAAUCACAAUUCGAUUUCUAAUGUUGGAAAUCAAAUUAAAGAAAAUAGUCCCACAAACCCCCAGCUACCAUUAAACAGCAAUUUAGAUUCACAGCCACUUCUAAAUCAGCCUAUGGUACCGCAUUCUAGCUGUUCUUUUGUUAAUUAUGAUAUUUCUGAUUAUCAAAUUAACAGUGAUCAGGUAAAUGACCUGAUCAAUUCCCAAAGGGCUUUCCAGGGUGAAAAUUCUCGCAAAGACACUGGACAAACCCUUACCCCCGAUUUAAACUUAUCAAAGUCAGAUGGAGGAGCUUCAACUUAUGCAGAGGAUAGCAGUGACCCAAAUAACAUUGCUUACAUCGAUGCAUGGUUAGAUGAGCCACUUGAGGCUGGAAGAGCUUCAACUCUUGCAGAGGAUAGCAGUGACACAAAUAACACUGCUUACAUGGAUGCAUGGAUAAAUGGACUAUUGCUUUAAGUAGCAAAUUUAAACAGCAAUCAAAUCCUCUAGAGGUAUUAUUAUUAAUUUACUACUAUCAAUAUUGUGAUAAUGCUCCACUCACGUUUUAUUGUAUUAGAACUCUGUAAUCUUAAGUAGCAUAUGUAAACAACUAUGAAAUCCUCCAGGAGGAAAAUAUUAUUAUUAUUGAUAAUUUGAUAUUAGUUGCUAGUAAUCUUUGAGACUUCGUUACGUACUAAUGGAAAUGAUGUUUGUAGUAAUUGGAUACUCCACUUGGUCUGUAUCUGGUAUCUAUGUGUAGCAUAUGGCCAAGUCUGGAAAACUUCAGUUUGUUAAACGGAAUGGUUGUUCAAAAAAAUUAUUACGAAUGGUACAAGGAGGGAGGGGCGGUUUAUUCACUGUGAGAUCAUGGCAAUAUGUGGAACUAAAUGUAAGCCUGGGUGGCCAAGCUGAAACAAUAAAGAUAAAAAAAAAAAAAAGGAGAUUUAAUUAAAAUUUUACCAAUUUUAUGUUUGGGCUACACUUAUAUAGGGUGCUUAAGUUUAUGGUUUCUUUAUUAUAUUCUCGUCUUUGGCCCCCUUAGUUUUACUAUUUUAUGUUAUUAUCCAUUUAAGUUUAUAGUUCUUUUAUUAUAGCCCUCAUUUAACCUAAAUACUGGUUUCGCCAAUUGUCACAAGUACCUCAGAUCAAAUUAUCUUGAACUAAUUUGCGAAAAACUACUAUAAUCUGAAGAACUUGCAAGGCUCGAUAUCAACCAUAUCAAAGGGAGAUGUUCUUGAAAGACUCCAGUUAACGCGAAGAAUAUGGAGGCUAAGCUCUUUCUUUCGUUUCUUUUCUUUCUUAUUUUUUCCUUCCUCUUUUGAGAGGGGGCUAAGCUUUUUUUUUUUUAAAUGCCUAUACAAGGAUUAUUGUUUCUCCAAGUUUCAAAAUCUUUUCUAAAACAAGAAAAGGGUCUCUAUAGAAGUUAUCAAUAUGAUCGUCAAAUUUAUCGAUUGUAAAUUCAAUCAUAGUUAUAAACUAUAUGAAGAUAAAAGUGGUGUUUUGAUACCAAAUAAAAGAAAAGAGAGCCGGGGUUGGAUGAAAUUUGUUGUGCUUGUAUAAUUCUAAACUCAUUCUAAAUCAAUAUAUGUAUUAUAAAUUUUUGUUAGAAAAAAUAGUUCAACUGACAAUUCUAUUUGUUAAUAUUUAGGGAGCGUUUAGGUCAGUUGCGCUGCUUAUUUUAUUAAUAUUAUUGUUGGAUCUUCCCCAUCAGUUGAAGCUUUGCAACAGAAGAUAGGGUUGAGAAUAGGUCAAGCUCAUGACAUCUUCAACUAAAGAAUUAAGCUUUCUUUGAUCGUCAUCUCAACUGUAUUUGAAUGUGUACUUGAAAUCAAUGGUCAUUAAAAUAAAGUUUUUCAUUGCAGGAUUAACUUUUUGGAAGUUUUUCAUAGUUUUAUAAGUGGAAUAGUGGAAUCUCUGAACUAUCCAAUCUGAGCAAAUUACACCUUGGAAAAAAGAACACGUCGAUUAUUUUACCAGAUAUUGCAUUUCAUCGAUUUUCAUUAUACCACAAUUGGUCAUCGUUUCAGUACCUCAUAUGGAAGGCGUGCCACUUUGUUCAGAGUCUUUUUUAGGCUUGUUUGGGAUUUGGAGUUGGGUAAUUGUAGUUUAAAAGUUACAAUACUAAAGUGUCUGGUAAAUAAUAAUUUGGAAGAUAAAUUAAUUUGAUUUUACAAUGAAAAAUCUAUUAUAUUUGUACCAAUUUUAUCAAAAUUGUUAUUUAAAAAUUAUACUUGAUACAUAAUAUUAACUUUUAGUUAAUAAUUAUAGUUUUUAUCUCCCAACAACUGUUACAGCACCUCAAUACCAAACAAAAUCUUCGUUUAGUGAGUUUUCAAGAUUGGUUUGGCCAGGUAGUUAGUUUCAAGAGUUUUUGUCUUAUGGUAUCUCUAGAUCAAACUCUUGGAACGGUAUAUUUAACACUUGCAAACUAUAUGAAACAUAUUAGGAAACAUUAGUCUAAUCAUAAUGUCCUGCUCAUCAAAGAAAUUUACUGAUAAAAUGACAAAAAGAAAAAAAAAAAAAAGGAAUCCAUUUAUGAUACAAAAAUUCUGGUGAAAGAAACAAUCAUCAGUUCAUCAUUCGUGUAUGACACUCUAUGCAGUUUGGUCAUAAGCUGUAAAGGCUAAUGUUCAUGCUUUUUCUACUUCCAUGGAAUCUCCAACAAUAUCCUGGCAUCCUUGUGAAUAAUACGGAAAUGCUGGCCAAGCAGCUCAUCGUGGCUUUGAAACUUGAAUAGAGGAUGUAUAAGCUCUAAAGUGAGUACACAACAUGUAUAUAACCUUAAAAGUCCUUGUAUAAGCUGAGAAUAGCUGAGAAUAGAGGUCCUAAUUUAAUGACUUCACUGAUAUAAGGCUUGCAGAGACAUCAAUGACCGCCCAAGCUUACAGCUAUAUUUGUCCUGCACAAUAAUCCAUCAAAUAAAAGGCAAUCGAGAUUUUAGAUCAUAAGUUGUAGUGCUUCACUAGAAGUAUAAAAUAAAUGCUACCCGUUAAUAAAAAACAGUAAGGUGCACGAGAAGAAACACUGAUCAUGUACAUAAUGCAAUUAUCAUAAAAUGCAGUCGUGCAUGCAUUUGCAAAUGCUUCCAUAAACUUUGCAUAUCCAUGUUUGAACUUGACAAUUCAUGGAAAACAACUUUCCUUUUGUUAAAGUUCUUGAAUCACAGAAAGAAUUGCAUAACCAAUCAUUAACAUAUAUGUUAAGCAGAUUUUAAACAUAAUGACCUUAUGGGUUCAGAUCAGACUUCAUCAGAACCAUAAUUGAAAAUAGUUUUGGUUCUCGAUUGGAAACUGACACAAUCAUUCUCAGCAUGUAAUAGCAGGAUUGCAUAAAAUUUAGGAUUACUAAAGGGAAUGCAUCAUUAUUCUCUUCAAAGAGUGGGUAUUUAUGGCAAAGUGAAAAACUUCUGGGGAUAGAUUAUAUCUGUCAAAAGUUUUGAUCCUCCACUACCAUUAUGAAGAAUCUGAGGGUAAUCUUUUAAGAUCAAUCAUCUGCUUCAAGCGUAUCCAUCCACUUAGCAUAUAAUACAGCAUGCAAUGCAUAAGUUUAAUGAACUAGAAUAGAGAAUUUGUAGAAGUAUUAGGUAUGUAUGUCUCUUACCUGUAUCUUAAUGGGUGGUUAACAUUGUUAGCUAGACUGCAAGGAAGAGAUCACAUCAUCUGUAGCAAAGUGAACUUUCUUGUCUGUGAUUUUCAGAUUGCCCAUGUGUUUGGAUUUCAGUAAUUUGUCAUCGGUGUUCCCUUCAUUCUCAUCCGGCAAUGGCCCAGCUUGAUCAUUAAUCUUCACACCUUCUCCAUCACAAGACACUUUAACAAAACCAUCAGGCGGGCUGCUAGAGUGAGAUUUUUCAUUGUUGGAUGAGCAGGAUUUUGAUAUAAAAUCCUGAUAAUCGUCAUCAGCUUCACCUUCUUGCCCAUCAAUUUCUUCUUCCCUCAAGAUUCCAUAUUUUUCUCUAUAAGCCUCAAUUUCAGCCUCUAAGUCCUUGAUUUCUUCCUCUCUUUUUGUGAGCAACUCCUUUGUUGAUUGCAAGGCUUCCUGGUCAUACUCUGCCUGCUCCUCCAUCAUCCUUUGAUAUUGUAGGGCAUCCAUCUGAACAGCUGCCUUCUCUGCUUGCAAUCUGGUGAUCAUAGCCAUUGCAUUGUUAGCUGCAACAGCAGCUGCACUUCUUUCCUCGUCCAAUUCCAUGUACAAAUCCAUCAGUGACUUGCGAUCCAAACGAACCUGUCUAUUCAGAUGGUGCAAAAUUGAAUCACCAUAAGCUUCAUUUGAAACAUUCCCCUCAGCAUCUUCCGUUUUCUCAAGUGGCGAUUUCCUCAGAAUCCUAGUACUCCACCUUGGACUGGCUUGAGCUGAAUCUGAAAGAGGGAUUCCAAAAAACUUGUUUCCUCUAAUAAAAGUAGGCGUCUUAUCUUCAUUAAAAUCCUCGGCAUCUGUCAGCAGCGGCACAGCUGCAGCCUUCGUUUCUUCCUUAACUAUUGAAAAGAUUCAUGAACCAGAUCAAUAACAUGCCAAAUAGAGACUGCCAUUGACAUAAGCACUUCAAGAUUGUUCAAUAGGUGGGAUGUCAAGACAUUUGGAAAUAUGGUAAUCUAUAUUUAAAUACAAAACAUAUAAUAUAUAAACAAGUGGCGCGUAGCUAUGCAGGCUGUGAAGAGAAGGAAGGAGUGUCAUCAUUCGGGAUUAAAUGAGGAAAAAAAAAGAAUUUGGAAACAAAUAAAAUCAUGACAGCCAAACACCAAAAUGUUACGUGAUGAAAGCUUUUUUGAACUGCAUAGCCAACAUUUCAAAGAAGAAGAAAGGAAAUGCAACGAAUUUAAAUGAAGGGUUCAAAACUCACAUGGCUUACUGAGACUCAAUGCAUUAGAGCUGCCCUCAUCUUCUGGAAGCUCUGAUUCAUUAUCUGCACUAAACUUGAGUUCUGUGUAUCGUAUGUGGGGCAACUCCAAAUUGCGGGUCAGGUCCAUAUUUCUCUGCUCCUCAAUCCUCGAGGUCAAGAAUGAUGCUCUUGGAGAAGGAGCAGGCGCUUGUGAUGUCAGGCCAGAAUUUUUCCCCUUUGGAUAGGACUUUACCUUCAAUGGCUCCCCACAGCACGAGCAGCAUUGAACACUGCUCUUCUCCACAUGCACCAUUUCAUCCUUCUUAUUAGGAGGCAAUGUCAAUUGCAUUUCAUCAUCAUCUACAAUCAACUCCAUAUCCUUCUGCAAAAUCCCCACAAGAGACUUGUACGUAUCACAAUCCCCGGAUUCUCUGCCCGUAGCAAAUGAGAGGAGACACGGCUCGCACAUCUUCCUUAUAUCAGAAAGUUUCUUGUGGACAUGACAAUAUGCAAGGGAUGAUACAUCCUUCUUGUGAGCCUCACAUAUAGAUUCAUUGUAAUAAAAAUUAGGAUUCCUAUGAACAAGAACAUGAUCAAUUCUAGUGCAAAGCAAGCAAGGGAUCUUCAACUCAAAGAACUUGGCAAAUUCAUUGGCAGCUAAUGCAAGAAACCCAUCAAUGAAUAGAAUAAUGAUUAACACCCAUUCAAGAACGGCAUAAAUCAAGAAAUGCGGGAACUUUCCCAGCUCUUGCUCAACAUAAGAUUUAAAUGAACGCUUUGCCAUAAUGUUUUGGACCCUGAAAAGAUGAAUCGGAUUUAUAAAAGAAUGAAUAAAUAAAUAUUUAAUUUUUUCCUUAUCUAUGUUGCUUAAAAUCAAGCAGGUUUGGACAGAAAUGCUCAAAGGAUGAUGAAGCAAAAGAUCAUGACCUCAGGAGGAUAACCCAGACCGGGAUCAUGACCUUUCUCUUUGAGUGAUCGAAGAACAAAAAGACAGAACCGAAGGGUGUUAUUCAAUUUUAGGUUUCAAAGUUUGAAUGGUGAAUUUCAAUUGCUAUAAAUAGGAAACUUUUAUUGAAAAAAAUAUGAGGUUUAUUCUCAGGACUAUAUACCGGAAAUAACGGUCUAUCAAGCAUUGGACUAAACGAUGUAGUUUUGCUAGGCUAUUUAGUGGGGAUUUGUUUUCGGAACAGCACCUUGGUAAAUUUAUUAUUUUAUUAUAAUACCCUCAGAUAUUUUAUUUGAAAAAAGUAUUAAAAUGAUUAAUAUACUUAAAGUUGGUCGAAUUGAGCAUAACAUCCACGCAUCCAUUUAAUUCCCUUACUCUGGUACUCUCAGAUUUUGUUAAUGAUCCACAAAUUCUUAAUAAUUUUUUAUCUGCGAGUUUGUUGCUGCUUCCACUUACUCAACUUGCUCACACACACAAGUUUCUUAAUGGUCAAAUGGUCAGGAAUUUGAGUGUACUGUAUAUCCCAAGAACAGUUCAGAUAUGGCUUUUGCUUUAAAUAACAUUCACUGCAAAGCCAGGUCCAAUUCUUGGCUUCCACGACUAAACUAGUUCCAGCAUCACAAAUUCACAAUCAUCUAUCUCAUUACACUAGUGUCCAGGUACCAACCACAACAUAAACGCUAAAACACAGGAAAAUGGUUAAAUUACCAGUCAGCAUUCAACUAUGUUACCACAUAUAAUUCAGGCACAUAAUUUAAACAUUUAUCCACAAGCAAACACAUUUUAACAGAUGAGCAAGUAAUGCAGAUUUCAACUGCCACAACAACUAUGCUUGUUACAUAAGCACAACAAAUUCAGUAUACCAGUUUAAAAUUGCAUAAAUGUCAUCAGAAAUCCACCUUCAAUGUGGGAUCUAGUCUACAAAGUACAACUUUAAGAAUAAACUGCUAUCAUUUCUGUGUCAGGACUGACUGAACAGGUACAUACAGAGGUAUAUGCUUAACUGGAGAUGAAAUUUCACAUAUUAUCCUACAAAACCAAUUGAAGAAAACAGUUUAUCAGAUCUAUUAAAACUAUAAACCUGCUGCUGCCUGUUAACAAAAAUGCCUAUAUCUUGCAAGCUUUGAAUGAAACUUAGCUGAAUGUCCAUGAAUUAGACUGUAUAAAAAUAGUUCUUGGGUAUCAACAGCUCUAUAUUAACUAGCUUGUUGGUAAAACAUUGGCAGACAUAUAAGGAGACAUGCAUCCCUGUACCUGGGAAGGAAAAAAGAUAAAUUGUUUAAAAUAAAACUUCAGUCAAGGUACAAGGAUCUCUAUUUUAUAGAAAAUGCCGAACUUAAGUGCUUAGAGCAAAAUACUGUUGUCCGAAAGAAAUGGUAACCUGCAAAAGGCAUGUAGGAAUUUGGAUGAACCCCUGCAGAAAAAGAUCAACCUUUUCUAGGAUGCCUGGUGGAACAGGCGUGAUCACAUAAAGCAAACCUUUCAACGUGUCAAUUCCUCUAACAAUCCCUGUAUUAUAAAGGCACCAUGUAAGCUCAGAAAAUUUUAUUGUAUUUUUAUGUUUUGGUUAAUGUCUUGCACAAAUAUCAGAGAUUAGUAUCAUGACAAUCAAAUUAAUUAGUGCAAGAGUGAAGCAUAUUUCCACAGAUAGAUAAAGCACUAUUUAGUAUUUCCUGCACAAAACAACAUCAAUCUAAAUCUCAGCAUGCCCUUAUGAUACAUCACCAUCUAUUAAGAAAAUGCCUAUUGGGGGAUUGCUGACAUAUCUUACAAGUUUACAAGUUAUUUUUUAUAUAAGUUAUCACUGUUUUUAUUUUCAAAUAUGAGGAGAAAAAGAUAUAAGGUCACAGGAGUUUCAGUCAUGCUAGAGUCCUCAUCCCAUAUUUCUGAUGCUAAUGAAGUAAAAUCACAGUUGAUGUAAACAAAAUUAUGACUUAUUCAAACAUAAUAAUAAUGUAGAUGCUAGAGAAACGGAAACUACUAUCAUUUAAACAUAGCUAGACAGAGAAGUGAAGUGACCUACCAAGACCUACACAAUGAGGUAAGUUUUCAGAAGCAUCAGAGCUAAUUGCCAGGCCAACAAUAGUUGCAUUCAAACUGUAGAAAAUUUCACUGCGAGGUACCUGGGAUAAACAAUAUAAGCCAUAAAUUUAAGACCUUUCCUGCAUAAUGACACAAAGGGAAAAAGUACAUAGCAAGCUAGCAUAUCUGACAUUCACCUUAAAUUUUUCCCAAAUUUCUUAUAUGUAACAUUGACAAGACACAAAAAACAAAACGGUACGGGUGCAAACUAUGCUACAGAAAUAUUAUAAUAGCCAGAACACCUACAGCAAUCAUUUGAUGCCUUAAACCAACCUGGCAGUAGAGAUGCCUUAUCUUGAUACUUGAGAUUGGAACUUGAUAAGGUGGAUAAGCAGCUAGUGCCUGUGCAAGUUCUUUAAUUAUGGUGAUGUUUAGGUCACUAGGAAAGCACUGCCUGAAAUAAGCCAUUAUUCUUAAAUCCCGUAGAAGGCGUGCAUCCUUUUGUACAAGUACUCUGUAAAACAGAAUCGAGAUAUGAUGUAAUCUAUAGAAGCUGCAUGUACUCAAAAUAUGAUUCAGGAAAUAGACAAACAGUUAACAUCAAAUGUCAGCUGCCGGAGGACUAAUGUUCGUAGGAUACAAAAUGAAACAACUUGUCACUUGAACAGAAAGCCAUUUCCUAAUAAUAUUGAUUUUCAUCCAUAUACAAGCUUUAUGAGUAUUUUUGGACCAGAACUCCAAAUAGGAACAAGAGUUAGAGCAGAAUAUAAGAGUGGAGCAUUGGCAUGUCCAGAAACAAGAACAAAGGGUGACACAUGUCCAAAAAGAAUUUAUCAAUGAUACAGUUAUCCAUGGUUUAAUAGAGUAAACUUAACAAAAAUGAAGAACUUACGAUCUAUUGAAAGAGUCCUGACGAGCUGAACUGAUCUCUAUAAGAUUAACAUCCACACCUUCAAAGUUGUCCAACCAAAAUGCCCCAGCUGGUAGAUUCUUCUUCUCAAAUGAUAUGUUUAUCUUAACAACAUGUGUAGGAGUAAUAUAUUUCAGCAUGUCCACCAAUAUAUCAUAACCAAUACCUGAAAAAUUAUAGGACAUGAAAAUCAUAGUCAUGUUUCUAUUAAAUUACUUGAAUGUUCACAAAGGAUAAUAGUUAUAGUGAAAUAAGUAAACCAUCAAAAGAAAAAAGAAAAAAAGUUCUCAUUGCAAAUUAGAGAAACAAAAAUGCAGUUACAGACAUUAAGAAGCACACCUUUCACCCAACCAGGUGUAUUCACAAUGAGAGGCAACUCAGUCCGGCCAGGGCUUUCACUCUCAUUAAACAUGUAGUACUCCUUGCGAUAGUAAUCAUAUAGGGUAGUGAUAUACUUCAAAUACGCCGUUGGGUCUCUUUUUGAAGAAACAUCACCAAAGAAAUAGCACCUACAGAGAGUAAAUAUCAAACUAUAAGAGAACACAACUCAUCUAUCAAUAUUUAUGUCCAGCAAUACUGCAUGUUCAUAUGAAUUCAGCACACACUUCAAAUUCUCUGCACGCACAAUUACUCUGAAAGCUGGAAUCAGUCAAAAAGUUAGUACCUUUUUGGCGUCUUCAAGCAUGGAAUUGUCAAAUCUAUUUUUAGGAAAAAGAAACAACAAAACAAUAGCUCGUUACCAAUAGAAGAAGAAAAAAGAACAUAGUUGAAAAUGAAACAAAAACCUGGCAUAGAAACCAGAAAAUGGAGAUACUAAAGACUGUAUCAAAACCUGGCGUCAGUGUAUCAACCACAGUGAGGGACAAAAAACCAGGAGCAGUAAAUUCAGGCUGCCCAACAUCGGUAUCCAAAUACGCUACUUUCUUAUAUCUGCAUACUAGGCAAUGCAAGCUUAUCAGGAAAAAUAAAAUAAAAAGCAAUACAAAAAUAUAUGAGCAUUAUACAAAUAUAUGAGACCCAAUUGACAUACAAACAUGUAUGUGCUGUUGCAAGACAUUAAACUCAACUAACAUAUAAAGUAAAACUAAAAAUACCCAACAGAAUAAUACUUCAAAGUCGCUAAAUAAACAGCUGAAAUGACUUAAGAAGAGUUACCUCUGGAGAAGAACGUUGACAAGGUGGCGAGAGAAGGUAGUUUUGCCACAGUUUUUGGCUCCACAAAUGAAGGCAAUAGGAGGAGGGGAAGUGUUUGAAUCGUAAGCUAUGGAGUCCGCGGCAUCGGACCAUUCUCGUGGGAUGUAAAUGGCUGGAGAUGGAUUCUCAGUCUGUGGCAUAUAAGCGGCCAUAGCUAUACGGCUACGGGUUACAGGCUGUUCUUUGUUUUGAUUUUGUGCUCUGCCUUAUUUUUGUUUUCGGUCCGUGUCGUUUGUUGGCUUCUUGGUUUGUUCAUUACAUUGUCAUUAAAAAUAACACAGCGGCUGCGGCGUGAGUGUAAGACUUAGUCUUUUUGUUAUUUUGGGUAUUGAUCGUGUUGAUUUUGUGAAGGCUAGCAGUAGUGCCGAGUGCGUGACUGCUGGGUACUCGCAAACAGUGCAUGUCCAUUUCGGCUUUGAAGAAGGCCGUUCCAGUUGAGUUGGCUCGGACACUUCGACUGAGUUGGUCUUUUUGGAUUUUGACUUCGGCUAUCAAGGCUUUUAACGUUAUAUGGGUUUUAUUAUGGUUUGUGUUUUAUUUGAGUGCUGAAACUAAGUGCACUCUUCUCACGACCAUUCGGCUGCAAUUAGAUGUAUUUUUCAAAGCACCUGGGGUGUACUUAUCCAUAGGCAAUUUAAUCUGGACCAAGUUAAGCCCGUCGCUAUAAUCUAAAUAUCUGUAACUGUUUUUACUUAUGGGUAAUCGUGUUUAAAAUUCUAGUCACGCGUCCUUAUUAGAAGGAAAAAGAAUUCUAAUCACAUGCUGUAAAAGUUUAUCAAAUUUUCUCAUUUCGAUGGAUAGUGAACGAAAGGAGAAUUCCAUUUUGAAAUUCAUUUACUAAAGUAGCUGAGGCUAAUAAUGUUUAGGAUUGCGUACAUUGCAUAUAAAUGUAACUAAUCAAAUCCAAAAGAGUAUCAUAUAUCAUAGAAAUUAUUACAUGCUUCUUUUUUUGACAAUUGACAGAAAGCUUGUGUGGCCGUCCAUUUUGUUUAUAUAUAGCCAGUUUUGUUUUAAGAUGUGUUUGAAAUUGAGGUUGAGUAGUUGUAAAUUAAAAAUUACAGUACUAAAAUAUUUAAUAAAUACUAACUGUUGUAUCUUAAAAAUUAUAUUGAUAUUUUUUUUAACUUAUAUAAUAAAAAAUAUAUUAUAUUUUUAAUAAUUUUAUCAAAAUUAUUAUUUAAAAUUUAUAUUUAUUAUAUAUUAUUAAUUUUUAUUUUAUAAUAAUAAUUUUUUUACACAAUAACUGUAGCUCACCUCAAUUCUAAACAAACUUAAACACUCUUAUUCGAGUAACAUUUUAAAACGUGCUUCAUUGGCGACUCAAUAAUGUUAUCUUUGCUGACUCGGCACAGCACCACGAUGGCGUGUUCCUCGUGGGUUGUGGCUUGUACAGCGCUUUUGCUCUGUCCCACUUUUGCUUGCGUAUAUCAACUUUCCUUCUUUAAAUUUGAAUAAUAAUGUGCUUCUUCGACUUUGAAUCUUGAGAAGCAAAAACAGAACAGAAUCACUGGAGAUGGUAUCAAGACUUUCAGUUACCCAAUUGAAAUCAUCACCAGCUGUGUCCAAUUCUGUAGUUUUGAGGCAUAAAGAGUUGUGUAGGUUUGGAUAUUUUCCGAGGAAUUCUUGUUCAGAGCAGGGGUUAAGGUUUAAGGUUGUGGGUCAGUCUCUUGGAGACAGAUGGAAGCUCAAAGAUAUUGAUACACGUAAGUGGUUUUUUUUGCUUUUGUAAACAUUAAUUUUUGCUUUUGAGCUUUUUAAUUACCGUCUGGUAUUUCGUUUUGCUGCUAAGAAGAUGUAAAGGGUGUUUUUUUUUUUCGUUUUAAGUGACUAGUAGUCUGAUAGAGUACUUUCUUUUGAGUAGUUGAAAACGCUUCUGUCUAUCAUUUGUAGUGUUUUGGUACAGUAGGAAAAAGUGCUUUUGGAGACGAAAAAGCAAUUGAAUUACUUUCGAAGAAGCAUUUUAACAACUGUUAAACUACGAACACCCCAAUCUCAAUAAGAACGUUAGAACAAUUGGGCCAGUGGGCUGCUGAUUCAGAUGUUUUCAUCUAACGAAGUUUUCCCAAUUGACAACCUGUUCGCUGGGGCCGAGAUCUUAAACUUAAUCCAUUCACAUGCCACGUGUCCAGUUGUACAAUUACGGUGCGGUCACGUCUCUCUACAAACAAAAUCUUGAACCAUCUAGCGCACAAUAUAAGUCAAACACAAAUAGAUCAAACGGCUAUGUCUACACUCUUUCUCCAUUACCAUCGAUCGAUCACACCAUUAACACCGCAGGCGCCAAAACCUCACUCUAAGUCGUCCUCUGCCCACCAAUAGUCCAAUACCCCUCCAAACAAAUAAUAAUAAAAAUAAAAAUAAUAUACCAUUUAAUUAAAAAAUCAAAUUGUAUUAAUAAUUUUGUUAAUUUAUUUUAUAUCCGUUUUGUCGCUGCACAGUGUUUCAGUUCGAUUUUGAAAUGGAGAGAGGCAUGGAGCUUCAAAACACAGUGAAAGAAGCCCUAAACGCACUGUAUCAUCACCCGGACGAUGCGGUGCGUAUGCAAGCCGAUCGAUGGUUGCAAGAUUUUCAACACACCAUCGAUGCUUGGCAGGUACCUUAUACCUUUCACAAUCUUUCUCAUUUCUUUCUUCGCAACAAAUUCAAAUUUACGUUGAUUGAUAGCGCUUACUACUUUAAGCUCUCUUCAACUUCAGUUCAAUUAUAUAUUAUCGUUUAUUUGAUUAUUAUAUUUUUUUAUAAUUUUGUCAUUUGCGUUUCUAUUUCUGGCAAGAUUUGAUCAGUCAGUUGUAUUUGGAUAUUGAAGAGUCUUAAGUUCCAAUUGCAUGGCUAUUGAAGAAUUUUUAGGGUUUUGUAUGAAUUUUGAGUGUGCUAAAAAUAGUAUGCUUACCUUUUGUCUUUAUCAUAGCGGAAGUACUUAAAUUCGUUGGUUAUUAGAAUUAGUUGUGAAUUGAGCUUUGCAUUGUUUCUCCUUCUCUCCCUGUUGCUCUUGCUGUAAAUUUUAGUUCACAUUUUAUGGUCUGCUUUUUGUUUUUGUUUUUGUUUUUGUUUUUUUUCCCAUCAUGAGAUGGCAAAUACAUUCAUCUGUUUUAAUUUUAUGCAACUUUAGGUUGCUGAUAAUUUGCUUCAUGAUGCCACUAGCAAUCUGGAAACAUUGAUCUUUUGUUCUCAGACGCUUAGAAGCAAGGUAACUGCAUUUAUUAUUUUUUGUUUUUAAUUUAUUCUCGUCUCAUGAUUAUAUGUACACUUGGGUGCUUUACAAUUCUUCAGUUCUAUUCUCUUUGGAAGAUGUUAACGCUGAUGUAGGACUAAAGCAACAAAACCUUUUCUGGCAUGUCAUCUUAUUUAUCAUUAUAUUUGCUGUUAAUAGUGAAGAUUUUGAUGCCUUUCAGAUUUGAUUCAUAGGUACAACGAGAUGUAGAAGAGCUACCUUCUGAAGCUGUUCGUGGAUUACAGGAUUCCUUAAACGUGAGUAUGUGUGGAUAAUACUUCUAAAAGCUCGGGUUUAUAUUUUGUUGGCAAUAUUUGUUACUUGAAUAUACAAUUUCCUUAUCUGUUUAUGGGCCACAGAAACUGAAUUUCUUACUGUGAUUUGCUGGUUGCAUUACAAGGAUUUUAUAAAGCAUCAUGUUGCGCAUUCAUUGAUGGAAGAUGUUCUCAAAUUGUUCAUUUUUUAUAAAACAAAAAAGUUUACAUGUUGCUUGAUAUUUUAAUAGUUGCAUUUAUCAAAUGCAAGAAGAAUGAGUUUCUUAGGAUAUGUGAGAUCCUGUUUAUGUUCAGAUGUUGAUUAUUUGUUCCUUAAUGGCAUGCUAUUUUAAAUGCAGACGUUAUUGAAAAAGUUUCAUAAAGGGCCCCCUAAAGUCAGGACUCAGGUAUUUUUCUUAGAGUUGAUAUUUUUAUAAAGCUGUUCGUGGCUCUGGCUGUACUGUAUACUAGAAGAAUUAGCUCACCUCUUUGGUUUUGUAGAUUAGCAUUGCGGUUGCUGCUUUGGCUGUACACAUUUCUGCCGAAGAUUGGGGAGGUGGUGGUAUUGUUAACUGGCUUCGGGAUGAGAUGAAUUCUCAUCCAGAAUUUGUACCUGGAUUUUUGGAGCUACUUACAGUCUUGCCUGAGGUAUCUAUAAACCACCUGCUGGAGAUAGAUUCUUCAAAAUGCAUUUUGUUUCCUUCUGCCUAUUUGUGAUUGCACAGUCCAUACAUGGUUUGCUUCACCAAAUAGCAACUAAUGUAAAACUUGUGACAAACUGGCCCUGGUAAAAUUGAUUUUCAUGAGAGAACUUUUUAUUUGAUAAAAAUUCUGAUAUUGCUGCAUGAUGCAAGAAUUCAACAUGCAAUUUCUCUUUUAAAAUUGGCAAGUCUAAAAUCAUGUGGAGCGCCUUAUUAGUCUGUUUUAAAAAUUGAUAUUUCUGAGUACUGGCCAAGAUGAAUCAAUCUUAAUGAAUUUGAUUAUUAGGAGUGUUUGUUACUGUUUUUGAGGACACUGUUGAUCCUAUCAAAUGCUGACUGAUUUAGAGCACCGCUUUAGAGCACUUAAUCAGGAUGGCUUCAUGUAUUUAGUAUGAACAUGUGAAUCGUUACCUUUUUCCCUGGAAGAUGACAUAUAACUACAUAACUGUUUUGUUAGCAUGGAGAAUAUUUCUGUACUACCUAAUGUCAUUUUCCCCUUCUGUUUGUUUUUGCAUCAGGAAGUUUUCAACUACAAGAUAGCAGCUCGUCCAGAAAGACGUCGCCAAUUUGAAAAAGAGCUGACUUCUCAGAUGGAGGUUGCUCUUAGUACAUUGACUGCUUGUUUGCAUAUUAAUGAACUCAAGGAGCAGGUAAAAACAUUUCUUCCAAUGAUGCGGUUUGCAACUGGGUUCAUAUGGUUAUUAUUAAAGAAAGUUUCGCUUCUUAAUUUUUGUGUUUGAUAAGUGUGCUGUUGAAAAUAUUUAGAUGGGUUCUGUUUAUUGAAGUGGUGGAAAGUAUGAAAAGGGAGUCAUUCAUUUUAAAAGUCAAGUCCACUGAUAGUAUGCCUCCAUUAUUUUGUUUUUUUAAUUGGGUACUCUUCAAAUGAGGGCCCAAUGUUUGCCUAAGUUUCACUAAAAUUAACUAGUUUUUAUUAGACGUCAUCGGGGAAUAUCUAGAUUAUGUAAAAUUCAUAUAUGAAUUCAAAAUGCAAAUCCUUCAACUGAAUAUGUCAUCUUUUUUGUUUUUAGAGUUCUUUCUUAGCCUUAAAAUUUUAUAUCUGAAUAGCAAAAGUGAUAUGGUGCAGAAAAGGCAGCACCAUUGAGACAAUAAUCAUGGUUCUAUUGUAGCAGUUGGUAACUAUCGGUGGCAUGGCAUAGAUUGUCUUCUAAAACUGUAAAAAUCGUAUUUACUAGCUCUUUAGCUAUCCUUUUCAGUGGUUCACUUCUGGAAAUUUUAAUUUUCAACCAGGACUUAUAAAACUUUGGCAUUAUCAUUCCCAAUGUAAUAGAUAUAUGCAUCAUUAUAUAAAAUAAAAUAGAAAGAACAAAAAAAAUUGAAGGUUCCUCUUUUAAGUUUUUCAUCAGGUGGCUUUUUGAUCAUUUCAUCUUUUGAUUGGUUUCCCAGGUUCUUGAGGCAUUUGCAUCUUGGCUUCGUUUGAAGCAUAGGUAAGUAUUUUGGACCUUAUGUUUUGUGGGGGAGAUGAAUUAUCCAAGUCAUUUUUCUUGGUUGCUAGCAUUCCCUUUAUUCAGGGAAUUGUUUUGUGUUAGACAUGUAUUUCUAUUUAUUUUGAUUGUUGUUUUGCGUUACUUCCCGACUAGAUGUUUAGAUGUUUUGGCAGUUAUAUUUUAUCCAUCUAGGGAAUUAUCCUUGAAUGGUUUGAACCAGAAACAGGGAAUUGUUUAGUGCAUUAGAAAUGUUUUGGCAGUUAUACAGUCUCACCCCAUAAAGAUGGUGGGUGGAAUAGGUGUAUGAAGAGUUUCAUCUGUUAAAGGAUUGCUGAUCUAUUGUUGCUUGCGGCUAAUUUAUAAAGCUUGUUUCUGUUAAUACCCUAAUUCCUGUUUGGUUACUUGCUUUUAAACUGUGGCCAAAAUGUUUGACCUUACUAAUUUGCCCUCUUUAUAGGGAAUAAUCUAUGAUAUGGAAAUUCAUGGAACUUAUUUUUGGUUUCAGGAUCCCUGGAUCUGUGCUGGCCUCUCAUCCAUUGGUGCUGACAGCUCUCUCAAGUUUGCAUUCUGAGAUACUUUCUGAGGCAUCUGUUAAUGGUAUUACUUGUGGGACAAACUAAUGUUCUUAGCUUGGUGUGAUCAACACUUUUUUCUUUUUUAAAUUUUCCGAGUCUUUGCCAAUGAAGUGCAGCAAAUUUGGAGAUGGAAAAGUCUUGGAUUUAGUUCUUACCAUUAAUUAAUUACUUUUCCUUUUCGUCUUUGCAGUCAUUUCUGAAUUGAUACACUACUCAGCAGCUGGAAGUUCUGGUGGUGCCACUGUAAACAUGCCCUUAAUUCAAGUAAUUGUGCCUCAAAUUAUGAGUCUAAAGGCACAUCUUACAGAUUCGUCAAAGGUAUGCUUUAUUUUGUCUUUCUGGGGCUCAUUAUAUCUAGCUUUUGUGUGUGUGUGUGUGUGUAUAUAUAUAAUGGUGGGUGAAGCCCAAAUCAAUUUUUCAACCCUCUACCUUCCUAGGAUCCGAACUCGGUUGGCCAGCCAAAUAAUUCUGCUUGACUCAGUCAGGCCUGUCGGGCUCAUUAUAUCCACCAUAUGACCAUGUCUGAGGCCCUAAGUUAUUGAAUAACACUAUCUACAUCCGGCUAGGAAAACAAUAUUGCUUCAGUCUAUUUGAAUUUACUUUUUUUUGUGUUGGGGUCAGGGUAGGCCUUGAAUUGCAAAGACGACAUGAUACCGCCUGUUCACGCUAACCUGGAUCAAGUUUGAAGCACGUUUAGUUGUGGUUGUUUCUUAGAAUUCAUCAAGUUCAAGGAAUUUUUUUUUUUAAUUUGUACAUUUCAGAAGAUAUGGAAUGUUGCGCUUGCAAUAUAUAAGGGAAACCAAAGAUAAUGGGAGCAAUUAAAAUUACCUAUAUGAUUGUCUUCUUGUUUAUUGUUGGUUCUCUUAGGGUUUUCCAAGUGCUCGAUAUUGUUGUCUUAAUUUCUAUUUAUCUGCAAAAGUUUGAGAUAAUGCAUUAGUGCCUACCAGUAAAAGUAAUUGCAAUUUGAUACAGUAUUUUGUUUGCUAUUGAUACUUUCAGGAUGAGGAAGAUGUGAAAGCCAUUGCUCGAUUAUUUGCUGACAUGGGUGAUUCAUAUGUUGAACUGAUCGCAACUGGUAUAGAUUAUUUUAAUAUCUUUGAGACUCUUUAAAGAUUUUGCAUGCUUUUCCUUCUUAUGGCUUGUACUCUAAUUAACUCAUAUUUCUCCAGGUUAGAUGAGUUAGGUUGUUUUACUAUGAUCACCCUCUGUCAUUGAUAACUUUCUUUUUACAGGUUCUGAUGAAUCAAUGCUGAUAGUACAUGCAUUGUUGGAAGUUGCUUCACACCCAGAAUAUGAUAUUGCUUCAAUGACUUUUAACUUUUGGCACAGUCUUCAGGUUAUUCUGACAAAAAGGUGAAACCUUCAUGGCUUAACCAAGAUAGAUGGUUUUCUUUUCCUCGAUGAAGCACUUAACAUAAAAAUUCUAGUGUACCAGGGAUUCCUAUAUCUCAUUUGGUAAUGAGGCAUCUGCUGAAGCUGAGAGAAGUAGAAGGUUGCAGGUUUUUCGUUCAGCCUAUGAGUCUCUUGUAUCCUUGGUGAGUAUGCUGAUUAAGUUCAUAAGUUCAAUUUCUAAUGUAUCAACCUUAAAUUUCUGCAAAUAUUUUUUGCACGGGCCUAUGUUUCAAGAGAGAGACUUGGGCACUUCUGGUGCUAUUCACUCUUCCACUAAAUUCUUACCAUGUAUGCGUGUCUAUUUAAAACAAUCACCUAUGAUUUAUCUGGCAAAACCUUCUUUCAAGAAAAUAGCAGUCUGGAUUUCUAGAUAUUUGACGCAAUUAUUGUUAAUGCUGACAUUUUCCAACAAUGCCAGUACUUGCAUCAUCAUCACCAUCAUCAUUAUUAUUUGAAUUAAGUACUUGCAAUAGUUUGGUUAGGUUACAUUCUUGAUAACUAGAAAAUAAAAUAAAGGUUAUCAGUACUGUUGUUGAUAAUUGUGUCAACCUCUGUCUGUGUUCCUGCCAAGAAUUGAUUAAUACUCUCCUUAUGACUUAUUUAUCCGACUGGAAGAAUCAGCUGCAUGGAAUUCUUAUUGGCCAAUACUUCUGACUGCUAUGGUUCUGCUUCACAGGUUACCUUCCGAGUUCAAUAUCCCCAAGAUUAUCAAGACCUUUCUUUGGAGGACCUCAAGGAAUUUAAACACACUAGAUAUGGUAAUUAUCCAAAUUUGGUGUAAUAAAGUGAAAGAUAAAGUUUAUUCAGCUAUUAGCAUUUAUCUAUAGGACCUUUCAACCAAUACUUUCUGAUUGCUUUAGUAAAUAAAAAUUAGGUAUUUGGCAUCUUCUUUGGAUUGUUCUCCUUCUGAAAGGAAAAAGAUUACAUUACUAGUUCCUCCAAGUUAUGCUUGUUAUAUGUUCCUUUUCUUUAGAGCAUAAAAUAAGCAGAGGGUGUUUGCUUAUUCCUAUAAUUUUCUUGAAAGAAUGUUUGGUGGGAGCUGAGGCUUGCUUAUCAGUGGAACCCACCUGUGUAUAUUUUCUUUCUCAUAUCUUUCUAAUAGAAGUGAACAAAAGAUAAUCAAGUAAUUUGAUUUUUUGGUCCUCAUUCAGUGCCAUCAACUGAGUGAUUUGUUUCUCCAUGUUGAAAUGGUAUUCUCUAUAUUUUCUCCUUUUCCAUGUGAUUUAGUCACAGUUAUCUUUUGAAUGUGAAGGUUGUUCAUCUGCCUCUUCUUUUAUAUUUUCAUCUUGAUGAGACCUGGCGUGUUGCUCUUCUUCAACGCUAACGGAAUCUGUGAUGUUGAUAGCUGUUGCGGAUGUCCUAAUCGAUGCAGCAUCAGUUUUAGGUGGUGAUGCGACGCUGAAAAUUCUGUACAUAAAGUUUGUUGAGGUGUGUUUUAUUUACUUUGCUGCUGGAUUAUUGAGUUUGUAGUCAAGCAUUUUGUUGGCAAAGGAAGGCAGAGGGAAAAAGAAGGGGUNNNNNNNNNNNNNNNNNNNNNNNNNNNNNNNNNNNNNNNNNNNNNNNNNNNNNNNNNNNNNNNNNNNNNNNNNNNNNNNNNNNNNNNNNNNNNNNNNNNNNNNNNNNNNNNNNNNNNNNNNNNNNNNNNNNNNNNNNNNNNNNNNNNNNNNNNNNNNNNNNNNNNNNNNNNNNNNNNNNNNNNNNNNNNNNNNNNNNNNNNNNNNGGGGGGGGGGGGGGGGGGGGAAGAAUAGAACUUUGUAGCUGCUUGUUCUCUGUAUGAUUUUGUAGAAGAUGGAAGAGCAGAUGUGUUAUUUACUAUUCCAAAUUGUCAUUUCUUUCCCUCUGUUUUCUUAUUUAUGAUUCUUCUAUCAUCCUUGAGAAAAAAUUCUUUUCUUUUUUCUUUCCUUGUUAAUCCUGUUUUAUGUUAUCAUUAUGUUUGUUUUUUGGUAUAACAUCUUAUUUUGUGGCCUGAGUAUAUCCUUUUGAAUUGAUAAAGGGUGUAGCAUGCUGUGGAAAUAAACAUAAUGAAUGGCGUCCAGCAGAAGCUGCUUUAUUUUGUAUCCGUGCUAUAUCUACUUAUGUAUCAGUUGUUGAAGCUGAAGUCAUGCCCCAGGUUUGUCCCAAGUUCCUUCUCAUGAUUCUUUUUUCUUUUAUUAAAAAAAAAAAAAAAAAUCUUCCUGGUGAUGUGAUGCUAGGCUGCUCUUGCUGGUUAGGGCAGGCCAUGUUGGCAUGUUGCUCCAUUUUGAUUCACAUUUUUUUCUCAACAUAUUUAUAAUGUAUGAUAUUAUGAAAUUUACCCCAUUGCAUUGCAGCUUGAUAAGUGUUCUUGUGUUUUGAUGACUUAAAAUUCAGUGAGCCCCUUGUUUGGUUUGCUAUAACUAAUUGAGUGUUUUGCAUUGUAAAUUAUUAUAAUAUGAAGUUUCUCUUUACUUUUUCUAACUUUGCAUUGAUUUUUUUUUUUGAAAUUAAAUCUCUGUUUGUUUGAAACUAACAUUGAUUUUUUUUUUUUGAAAUUAAAUCUCUGUUUGUUUGAAACUAAAAGAAAUUAUUGUCUUCUAAACUUCUUUGCUUUACACAGGUUAUGGCUUUGCUUCCGAAACUUCCUCAACAACCCCAACUGCUCCAGACUGGUAUUCCAUAUGUGAAAUUUCUUGCCUUUUAAUUUAUUUAUUUUAGGAAGAGGGCCACUGGUGAUGGCCUAGAGUAGAGAUGGUGGAACAUUGUUCCUGAGGCAGUAGUAGAUGAUUUUUAAACAUGGUGUUCAUCUUCUAACCAUGCAAUAUUUGUUAUUGAAUCUUAUCAUUUGUUGCUGAUAUGUCAUCUGUUUACCUCUUAUCCUCAGUUUGUUUAACCAUUGGAGCAUAUUCAAAAUGGUUUGAUGCUGCAUCAAGUGAUCCAUCUAUAUUGGCUUCAGUCCUCAGCAUUCUCACAAGUGGCAUGAGCACAUCUGAAGAUACGGCUGCAGCUGCAGCUUUGGCUUUUAGACACAUUUGUGAUGGUAUGUAAUAUAUUUGAUCAGAACAUUUUGUUUGUUUACCAACUGUUUUCAAACCAACACAGCCCCGCCUCCUACCUCUCUUCAAAUCCCCCGGGGGGGUUGGUGUUUGGGGUUGGAAAUACAGUUGCUUUGAUUUAAAUGCCAUUGGUUCCUCAUAGGUGAAAUGAAUGGGUUACUUGUGCAUGUGACAACAAAGAACUUAUCAAGAAGAUGAUGUUAUUUUAUUAUGGACAAACUUUUAUUUGCAACCUGUAAUGCAUUGAGUUUCUUAUCUUCAGACUCGAGUGAUCUUAUUAACAUAGAUUGUUCAUGGCUCUGCCAUGAGGACACUCUUAAAUUAAAGUUCAAUCUGAUAAAUAGGAGUGUAUGGGUUGAAAUCUUCCAACCUUAAUGUUAUGUGGGCAUCAGUGGGUCAAAUCAUAUGAAACCAAGAGGUCAAAGGUUCAAAUGCUGUUGGGGUCACCUAGCUAGGAACACGACGAAUAAUGGUUUCUGCUUAGAAGUAGUUACGGUUUUGAACAUUGUAUGCUUGUUGAGGGUUUUAUGGAUUACCAAAAGAAUAAUGGGCAACAUAGUAGUAGAAAGCUCGGAAGAAUGAAUAAAUUUUGGUUCACAUCAUGGAAAUUUUUAAGAUUCUUGUUCGGUUUGUGGUUGAAGGUGUGUUUGAGAGAGGGAAUGGGGUGGAUCCUCUAUGGUGAUUAUGAUAUAUCCUCUAUGGUCUUAUAUGUUUGAUAUUUUUCCGCAUUAUUGUUCAAUUUCAAUGCUGUUAUUGACAUGUGUUUUCUUUUGGCUGUCUUUACAACAUAUACCUUUCUAAUUUAUAUUUUUUUUUUCAGUUGUUAUAUUCACUUCAAUUAUUAUUUUCUUUGUUUAUUCAGUCACAUAUUAUUACUGAUUAUGAUUGUGUAUUUAUAGUGUAUCAAGUAAAUUGUAAUGAUUCAUAUUCAACUUGUAGAUUGCCGGAAAAAGCUCUGUGGAUACUUGGAUGGCCUCUAUAAUGUAUACCGCACAGCAGUUAAUGGGGAAGGUAGUUUGAAAGUUUCUGCUGAGGACUCGUUGCAUCUAGUUGAAGCCUUAAGGUAAUUUUGUUGCACAAGGCCAAAAAUGACCACUGCUGCACAAGAUGGAAUUAAGUUCUGGAUAAAUGACUUGCUUAAUUUCUUUAAAUUUAUUUUUGCAGCAUGGUUAUUACAGAACUUCCUCAAGUUGAUGCUAAGAAGGCUCUUGAGAUGUUAUGCUUGCCCGUUGUUACGCCAUUACAGGUUAGUUCUGUUUCAAUCAGUUUUGUGAGCUUUAUUUUCUCAUUAAUGAUACAAUAGAUUUAUCAUCCGACAAGCAGGAAAUUAUCAAUCAAGGACCAGAAAUAUUGCAGAAGAAACAUCCUCGUGACUUAACCGUUCAUAUCGAUAGAUUCGCUUACAUUUUUAGGUAUAGUUCAGUUCUGUCUUAUACUGCUUCAACGUAUUAAAAUGUUCUGAAUCUACAACUGCACUCAAUUUUAGGUAUGUAAAUCAUCCUGAAGCAGUGGCAGAUGCAAUACAAAGGCUUUGGCCCAUAUUCAAAGCUAUAUUUGAUAUGUGAGUUUCGUAACCUUCUGGUAACUAGAAAAUCUUGAAUUCACAAUUGACUGUUGUCUAAUCUCACUUGAAUAUGUCCUGUGCAGUCGUGCUUGGGACAUGCGAACAAUGGAGUCUCUUUGUCGAGCUUGCAAAUAUGCUGUGAGUUAAAUUAAACUUGUUCGAAAUUUAGUAGUUAAAGUGCCUAAGUAUAGCUUUCUUCUAAAUUAGUUAGGUGAAUUUAUGAAUCUGAUCAUGAAGUAGUCUUGUACAUGGUUGCAUGGGAAAUUAAUAAUCAAAUUGACAUUUUGAUAGUGAUGCUAUAGAUCUGUGUGCUAAGUUUCCUAAUAAUUUCUCAAUUAUCUGUCUGUUGAGUUUUUUAUUCCCUCCAUUGUACAACUUCCUCAUGAGUGCUUUCAGUCUCCAUGCAUUAUGCUUUUAUGCCUUUCUCUGUUGUCUCUUUAUUCUGAUGUGUGAGAUUAUGAGCUUGCUACAACUUUGCAUGUCUGCGAAUUAAAUGUGAUUUACCAGAGUUCUAUUGCCUGUAAUGUCUUCUGCUGCAUACCUAUUCUUGUGUAUUACUGAUUCUCUAUAGUGAUGAUCUAGAUGUUGGUGUAUGUGAGUCAAAGGGUAAUUCUCCAACAGUAUGCAUGGCAGCUUUUACAGUUUUACAUAAUUUUCAGUCAAUGGGAAGUAGUCUGCCUUAUUAGGAUCUUCUCAGUUUGCCUAAUAAUAAAAUAUGGCCUGAAAGGAAUUUUUUUUUUUAAUUUAAUAAUAUCUUGGAACUACAUCCUCCCACUUUGGUUGAUUAUAAGAUACGAUUUCUGUGCCAAGUUGUUUGAAAUUUAAAGUUGGUAAAAUUUGCAGUUUUAAGGGAGGAUUGUUGCUAUUACAUGGUUCACAUGAACUGUAGUCACAAAUUUGUGUGUAUUAAGGUGGUAAUACUGGUUGAUGUUUUCAUUAGGUGAGAACUUCUAAAAGGUUUAUGGGCAUCACAAUAGGAGCCAUUCUGGAGGAGAUUCAAGGCUUAUAUCAACAACAUCAACAGCCAUGCUUCCUUUAUCUCUCCAGUGAAGUUAUAAAGGUGGUCUUCCCUCCUGAAGUAUUAGCAUUAAUAUUCUAAUUUCCUUUUCUAUUUUAAACUUGAGCAGUUGCAUAUUUUGGGUGGCAGAUAUUUGGUUCUGACCCGUCUUGUGCAAGUUACUUGCAUAAUUUGAUAGAAGCUCUUUUCAAGCGCACUACGUGUCUUCUCACUAGUAUUGAGGUGCGAGUUUAAUUUUAUAAAUGUUGUAUUGUCUUCUUUCCUGGAGUGGCCUCUAGUUCUCUUGCAACUUGAUAAUAAACCCUGCAGGAGUUCACUUCGAGACCAGAUGUUGCAGAUGAUUGUUUCUUGUUGGCAUCCAGAUGCAUUCGCUAUUGUCCUCAACUCUUUAUCCCAUCUUCUGUAUUUCCAUCCUUAGUAGAUUGCUCAAUGAUUGGGAUCACAGUACAGCAUAGGUUAGCUUCUCUCUCUCUCUCUCUCUCUCUCUCUCUCUUUCUCUUUGUGUGUGGUUACUUAUAUUGAGCAGCAUAAGAUUUUUUUGAAUUUGUGGAUAGAUGUGAUGGUUUGGAUCAUUUUGUGUACACAUAAAUGUUGUUUAUUAACAAGCAAGGAGGAAGAGUUAAAAAUGACCAUAAAAAAAUAAAUGCAUUAGUCCAUUAUAUAUUUUGCUUGGCAAUCAAGUUAGUUUGGUGUUUACUUGAGUAUCAAAGGACAUUAGCAACAAUAAAAAUGGAAUAAUAUGUUAAGAAAUGAUUUGAUAACAUAAUUAUAUAGUUCAGCCUCUGAAUAAAGUUGGAUUGGAAAUCUAAAAACAUCAGUAUCUGUGACUUCAGCACAUUUUAAUUAUUUACUUUGGACACAGAAACACUGUGGCAUAGCAGCAUAUGCACAUUGCAUUGUGCUCACAGACCUUAUUGCUUAUCUAAUUGCAUAUGAUAUGCAACACAUGGCUGCUUGCACAAGGUUUAGCUAUAGUGCAUCUGUGUCCUAUGGGUUGUUUUCUCCAAUCUUCCCAUUUAUAUAUUUUAUUUUUCCUUCUUCUGUGGUCUUCAUUAAUUAUUUGGUUCUUAUUUGCCUUACAAGCACAAUAGAGAGUUAAUGUGGUACAUUUUGUUUAAGUUUUCUGUUUUUUCUUUUUCUUUUUUAUUCUCAUUUGUUUGCAGAGAAGCUUCCAAUUCCAUAUUGACAUUCUUGUCCGAUAUCUUUGAUCUUGCAAAAUCUUGCAAAGGAGAAGAAUUCUUAUCUGUAAGGGAUAGUGUCAUUAUUCCUCGAGGUGCUAGCAUAACCAGAAUUUUAAUUGCCUCCUUAACAGGAGCACUCCCAAGUUCUCGACUAGAAACGGUAGGUCCUAUUUGUCCUCACUCCUAAGACAUUAUUGAAAUGUGCGUGGUUAACAUGGUGAAUUACUACCAUUUUUUUUUUUUUUCUCCCGGCUUGUAUAAGAUUGGAUUUUCAUGGAUUGUUCUUACACAGGUAACUUAUGCACUGCUAGCUCUAACUCGGGCAUAUGGUGUGCGAUCGUUAGAGUGGGCCAAGGAGAGUGUUUCAUUGAUCCCAUUGACAGCAUUAGCAGAAGUUGAACGAUCAAGAUUUUUACAGGCAUUGUCGGAGGCAGCAUCUGGAGUUGAUGUCAAUGCCGCGAUGGCUCCCGUUGAAGAGUUGUCUGAUGUUUGUCGCCGUAAUAGAACGGUUCAAGAGAUUGUCCAAGGAGCAUUGAAACCGCUUGAAUUGAAUAGGGUCCCUGUAUUAUAGUGGAAAAACAAGGAAGGGGCUGUUUUGCUAAGGCCCUGUCAGUUAUAUGAACUACUUUGUUUGUGUAUUAAUUAUAGUUAUUGGUAGUUGUGCAUCAAUUUUCAUUCUCCAAUUUUUUCUUAGGAGAAUCUUGGCGUAUGUAUUGGGUGGGACUUGGGGAGAGAAUUAGGUGAUUGUUGUAUCUUCAUUGUCCGAGUGAUUUCUACUACUGCAUUGGCUUCAAUUCUUUUUGGGGUAAAUUUUCAGGUAUAGAUGUGUAAUUUUCGUUUGUAAUGGAAAAGUAUUAUUUUUUUAUUUUUCUUUUUCAAUGUGGUUCACGGCUUUCACUUCUUUGUUUAUACAUAUAACUUUAGUCAGGGAAGCUCGCGAACAGUGAUCGAAACUCGAAACAAUUGUUUCACAUCUUGAAAAUCAAAUUCAAAACCGUCAACAAAGGGGGUGUUCGGUAUGCCUCGUUACAUGAGGUGCAUUGCUAAUCAUGCUUGGAGUGCCAAGUUGUAUUAUAACGCACCCUAAAAGUCAGGUUAACUAAUAUAGUAGUUGCCUCAUUAGCUUGUCUUUAAAAAAAAAAAAAAUCUUUCAAUUUUUUUUUUGUAAUAAUAAUAAAUAAAUAUAAUUUUUUAAUUUAAUAUAAUAUAAUUUUUAUUUUUACAUUAUAAUUAUUAAUAAAAAUUAAUAAAUUUAUUAUUCAAUAAUAUUAUAUUUUAAUUAUAUUUUUAUUUUUAUUAUAUUAAAAACUUAAAUAAAUAAUAAAUUAUUCAAUCGUAUUAUAAUAAUUAAUAUUUUAAAAAUAAUAAUAUUAAUAAUAUUACAUUAUUUGAUUAUAUUACUAUAAUUAAUAUAUAAACACUUAUUAUUUUUAAAAUUUCAGUAAUAAGUAUUUAAAUUUGAAUAAAUUUGGAUAAUGAUAGUUGAAAAUUAAUAAUAUAAAUGAUUACUAGAUAAUUUAGCACAAUUUAUUUUGUUAGUGAAUAUGUUACAACAAAUUGUAUCACUUUAUUAUUUUGUAAUUAUCUUGUGGCAUAUAUAAACUUUUAUUCUAUCAUCCUAAGAUGAUUUUUGAACUAAUCUUGUAGAUUUUAAAUAUUUAUUUAUGUUAUUAUAUUAUUUAGAGAUUAUUUUAUUAAAUUAUUUGUUUUGAUCUUUAUUUUACAUGUUAUAUAUUUAGAAAAUACUGAAAAAUAAAUGUUAUAUUUCUAAAAAUUUGAGACUAUAAGUUUCAAUCUUUAUGAAAAUUUAUAAUAUUUUUUAAUUUUUUUAUUCAAAACUUUUGAAUUUUUAAAAUUUAAGACUUUUAUAUAUAGCAUUUUUCUAAGCGAUGAAUAUUAUUUUAUAAAUAUAUAAUUUAAAUUAAUCAUAAAAAAAAUAAUAUAAUAGAAUCUAUCACCAAAUAUUAUACAGUAUUAUAAUAACCAAUAUUAAAAUAAUAUAAUAUAACACAAUAUAACGUGGCAAAUGUAUCCAAAACUAAAGAGUUUGGCCUUGAAUAUUUCACGGUUAUAUAGUGCGUUUCAUUCACGAACAUCACAGUUCGCGUAGGAGAAUAGUCAACAUCCCCACGUUGUGUUCAAUGAAUUCUCCUUCCCUUCGAUCUAUCUGCAUAGCGUUCAUUCACCAGACUCCAAUAAUGGACACUAAUUUUUUUUUUUUUUUUGAGAAGAAUAAUGGCUACUAUUUAGUUGUCCGUCACCCUUAUCCAACCUUCUAUAUAUAUAUAUAUAUAUAUAUAUAUAUAUACACACACACGCAAAUGUAUAUAUUUCUGCAAUUAUAUAAUUAUUUUUAAUAAAAUUAUAUUUUAUUAAAAUAUAAAUUAUAAUAUUAAAAAAAUAUAAAUUAUAAUAUAAUAAUAAAUAAAUAAAAUAUUUUUUUUUUACUUUAAUGACACCUUUAUUUAAAUAUUUUAAUAAAGUGGCAAUGAACUCACUAUUAUCAAUAGGACUCGACUAGCUUACAGAAUCUGUAAGGUACAGACUGCAGCAUCAGCCGUUGGAUGUGGUUGGAUGUGGAGUGAGAAACUGAACAAUAGAAAAUCGGAUGGUGGGAUGACGGGAGAUGUUUGUUACAGAAUCUGUACCAUAGACAGGUCCUUAUCAAUAAAGGACCCUAUUAGGCUAUUAUGUUUCACUUUCUGCGUCUGUCUCUCUCUCUCUCUCUCUCUGAUCACAAAUCAACCCCCUUCUCCGUUGUUCUGAAAUGUAAUCUCUGCUCCUCCAGCCUGCCUCGUUUGGCUGGCUCCGUCCUUGUUCUAACUUGGAAUAAAUAAAUAAAUAAAAAGGGAGUAAAAGGCGGAUUUCUCAUCUUUCUUCAACCUACGGAGCAAAAACAUGGUGUCCACGUCACAGAAAAACCUUCACUCACUAUUAACAACGAAACUGAAAAAGCUAACCAUCACUCCACCCUCCGCUUCUUCCCCAGACUUCGACUUCACCGAAGUCUUCGGACCCUUAACGCCCUGCCGCCGCAACAACCAAUCACCUGCAUCCACGUCAGCCUCUUUGGGUGACCCGCAGGUGAUCCACAACCGCUCCCACUCUUUCGUGGGUCCCUCCCCUCGUUACGCCCUCUCCUCCUCCCUUCGUCUCCAAAUCCAAGAACUCGAACACGAAAACGAUGCCGAAUUGGAAGCUGAAAGUGAGAGAAAGAUCGGGCCGGGUGAUUUUGAGAUAUUGAGGGUUGUGGGACAGGGCGCGUUUGGUAAAGUGUUUCAAGUGAAGAAGAAAGGAGUCGAUGAUGGCGAUAGUGAUGGGAUUUAUGCAAUGAAAGUUAUGAGAAAAGAUACGAUUAUAAAGAAGAAUCAUGUGGAUUACAUGAAAGCUGAAAGGGAUAUCCUCACCAAAGUCACCCAUCCUUUUAUUGUCCAGCUCCGCUACUCUUUCCAGGUGAUUGAUGCUUUUAUUCAAAAAAGUUGACUUACAAAGGAGUCCUUAAUUUUAAUUUUUUUUUUUUUUGGCUGGUUGACUUUGCAGACGAGGUCUAAGCUGUAUUUGAUAUUGGACUUUAUAAAUGGAGGGCAUCUCUUCUUUCAUCUGUAUCGGCAAGGAAUCUUCCGGUAUCGUUCUCUGCUUGUUUUUCAAGUUUUGGAAAUUUAUGCACUUUCAACGAUGAGUUGAGUCGAGUCCCGUCCCACUGUUACGUAUUAUUCAUUUACUAGAGAGUGAAUUUAUAAUUGAUAAAAUUAAUAUUCUGCCGUCCAAUAACUAAAUGCCACGUCAGUAGAGACUCAAAUUAAGACUCUUAACUGUUAGAAUACUACUCUUUUAGUUUCAGGGGAAAAAAGAAAAAAGAAAAAUGUUUUUGACUUUGGUUUCUUGGAUUGAGUAGUGAGGAUCAGGCAAGGUUUUAUACUGCUGAGAUAGUAUCUGCGGUUUCACAUCUUCACAAGUGCGGGAUCGUGCACCGGGAUCUUAAACCAGAAAAUAUACUCAUGGAUUCUGAUGGGCAUGUAAUGGCAGCACAUUCACUCAAUUCACAAAAUCAAUUAUGUUGUUUUUUCUUUUUUCUUUUUUUCUUUUGUGGGGGGUGGGUGUUUAAUUUCUAAAUGUGAUACUCGUUUUGUUUUACAGGUUAUGCUAACUGAUUUCGGACUUGCAAAGGAAAUUGACGAAUCAAGUAGAUCAAAUUCAAUGUGUGGAACCACAGAAUACAUGGCUCCUGAAAUUUUACUUUCAAAAGGCCACAACAAAGAUGCAGACUGGUGGAGUGUUGGAGUACUCCUGUAUGAAAUGUUGACGGGGCAGGUAAUACCAUCGCCAAUAUCAAAUCAAUGCAAGUAUUAAUUAUAAUGGAUGAUAGCUUGCAAUACAAUGCUUUUAUUUUAUUUAAUUAUUUUUCACUGUUUGUUCGUGAAUAGUUUAGAACUGCUUUCUCAUUUCCCAGAAAAUUGCCCUGCUUCCCAUUGAAAUUAAAAUAGCAAAAUUGUUGAGGAAACUCAGGAUGCCAAUAUUUCAGUUUUUUUUCCCCCCAAAUUUUAUGUUUCCAUUUGCCUCCUGCAGCCACCGUUUACACAUGCAAAUAGACAGAAGCUUCAACAGAGAAUUAUUAAUGAGAAAGUGAAACUUCCACCUUUUCUUACCAGUGAAGCUCACUCUUUGCUUAAAGGAGUAAGCUUUCUAACACAGGUUUAUUAGUUUUUCUUUCUUUUUUUAUUUUUCCAAAUUAAUGGCUGUAUCAAUGGAUAAUUCUUUUAUUUCAGUUGCUGCACAAGGACCCAUCUAAAAGGUUAGGUAGCGGGCCUGGUGGAGUGGACACCAUCAAACACCACAAAUGGUUUCGAUCAAUCAACUGGAAGACGUUGGAGGCCAGAGAAAUGCAGCCAAAAUUCAAGCCAGAUGUGAGUGGAAAAGACUGUAUAGCCAAUUUCGACAAGUGCUGGACAACAAUGCCGGCAGAUGAUUCACCGGCUCCCACACCGACAGCAGGUGAGCAUUUCAAAGGGUACACUUAUGUGGCGCCUAACCCUUGGCUUUCAUCAGUGUGAAUUAAAAGGUUCCAACCCGAAAAGGGGGGAAAAUAAAAAAGGCGAAUGAUGAGGAAUGCACCUGUCCAUAACUCCUUGAUAGUUCUUUCUUAUUUUUCAACUAGAAUAUGAUGUCUACACUUGUUGUAUAUUGUAUUGUAUUCUUGUAAGAAUAGCAUGGAUUUUCAAUCAAGCCUCUAGCCAAUAUAUAGAAAUGUUCGAAUGUUUUCGUUUGGUAAAUUGGAUUACAUCGAUUCAUGAUUUCUAUCAACUUUUAAGCCAGUUAGACCUCAGCAUGGUUGCAGAAGUUGAAAAAAGCUUCUCAUGACAAUACCUUUCUUUUAUCUGUUUUUCCAUUUUGGCUUCAUAAGUAGAUUGAAGACCGAUGGCCUCGCAAUUCUAUUUUAUCUGACUAUUUUACUGUCAUUUAGUUGUCCUGCACCCUUGGACUUCCUUAAGAAGGAGAUCAGUAAUUACAGAUCAUAUUUUCAAUUUGUUUUCUUUGGCAAACUGUGUUUGAAAUAUGCAGUGUUAUAACUGAAAAGUAUUAGUUUGAGCACUUUAUAGUGUUGAAAAUAAGAGAAGCCUUACAAUUGCCCUUAUUCUCAACCCUAUUCUGUAGUCAUGUAUGGCAAUCUUCGUCUGAGAAGCCAAAAGUUGUUUGUAAAAUUUAACCUUGAAUUUCUUGCGAGUGAGAGGCAAAGCAAACAAUAUGGGGAUAUGGCAAAUUGGCAAUUACAAGUUUACUACUUGAGUGUGGCAUCGGUUGAAAACAAGAUGGGGGAAGUUUUCUGAAAUCGCUUGGUUAUGGGAAAAAAAAUUACCAAAUCGAAUGAGAAAGUGGGCACUGGAAUUUUGAUUGUCGCAGCCAGAUAAAGAGCUAUGGUUAAGUCCGUAUCCUGCGGAGAAUUUCAAACUGAAGAAAUAAGUCAUGGAAACCUGAGUUUUUCGAUUAUCACAAACAAUGAUAUAAUUUGUAACUAUUUUUGUGGGGUAUUUUUCAGAUACCUCCCCUUAUAUGGAUUUUUCAGGCAUAACCCCAAAGUUAAAACUGAGUCUGUGGUGGUACUUGCAAUUCAUGGCUAUACCGAGUUGGUACUUUUGGAAAGAAAUAAAAGUUGGAGAAAUUCUGAUUCUCUUCAGAGCUACAUCAUGAAUGUGACGCACAAGCUGUGACGAUUAGUGAAGAGAAGCCUUUAGGAAAGUACAAAAAGGAAACUAGAGUAGAAGAAUCUUGUUCCUUCCACAUGGAAGGAAACAAGCUACAAACCAUACUAGUCUAUGCUAAUUACAAACUUCAGAAUCAAGCUUCUUCUUCCAUGUGUAUUGCCUUAAUCAUUGUGUAUACGAGUGUGCUGGGCAUCUGGAGGAAAAUAUGUAUGAAAACGCCAUUUGCACUCUACUUGUCAAGAGCUAGAUAUUAGGGAGGAUUGAUUCUUCCUGAGAUCUCUUACAUUUAGAUGUCAGCCUUUAUGAAAAGUACCUUCAUACAUUGCUUCAACGGCAAGUAUCACAAGCUUAUAUAUAACACACCCAGUUGAUCAUUACAUUUAGUCUUCAAUCAAAGUUUUCCUUUUGUUCUUGAGUAGCCAUGAAUAGUAAGGAUAGAAGCAACAAAUCCCUUCGUGAGAACUCAGUGAAGGUGGUGGCAAACAUCGUUAAAUCGUCAGCUUUCUCUAUUGCCAAGAUGAGUCUAGGAGCUCCUGCAGCUGCCAAAACCGCUGGACCGAAUAAAGACCCAGUCAACUUUAUUAUAAAACCCCCGUACCGGUCAGAAAAACCAAAGAGCAGCUCAAAUCCUGUUUCAUUCUUGAUGGAGCCAAAUGAAGGGAAUGAGUCUUCAUAUGUGGUUCAUGAGGGAAAAAGUGUUAUUGAUGGUAUGGCUUCUGCCUACAUCCGGAAGGUGCAUCAGAAGAAUCAUAGUGAUUUGUCUGAGUCAUCAAACCUUCGACAAUAUAUACUGCCGCCUCCUCCUCGUGCAGCAGCGAUACAGUCGUCUAAUUACUAAUUGAUCUUUGUUAUGCAUCAAAUUUUAGUUGUUAAUCCAUGCCGGUCGGUUAGUAUAAACCGAUAAAUAAAACAAAAUAUUUUGCUUGCUUAAUCAACUUGAUGAUGGUUUCUGAUUUGUAUUUACUGUUUAUCUUAUCUUAGGAAGGGUAAGUUACGAUCUUUAGAAUUUGGUUUCUUUGUAUAUAUAUAUUCCUGUCUAAUGUGUUUGAUAAGUCAUGCUUGGCACAACGCUUGAGUACCUGUAAAAUAAUUUCCUCCUGUUUUUAUUGCUGUCAUAUUGUUGGGACGCCAGUUGUUUGUAGUUCAAUUGUCAUAUCAUUAAUCAUUGAAAGACUUAACACACAUCACAUCUUUAUCCGGGAUCAGCUUAUUUAAUACAUCUUGUAAGAUUCUGAAAUGAUUUUCUCUUGUGCAUUUAAAACUGUCUUGAGUGCACUUUUUUCCAGCUCAAUUUGGACACGGACCUUGGGAAUCUGGCUUUCUCUGUCUCCUAUUGUUUUUAACUGAAAAAACAACUUUUUAUGGUCUAUCUAAGACAUAAAAUCUCAUGUACACAGAGAAGAUGAUAAGGUGGACGGGGAGAGAAUCUGUUUAAUAGAAAUCAUAGCAGAAUAAUUGGAGUACUAACUAGAAAACAUUGGAACAGACGGAGUAAAGCAAGCAGGAAGAAUAAUUGUCCUAAUCUUCUUUCUUUAAUCCCCAACUGAUUAAAAAUGUUGACAGCUCACAGUAGCUUGGGAAUCUUGUAUUUCAUGAUGAAGCAAACAUUGUCAAAAGGGGAAUCAUUAAAGUCUAUAACCAGGCAUUUUCUUUCCGUGUGAACUAGGUCGGUCAUCUUCGUAAGCUGUAACAGAACUCGGUGGAGCUUGAGCAUCUUAAAAGUGCCUUUCUAAAAUGUUCCAAGUGAAAUUUGAGUUCUUUUUCUUUCUUUUUUUUUCUUUUUUUUGAAAGCCACUCAACAAAUUUCUUGAUUUUCAACUACUGUAGAGGAUCUUUAUCAGGUCCCAGCUAUGAGGCAACAUCCUCUCCACUUGAUGCAAAGGCAGAUAGCAGAGAUAUGGCUAGAUUCUCUCUACAGAUCCUCAACAGGACAAAUACUAGGCGCCUACCGGCAACAAAGAAAAUUUGAUGCCUUCUGCUUUAAUAAAGAAGGUUCCUGCACUACACAUCUCUUAUCUGGAAAACAAUUUCAGUCGUAUCAUCCCUUUGCUCAAUUGAAAGUAGUCCAGCUCUACAUUUCAUGGACAACAGAAGCAUCUGCUACAUCCCACAACAAUUGCUUUAACAAAAUCCAUUUUUGGGUACUUAUCUGUAAUUCUGUGCAGUUUGAUAUAACGCCUGGACUCCCCAAUGAAAACCUCCAAGUUCUUUCUUUUUUAAUUAUCCCUUAGUUUUUCAUUGUUGACUUCCCAAAUUUUACGGUAGUGUGCACAUUUUAUCACAAGUUAGGAAAUUGGAGACAAGAAUGAAAAUUAAAAAUGUUUUAACACAAAAGUUUUGAAAACUGGAUAUUUUUCAAUAGACAGUGAGCUUAAAAACGUUUUACUGACAAAAAUCAGAACUUACAGAUAGGAAGUUUCAUAGUGGGUUCAUGCAUUUUCGUUUAACAAUCUUCAAAACCAUCUUCCAACUUUGAAUGGGAAAUCUCCUCUUCAACCUUCAAAAUUUGGACCGAAUUAAUAUAAUUAAUAUCCUCCCUAAAACUAAAGUUGCUCGGACACUCAACUUCAAGAAAGCCAGGCUAACCUUUCCAAGAAAUUUUGGUUUCAUUUUCUACACAUCCUGCAUCCAUUGCACUUUCGUGGCAGCCGGUAGGGCUACCUUUGGACUUCGGUUGCCCCCAAGGAAAAGGAACGCAAACAAUCAAAUUUUGUCAAGACUAAGUAAGAGACUAAUACUAUGUGCAACUUCUCAAGCAUUUCUUCUUCUCCGAUAUUCUCAACUAAACUGGGAAAUUUUUGCAAAUUUUCCAUAUGUACUAGCUCUCAAGUAAGUUUUUCAUUUGAGGCAAGUAAAAUCCAGACUAAAUAUUAUUGCUCUUUCUCUUGUUUAAUAUUGUUGCUCUCUCUCUCUGUUUCUUUCAAGCAAAUUCAGAAAAUUAUUUAAUUCGUUUCCUUGAAACUAAAUUGUAAACAAGCAGAGUAGGCCCCGUUCCAGCAACCACCAUGGAAAGUUCAAGCUCAACUUAAGCAAGCAUUAGACCACAACAACAGGCUGCACACAAUUCUCCAGCUUUUCCCAACUUUUCAACUGUCUUGGCAACUUAGAUGUUCAAUUAACAAUACCCAGGAGACAUAACAUAAUUUAGUUCAUAAUCUUUGUUAAUUUGAGAACCGUUACAUAUACUAAACAUAAAGGAAGCACCACCAUCACUUAUACCGCUACAUGUAUAUGAAGAUCAAGCGUGCAAGUGAAUUAUUAGUUUAAUAGGAAGCCAAAUAGACAAAAACGAUAAUUCCCAACGGCAGCGGAAAUAGCAUAGCAUUGAUAGCAAUACUCUCAGUCAAUUAGGGGGACCUAAAAUGACAUGACACCAUCAUCUGUCUGUCCAAUUAAAGACCAGUCAAGACAUAGAUGCAAACCCACCACACAAAUGACAACUACUUUAACUAUUUAGAUUAAUACUGUCAAUACAAAGAUAAGGCAUCUGGCACAUGCCCCCACAUUCCACCACUCAUUUAAAGACAAUAAUAUCCAUAUCCACAAUCCUCAGCCGCUGAUCAGAACCAUAUUCAAUACACAUUCAUUCACACAACAACGAUUUCACAAUCUGCCCAUCGCAUUCACAUGAAAAGAGGAAAUUAAAAUGCUUCCCUACCAUUUACACGCAACUUGAUAUUUUUCUUCAUAAAGCUAAUGAAAACCACUAUAUUUUCAUAACCAUAGGGAAGGGGUUAUUUUUUAGUUACUAUUAAUUAUGAUGGCAAGCAGACAAAUUAGCGAGAAUUCAAGAUAGUACCAUAAAACAACAAAUACAACAGGACAUGAUCGUUCUAUUUCCCAGUCUGUACAAUAAAAACAAACUAACAAAAGGACCAAAUUCAGUGACCUAAUUAUCUUAUCUUCUCCUCUAAUUGUGCACCUUCUUUUCAAUUGUUAAUCCCUUCACCUCAACUCAAGCAACACUGAUGAUGCUAUUGCUAUCCCCAUUAUUGAAGGUUUGCAUCACCUGAAAAGCUGAAUGCCUUGAUGAUGAUUCCCUUUGAGACAAUGGCGGUGGAUCGACAGCUAAAUUCAAAUUUAAGUUAAGAUCAGACACUGUUGAUGAUGGUUGAGCUGCUGGAAGAACAGGAACAGGAACAGGACGGAUGAGCCUUGUUGCCUCGCCCGCAGUCCGUUGACUAUUUUGCCCCAGCGUCAGGUUUUCCAUUGGAUUCUCAAUUGGAACCGGUAACACUACUGGCAAAGCUGGCAUCAUAGAAAAUCCACCACUUUUGUUGCUGGUUUCAGCCGGAGUAGGCGGCAAUAAUGGAUAUGACUGAGAAGGGUUGUGGUCUUGGUGAUCAACUAGCUCUUCUUCCAUUGGAGUAGCUGCAACCUGCACACGGUUUAAAAAAAAAAUGAUUAACUUCUUCACUGUUGCUGACUAAAAGAAAAGUAAAAAACAAAGAUACAAAAGCUUAAAAUUUUGAGCUUUCAUGAAUUUUUAGGACCUGAGUAACUAAACACCCUGUUUGAUUUAGAAUCCAAAUACAAGUCUCUAUCAAAAAUCUUAGGAAAAUCGGAUUAAGUUUCGGUUUCAAGCAACAGUUUUCCCAUGAUUUUUAACUGCUACUUCAAAACCUAAAAAUAAUUUAUACCCAAAAUUCUAUAUCCUAAAUAAUUUCCUAAAAAAUCAACCAACCGAACACCUAAUAAAAGAAAUUGUUUUACAGGAUCCAAAAGAACAACUUCAUCUUCAUUCUUUCAGACUUAAAACUAAUAUUUUAAAACAAAUUUAAAAAAUUUACCCCAAAAAAAAAAUGAAAAGAGUUUCGUUGACUUGAUUCAAGUAGACUAAUAUUGAGAUUUAAUAAAUCAAAGGAUUCAAAGCAACAGAAAUAGAGAAAAACGAAAGAAAGAAAUGAUACCGAAUCAGUAGUAAUAUCAAAGAGGCUAGAUCGGCGGCGGCGGCGGUUGAGAUUGCUCCGGCGAAGAAAAUAUUUCUGCGCAUGACUGGCCACCUGCGUCGGCGUCCUCGUCUUGACGAAGUUUCUAGAAAUCCCUCUCCAAUCUCCUUUCCCCACCUUCUGCAGUCCCAACAAAAACAACUUGUGCUCCUCCUCCGUCCACGGCACCCCUAAACAAAUUAAAAAGGACAAAUUAUUCUAUUUUUCCACUAAAUGAAAUAUAAUGAAAUCUUAAAUCUUAUGAUUGUUGAUGUUAGAAAUCACAGAGAUCUGAAUCGAACCUCGCUUCCGCUCGCGACUAGCUCUGGAGGAGUUGUUGUGAACGGCAUCAUCAGCGGAGGCGUAACCAGCAGCCGCCACGUCAUCCUUGUUGUUGUUGUUGUUGUUGUUGUUGUUGUUGUUACAGUGACUGCUGUUGUCCUGAGGCUGUUCAUACUGAGACAAAUUAUUCAAACUGACACUCUUUCUCAUGGAAUCCACAACCACUCUGACACCGAACAGCAUAAUCUCGCCACCACCGCCGUUGACGGCGGAUGAAUCGCCCGUUCCCGACAUUACUCCGAUGACUCAAUUGUGAGAUGAGAGGAAAUAAGUGACAACUAUUAAUUGGAAUGGGAUGAAAUGAGGGCCAUUUGAGGUUGUUUCUUACUUUUAUAGCGUCGGAAGGCAGAAAUGGAAACUGAACUGGACGCAUGUGGGUAAAGUUGGUUGUUACGUGGCAUUAUUGUAUUCGCUUAUCUUCCUUUGUUAUUCUAUGUGCCGUCUAUUUUUAUGGGCGAUGUUAAGUUACGUAAUAAUUUAAGUCACAUUGAUUUGAGAAUUUUAUUUCUGAUUCUACGACUCAUGCCCGUAGAGAACCACCAUAACGCCAGUAAUUGAAAUGUGUAUUUUUCUUUUUUUCUUUUUUUUUCGCAACUUUAGGUUUGAGUUAUAUAUCUCAUAGGUAUGAAAUUUGAAGUACGAUGAUGAUUGCAAAAAUUUGUAAAUUAAUAAAAUUUCUUCUCUAUUUUUUUGGAAGCAUCCGCAUAUUAUUUUGUUUUAAAAAUUGAUUUUCAAAUUAUACUUGUUAUCAUUAUAACGAGCAUAGGGGGUGACAAGCGAUGAGUAAUAAUGUCAAAUCUAAAUCAUAUUUGGUUGAAACUUUAGAAUUAAAGAUGCUAAAAAUUAAUUAAUUGACUUUUGGUUUAGUAGGAGAGUUUUUACACUCCGAUUGAUGAAUUAGUGAGGGUGAGUAGAGUGGACAUUCUUUUAUCAAUAAAUUAAUGAGGGUCAUGAAAUAUGAACAGAGUAGGUGCAUCUUGAUUAAGAGGAAAAUGGACAGUACUCGAAUAAUAAUAAGGGUAAAAAGUCUGGGUAAAUCUUGUACUACUACCAAUAAUAAUUGUGUGUAUCAGGUUAUUGGACCAAACGAUGUCCCCUCUGUUUGGUGGAUAUAAUAUUAUAUUUGUAUUUGGAUGGGCUACGAUUCAUUUGGUUGCUACUUUUAACGGUAGAAAGGACAGUGCACAUGGAAGUGCUGCAAGCAUUUCCCGGAAAACAAUAUCUUAUCCUAUCUCUUAUCCUUUCUAAUCUACAUCAAUUUAGUCAACAAGUUUGCCCCCAUCCCAACUUGGCUAUAAACUAUUACCAUAAUCACGUGAAUAAGUACUUCUUAUGGUAUUAAUUAUAAUAAAUCAAACCCCCUUGUAUUCAAUUAAUCAAUUAUUUUGAGGUAGAAACUUGAACAAACUUUGAGACACUUAUUUUAACAAUUGUACAAACUCGAUUAGUAUGAUCUGAUGUAGCUUGUAUAUGAUUAUGUCAAUACCAACAUUUACCCCUCUAUUUGGUUAUUAGACCCUAAAAUGUAAGGGAUAUUAUGGUUAGCAGUUUAUAUGCAACACAUAAUCAUGCAACUUCAUGAAUAUAGGAUAGGAAAAUGGACCAAGGGCAUGGAAUAUUCUCUUAAAAGAGAAAGAGGAAGAGGAAGAGAAAAAGAAAGAGAAGAUAAUUUAAUGCUUAAAAUGAGAACAUGGGUCCUUUUUAUUUGAUCACCAUUGAUGGUGGGGUGCAUCUGAAAGAAUAAGCCAAGAUAAGGUUUUUGUGGGGUUCCACUUCCACCAUUUCCAUUCCAUCAAACAUCAGAUCAUCUUCUCUAUCUCGGACUUCUUCUUUUUUUUCUUUUUUUUCCCCCCCAAUCCUCUCUUUAACCCCAUUUGACCUAACAUUUUAUAUAGAAAAAUCUUCACACUACACUAGUCACAACCACUAGUAGUACCCCUUCUCCUCACCAUAUGUUGGAGGCCAGGCCUUAUGUUUUGUGUCAUAGCUUUUAAGUCACAAGGUCUCCUCCUUCAUCUUUGUGUUACAAGUUUCAACUUCCAAUUGUUGCAAAGUUGUAUUAAGGAAGACUAAUGACAACGUGCAUAGUAAAAACUCAGAAAUUUGAGAGGAGUUUAAAGUAAAAUAAAACCCUAAUGAGAUAUGGCACUUUGUUUUGUUUAGAAAUUAGAAGAAAAGUGAUUGUCAACUUUUUGAUAAAACUGAGUGGAAGAUACAUACAAGGUUAUCUUUGUUUUAUGACUUUUUUUUUUUUGGGUUGGAUGGGAGUAUCUUGAUUUUUGAGGGUUAAAUAUUUGCUUUGCUUGGUGCUUUUGCAAUUCGUACACGUGAUAUGAUUUUACUUCUCCUUUUUCUUGUCCAUUGAAUGAAUCCGCAAUGUCUUUUCCGCACUACGGCUUUUCUUAGUGACAAAGAAAUAGCCCUCCAACACAAAUUCAGCCAUCAUGCUUACAAUGCAUUUUAGCUUUUUUUUUUUUUUAAUACUGAUUAAUCAUCAGAUUACUAUAUUACAUAAAUAUUUAUAACAAUUGCUAUUAUAGUAGAGAUAUUACACUGAUAUUUAUAAUCAGAUAUACAUGAUUGGGACUUACAUUAUUACAUAUAAUUCUAUGAAGUACAUGCCCAGACAAAUAACCCUUCACAGGAGAGAGAUGUCCAUACUCCACUUGUAUUUCGCAAGAGAGAAUGAUUUUUAAAUAUAAAGAACAUUUAGCCCCCACAAUGCUUUUGUGGGGGCUAGAACCGCUGCCCUCACAAGCAAGCCCACCACUUCGACCAAGGCCAAAGUGGCAUGCAUUUUAGCGUUAGAAAUUAGAAUAAGCGGUCUUCUUAAAUUAUAGUUUAUGUAUUUUUCAGUCAAACAAAAUUCAUUCACCAAUCUACUUAAUUCUAAUGUUACUGUUACUUAUUUUUCACAUUAUUUAAUUUAGAUAAAUGUAACUUAGGCAAAACUGAGUGAGACUAAGAGGAUCAAACGGGGCCAAUAUAAUUUCAGGCUCCAGCUGCGUUGCCACAGUUAUAUUUUACCACACUUCUUGUCUUUAUUUCUCAUUUUUUGUUGAAUAAUUCCAUGUUUAAUCUAAGGAAUGAAAUCAUUUAGGUCAGCGACCAGCAUUAGCAACCAUUUCUUUGCCGAUAUCAUUAGCUUUUUUGGACUAAUCAUGUCUGCUCUUGUUAGUUAGUGGAGAAAGAUGCUGCGGAUUGUGUGGAAGAUGGCAAAGGGAUUGGAUUUGGAAAAAUAGUUAUUGGAUCUCAAAAGCUUAUUCAGCUAACCCAACUCCACACACACUUACAGCUACUGUUACCCCUUUUGUUUUUAAUAAAUUCGAAGAAGAGAGAGAGUUUCUAUAGCUUCACUGAGCCUAAGCUUCGACUGACUGCGUGCCCACAAUCAACUUUUGCUCAGACCCAGCGGCUAAGCAGGACUCAGUGACAGAACUGACGAGAAUGCAGCAAAGCUGGUGCAAUUGAUGAUUCCUUCUUCAACUACUAACUAUAUAGAUUGUUGAAAGUCUUUGAAAGAAGGCGGUGGUUUUAACUUAGUCUUUGGAUAUUGUUAAAAAAACAGGGGAGAAAAGUGCUUUUGGUCCAAUUCAUCGGCCAAAAAUCCAAAUUCCUCCUCAAACAGCUUCAACAGUUCUCUGAAAAUCAUUUCUACUGAUCACCAUUUUGUUGUUUCAUUGCCUUCUAAUUCACUAACAUCUCACACAAAGUUGUUUCUAUUAUGUAAAAUGUUGGUGAUUACCGUGUAGAUUUAUCUGACCUUAAGUUGUUAUUUUCAUCCGACCAGAGUGUUGUUACAUAUAUCACCACACUUUUGUUACAAGCGAGUUUAUCUUUUACUAGCCAACAUGUCCGGUUUACUUUUACACUAACGUGUCCAUCUCGUAGACAUCGGAUCACUUAGGUUUUAAACCAACGGUUACCUAGAAUAAAGACAGAGACUGCGGCACGUUACCGCCAUUGCAACACAGCUGGACCCACAAUUCAAGUGCAAUCUCAUUUUACUUUCUGAAAAUUAGAUCUGAUUGAGGGGAGCGUGCAUCCUUUAAUCCUUUUAAGAGAAAAAUGGAUGAAGAAAGUGGGUGAAUUCUGCUAAGCAUUGCAUGUGAUCACGGUAAAAAGUGUCCAACAAAAGGAGGAGCAAUAAGAGAAUAAAAAUUUGGAAGACAGCAUAGUAGAAGAAGACAUGAUAGCGCUUUCAUAUAAUUGUUGAAGAUGCUUUCUCUGUAUUAUCAAACCUUCCCCAUGUUAUCCAAAAGUCAUGGUUUCCAAAUUUAGUAAAAUGGGUGAUCCAUUAUUGUUGUGGAGAGCUUGUAUUAUUGGAUGCUUUUGUCUACCACUUCCGUUGGACAGCGAGCAUUAUGAUUUAAUUUGGGCUUUAGUGCCUGGAAGAAACAAUUUCUUUUUUCUUUCACGCAGUUUCCAUCCCAGGGCUGGCUAACCUAUGCUUCUAAUCAUGCUUGAUCAUUCUCAAAUGAAUGAUAUUAGAAUUUAAAAUUGAGGUGAAAGCAUCAUGAGAAUUUAAAUUUUUUAUUUUUUUUAAUUGAGAUUAGACAGUUGUAACUUAAAAUUAUAAAAAUAAAGUAUUUAAUAAAUAUUAAUUGUUAUAACUUAAAAGUUAAAUUAAUUUAAUUUUUAAUUUUACACUUGUAUAAUAAAAAAAUAUUAUAUCUUUUGUAAUUUUAUUAAAAUUUUUAUUUAAAAAUUGUAUCUAUUACAUAUUAUUAAUUUUUAUUUCUUAAUUAUAACUUCUUUUUUUACGGUGACUGUGAUUUAAAAGUUAUGUCACAUCAAUACCAAACUACACCUUAACAUAGGUAAUAGAUAAUAAAACUUCAUGUUCUUAAUAUUUGGGACGAGUGAACAUAUAAAAGCAUCAAUUUCAGAUCAUCGUGUAUCUGCAUAUCUUGAUAGAACUCAUUUUGUGUGAACAACAAAUCUUUCAACCUGUCUAAAAGAUCCUAAGCUAAGCAUCUUGCAUCUCUGCAUCAAGUAUAGACAUUCUUAUUUUUGCUUCAGAAAUCAUUAGGUGGAUGUACUCUAUCGCAUAUGACAUACAUUUUUGUGUAAAUAAGAAUGAUCUACAGCUACAAAAAAGCUAAUCCCCCUCGUCAUCCAAGAUCUCCACUGCUUUAUAAAGAGAUCAGAAAUAUCUUUUUCUCAAACCAAUAACAUUAAGCAAACAUGCAUCAGCUCACCACCAACCAUAAGAACAUUUUAAUCCCCCUGUGACAUUAUAAAUGGCUCCGGCUUUUUCAUGAGCAAAGACAUAAAACUCGAUAGAGACCAUGAAUCAUUGACUUUUCUCUAGUGGAAGCAUUGGAACAGUAAAUCAAGCCGCAGCAUUUCACCUUCUUUCAACUGUAACAGGGAGACGGAUCUUCCGACCACUGGAGACUGAUGAAUGGACUUUGUUUGACUAUUUAUAAUGUGCUUGUCAUAAGCUCUGUGCUUGCCGACAUUUUUGUUUCAGAAUUGGCAUUAUCAAAUAGGCCAUUCCUUAAUCCUGUGGUGGAUGCUUUUCUGUCUGGAGGAGAAAAGGGUGAAUUACUUAGAGAAAUUAUGUUAUCCUUUUUGGAGCCAUCUGACGAUGAUUCUCUGCCUGACAAAAUCCGCUUGAGCUGAGUUCGCUGGCAGAUAAUUCGUCCCUUGUUCCAUUGUGGGAAAUUAAAUAAUGAUGAUGCAUUUUCCUGCAAGAAUGUGUAGGCUGCCUUUGCAACGGGUAGAUCUUCUGUAGUUGAGGUUCUUUCCAUCCGUCCCCGUCUAAAGAACAGAAAAUUAAAUAAUUAACUUACGACAAAUUGAAACGAAAUAUUACAAUAUAUGUAAGGGAUAAUGGUCAAUCUCCAUCUAGCAACAUACUUUGGCUUCAAAUUAGAGGCUGAAUUCUCUAUAUGCAUAUCAUUCUAGAGAUAAAUUCAUAAAUGUGGCAAAUUGGCCUAGUUUGAUUGCUCUUUGGCGAGUUAAUUAUCAGCAUGAGUCUACAGGCAUACUUCGCCUAGAAAUUAGAGGCCAAAUCCACCUUAUCAUUUUCAUUAAUAUUGUGGUAGCAAUUUAGUUUUGUAAAAAUUUUGUAGAUAUAUCUUAUCACUAUUUUAGGGGAGAAUUUUUACAUCCUUUUGUAACAUCAAUUUGGUUGGAAACCAAGAUGAAUUGAUGAAUGAUUAUGAUUUUUGAAUUUGACAAUGCUUCAUUGUCUAUAUUGACAUCUAAUGUUAGUUCCAAAUUCAAAAUUUUCUGGCAGGCUAGCCUGUAUUCAGCUUGAAAUCAUACGGAUAGAUUGGGCUUUAUCGUAUGGGGUCCUCGGACUGAAGACAUGUUUGGCCUCAAUUUUCUUAUGAAUGGAUUGGGUCAGUGCGAAAAAACCAGACCCGGAAGCCGGUGGUGGACAUUCGGGAAAGUCGGGCCGAUCAGGUGUCUUCAUUCAAGUGACGAUACAGAAGAAGAACGAAACGAAGUGAAAGGCUGGAUUGGGUUGGACAAACAUAGGCUAUGCCUAAAGAAAGACAAGGACUGGGAAAUAGAUAGGAAGUAGGAACUUGUCUAUCUACAACGAGAAGACAGUUUGACUAUCAUAUCCAUACCCUCACUAUUAUAUAUGAAACCUAAAGAUAACAGCUCUAACAUUGCCUGAGCCCAAGCCGUUCAACAGCUCUAGGUCCAACUUUAGUUUUAGUUCAUUUAUAACGUACACAAAUAGAUAUGUGAACAGGAGGAAAGCCGUCCAUGGUUUUUCAUCCAACAAUGGAGAAGACCAAUAGUGCAGCAGAAAGGACCCAUGUUUGAGAGUUAACGAUGCUACAAGGACAAAAGGUAGACCGAAAGUUAUGCAAUUCAGAGAAAAAAUUACUUACACUACGACAACAGUAGCAAGUUGAGGAAGAUCCUCGCCCAUCAUAAACAUCUCAUACAUUUUGUUGAGCCAAACUGAUAUUGCUGUAUAUGCCCCACCUUCCCACAUCCUGAAAAAAUGAUAAAUAUCAAAACUGAAAGAAAAUUGAUUGAAAUCAAUUAUUAGAAAAAAUAACUUUCUUUGUACCUGUGCACAUCCACAGACCAAACAAGCUUAUUAUGACGAAAAAGUUCAGGGAAAAGCCCUCUCUUUGUUGCUUCAUCAAGCACUCUUGCAGCCCGUUCUCUCAGACCCAGACACCAAAGCGCUUCCAACAGUGCAUUAUAGAACCUCAUUCCCAAGCCGUACCCUUCACAGUUCAGUUUAUCAAAGACAUACUCUACCAUCUGCCAGUUAGACUCAUCAUCAAAUUCUCCCUUGAUCAUCUGCCCGGUUACUUGAUGAAUAUUUGAAAUUCUAUUUGUGUACAUCUCAUCCAGUAAUCCAUAGGCAUCAUCCCACCUGAAAUUAAGGAGCUCUAUAUAUCAGAUAAUUUACCAAAAAGGAAGAUCAAUUGUUGGUACUCUUAACAUGAAUGUGCAUAGGAUCAAUAGUCAACUAGUUACAAAUAAUUAGCUUAUAACUAAUUGCCAAGUAACAAUAUAACAACAAUUAUAACCUUGGUUGAAUUUUCCUGAAGUUUACAUUAAGGCAUUCCUCAUAUCAGUUCCAAUGUGAAUAAUAUCAAACUCUGAGGACUAUGAUAGCCUCUAUCUAUCUUACAAUUCUGUAAUAUAAUCAAAUCUCCUAGGUUCAUGUUAUUCACACAUUCAUGAAACUAGGACUAGGAUAGCUUAUCUCUCUUAUUUGUAAAUUCUUAGGAUGUUUUUGGGGCUAGUGGGCAUCUUGUACACCUUUGUAAAUUUACUUGACUUUUUUGCACAAAAAAUGUUAUUCAACAUUCAUGACCGUGGAUGAGAACAAAUGCAAUUAUUAAGACAUAAAUUACUCCAAACUUCCUAACCAAACUGAAUGAACUCUAACCUGUUACUCUUCGCAUAGACAGCAAGCAACAUGCAGUAGCACAUAACACUAGGCAAUAUUCCGGAUGAUUUAAUUUCCUGGAACUGCUCCUUGCUCUCAUCAACAAGACCUGCAAAGCAGUAAACACUCAAAACUGCCUCUAGGGUCCUCUCAUUUGGAUCGCAUCUCACCUUUUCCAUCUCAACAUAGGCCUUGAUAGCUUCUUCGAAUCGACCUCCUUGCCUAAAGGCUUCAAUAACAGCAUUGAAUGAAUCACUAUUCCUCGCAACCCCAGAUUCACUCAUUCUCGACAAAAUUGCCUGACACUCCUUGUAGAGUCCACCCCUGGAAAAUGUAUGAAGCAGCGAGUUGUAAGUUUCAAUAGUUGGCUUGCUCUCCACUUCAUUCAUUGUGUUAAACGCAACAAGUGCUUCCUCAUACAAAGCAGCCAAUCCAUAAGCUUCAAUAACCCCAGUGUAAGCCUUGGAACUUGGCACUGUCCCUCUCUCAUUCAUGUAAAGCAAAAUCUUCUUGACAUCCUCAUGCAGCCCUCCCUUCCCACAAGCAAAAAUCAACCCCUCAUAUGUCUCCAUAUUAGGCUCAACAUUCUCCUCCACCAUAUCAUGAAACAAAGUUACCACCUCCUUAAAAUAUCCACCUUCACCAAAAACCUGUAUCAAAAUAUUAUAAGUAGCUGCAUUUGGCUCCGUAUUGCUCGCUUUCAUCUCAAGGAAAAGCUCCCUCACAUCAUCAUACCUACCAUUCCUCCCAUACAAAUUCAACAAAAUGCUAUACGUUGUUGCAUUUGCCACACUCCCAGCUGCCUGCAUCUGCCUAAACACAUCCAUUGCCUCCUUUAUUGACCCCAUUUUAGCAUGUGCUUCCAGUAACACAUUAUAGCAAGUUACGUCGGGCAAAUUCCCUCCUGACUCCAUCUCCCUAAGAAGCUCAGAAACCUUUUCUAAUUUACCCAAUUUCCCAAAUGUCUCAACAAGAUAACUAAACGUUGUCAGAUCAGGCAAUACCCCACCUUCAUUCAUAGUCCUAAAAACCAUCUCCGCCUCAUCACCUAAACCUCUACUGCCACAAGCACUUAGCAAAGUAUUAUAGGUUACAAUAUCGGGUUGUAUGCCUUCGUGUCUCAUUUCAGCAAACAAUCCCAACAGAUCCUCCCAAUCUAAUCCUCCUCUUACACAUGCAUUAAUCACAGUAUUAUAAGUCAAUAUAUUUGGUGCUAUCUUUUCUCGUUUCAUUCUAUCUAAUAGUUCAAGAGACGUUUCAUACUGACCGUGCCGCCCAUACGCAUUGAUCAAAGCAGUGUACGAGAAAACACUACGUGGCACCCCUUGACUCGGCAUUUCCUCGAAAACCUCCGACGCUUUAUCGAGCAAAUUCUCGCGCCCCAGCAAACUUAUCAUUAUCGUGUAAAUUUGUUCGCUAGGCUUGCACCAGAUUUGUCUUUGCAUGUAUUUGAAUAACCGAAGAGACCGUUGCCAGUCACCGCGCUGGGCGAAUUCUUUGAAGACCAAAGCGAAAUCAUUUAGAGAUAGCUUGUUUUUAAACAUGUCGAGGCACCGCGCGAUGCUGCCACGUGGCGGUAGGGAGCUGAGCUUAUUGAUUAGAGUUUCGACGUCGUAGCUGUACUUGCCUUUCUCGACGGUCACCGUGGGGCUGCCGAGUACCAACUCUUUCGGCUUGGCCCGGACUUGCACGGUGCCGGACGUGAGACUCCGGCGACGGGAGGUGAAUAUUCUUUGCGUACAGGGCAACUCAUUGUUGCCAGAGAGGAAGCUGUGAUUGAGGGAGAAAUUGAAAGAGUGAAGCUCACGAGGGUUCGGUUUAAGGAGUGAAGGACUGGGAAUUGAUAGGGUCAUUUUAGUAAAUAAACUUUCAUGAGCUUGGGGCAAAAGUAGGCGGAUGAAAUGGAUUUCCUUCUAAGUGGAUUGGUCUGUUUUUGUCUCGAAUUUAGACGGGAAAGUUGCAGUGAGCCGAGAACUGAGUUGAAUUGUUGAAGCGUUUGAACUCACAUUUGACGAAUGACACGUGGAGUUUCUGCGGAUAAUAGUAAGAGAUACCGGGUCGAGGGUUAACGACCCUGAUCCGAACUCUUUUUUGCGGUUUGCCCACAACCACCUGGUUUUUGGCGGCAACAUAUGUUUAAACGGCAAAGAUUUAAUUCCUGAAUCAUAUGAUCCAUCUAACUAUCAAUUUUUAUUGGAUUGCAACUUUUUCAAAAUUUAAGCAAUUAAAUGCAUAUUGUAAAUUAAUUCUUGUCUCAAUUAUCCAAAAUCUUUAUACAAUAAAAUUCUAAUGGGGAACAACUAUUUUUUAACUAAUUUUAUUAAAUGAUCCUUUUUAGUUUUAGCUGAAUUAUAACUCAAAUAUCUUUCUAUUUAUGUGAGCAUAAUUCAAAUCCAUACGCUUCUUGUUGAGAGAUCUUUAGCUAAUUUUAUUAAAAGAUGUUGAUUAUUAGUAUAUUUAUUAUAUGAAAAGAGAGUUUCUUCACAAUAUUUAAAGGAUAUUAAGUAAAACCUUUCUUAAUUAUUUCGUGAGGAUUUUUUUAAGUUGGAGAAAAAGUGAUGAAUUAUAAUUCAUUUAAGAAAAUAAUAGAUUUAAAAUAUA